UUAUUUAAUUUAUUAUUUAUUUUAAGGUAUAAUAUAGUUUGCUAUUUUUUUUACGUAAUUAGCUUAAUUUUGUAGUUUUUUUCUUAUAUUCUUAAGAAAUAUGAUUAUUUAUGCUAAUAGCAAAAAUUUUGAGAGAAAAAAAUUUAAUUUAACAGCCGAAUUUUUGAUCCCGAAUUUUUAAUUGGUAAACGUAUAAUAUCCGUAUAAAUUACGUAUCCGAAUAAUUGACGAAUCCAUUUUUUAACCGUAUUUUUUAACGAAUUUAAAAAUUAAAAGACGAAUUUUAUUCAAAUUAUAUCCGUACUGAAUUUUUGCCGAAUCCGAAUUAACUAACUAUGACUCUAUGCUGAGAUUUGAAACUGUGUCGCUUAUAUUUGAUUUAGAUAUGCUAUGCUUUUGACAUUGGCAUAUUUCUUUCAUGCUGAGGUAAAUUGCUUAUUUUGAAUUUUUUACCUUGACUUCAUCCUGAGCAUAUCUUGUCAUUGCUCAAAUCUAUUGAAUAACUUUCUUGAGACAAAAUACAAAUCUGAAUUUUCUUGCACAUAGCGUAUAAAUAAAAAAACAUAAUUGUUGUCCCAAAUGGGGACCCUACUAGUGAUCAUGGGUCAAUACAAAAUAGUAGAUGCUUCUCAAUCUUCUUUGCUCUUGUUGGCGCCAUAAAAACGGCGCCACGUGAUAAGAUAGCUUGCACCACGUAGAGGGCUCCCGAAGCCGAAAGUGGAGCGGCAUGUGGUGCGCUAGGAUUUGAGAAGAACACGCCCCAAAUCGAAAAUUGGUUAGGCGAGAUGCGGUUGAGACCGUGGCCCAAGAAAUAGGGAUAUGGCCGAGAUACACCCCAUAAUGGGGAAUAAUUGAAUAAGAGCAGACGCGACUAAAUAUACAGAAUACACUUGCUAGAAAAAAAAAAAUUUCCUGCGAACAAGAAAACCAUUCUAUUUCCAGUAUUUGCUUGCUUUUCUAGGAAUAGUCUACUUGUAGUAUUCAAUUUCUCUCCCAUUUUCCUAUUUUCUUAGGAGUAGUUUUUAAGAUAGAAUUCCUUGUAACAAUGAAACCCAUCAUUCUAUAAACUUCUUUUUUGCUUUUGAAAUACAUAUCAGAAUCACUCGGCUCAUUUUAGCCGAAUAUAUAAUGGAGUGCUUGAACUCAGCUGAGUGGAUCCCUCAUCAGCCUAUUGCUUGAUUUAGUCAUGUGCGCACACUCGAUGGUCACUGUCGGAAGUUGUUCCUUUCUCUGCUCCUUUCCCACAACGAAUCUCUAACCGAAUCAACAGUCCAGGAAUUCAGUUCCUAACAAUUUUUUGGCAUGCCGGUGGACAUUCAGGUAAUUCCCAAUUUACUUUUUAUGUUAUGGCCGACGACGACGCUAUGAACCUCCGGAGCAAAGUUAUUCCCAGACCUUCAAGGAAUGACCAAGCCAAUAACUUCGAAAAUGCAAACAAGCAUUAGGCGAUGUUACCGAUCGAGGGUGAGACUAGCAAAUAUUCAGCUCAUUAGGAGCCGAGUUUAACACAGGCACUCGGUCAGAUGACACAAGUCCUACAAACGUUGGACCAAAACAGUCAUCAAAGUACUGCUAGACUAGACGUGGUACUGGCCGCUAUUAUGGUCUCCAAUGAAAAUAUUGCCAGAAUUGGACAACUUUUGGCUCGAAAUGAGCAAACUUAUGGAGGUCCACAAGGACCUCUAACAAUGCCGGUGACACAAACCCUGAUUGUGCCAACUGCCGCGCAAACGCAGCUGCAGAUGACACCCUUCCAGGCUGUGUAACAAACGAACAAAUGUAAACACCGGUCCACAGCCGAAGAUAGUGUGACACCCCAACUUCCCAGGGGGUCACCCAUCCUAGAACUACUCUCGUCCUAUCACGCUUAACUCUCUUAACCUCUUGAGCCUUGCCACCACCCAAAAUGCUUAAGCCGGGUUAAGAGUUUAGCCCUAUUAUAUCUUAUAUAUGGGACUAUCUGGGGUCUCACAAUCUUCUCUCCUUUAAGCCCUGACGUUCUCGUCAGGCUCAGACUCACAAGUACCAGGCGAUGUGAGACUUGUCUAGCUAACCUUGUCAUUCCGACCUCGGCUUAGCCGAGACUCAUCUCACACUUCCGGCUGGUAAUUGGCUCUGAUACCAAUUGUGACACCCCAACUUCCCAGGGGGUCACCCAUCCUAGAACUACUCCCGUCCUAACACGCUUAACUCUCUUAAUCUCUUGGGCCUUGCCACCACCCAAAAUGCUUAAGCCGGGUUAAGAGUUUAGCCCUAUUAUAUCUUAUAUAUGGGACUAUCUGGGGUCUCACAGAUAGCAUGGGGAUUACCUCCUCCCCCAUCCUUUCUAGUCUAUCAACCCCAAAACGGGGACAUGAGGGCUAGAGGGCAAGGCCCCAACAUAUUGCAGGGACUCAACCUUGCAGCGCAAAACUAUGGACUUCCUCCUGGGCCAAAUGCGGUUCAGGCUCUAGUUCCUCCUCCAGCGAUAGGAAACAAUGAGCUAUAUGCUCAGAUUGAAAAAGCAAUUCGAAAUACUUUCAGCGUAGGGGCUAGGCUGACAAUGCAACUCGUAUUUAGAUCCGCUUAUCUCGCUAACAUCGAUAAGGAACAUCAUUAUCUGGCAAAUUAAAAAAUACCAAAAUUUGACAAGUUUUCUGGUGAUGAAAUUGAGAAUAUGGUCGAACAUAUAGCUCGGUUUACGGCCCAGUAUAGAGAAGCGGUCGCGGAUCCAUUUUUAAAAUUCCAAUUGUUCAAUACGUCAUUGACUAAAAUGGCAUUUACCUGGUAUACAAGUUUACUAGCCAAUUCUGUCUGAGAUUGUGACGAGAUGGAAAGAAAAUUUUAUGAACAAUUUUAUAGAUCAGAACUGGAAUUAUCGGUAGUCAAUUUGGCCAUUACCGGUAAAAAUCGGGUGAAAUGGUUAAAGAAUAUUUGAACCGUUUCAAAACGGCGAGGAGUCGGUGUUUUGUAGGAAUGUUGGAGUUUGAAUUUGCCAAAAUGGCAUUUAAUGAUCUAUAUUUCAAAAUAAAAGAUCAUUUUGAAGAUAAAUAUUUUUCGAACUUGUUCGACUUGGGCUUUCAUGUUGCCCAACAUGAACAAUUUCGAAAAGAAAAUAAUGAUGAUCGACCACUAUGGAGCCGAAACAAAAAAUGGAACAAAGGGAAAGAGAAGAAUAUCUCUUUCGUUGAAGAAAGUUUGACUUGGGAUAGGCUGAAUACCUCGAGUAAGACCGAGGACUCAGCUGACGAAGUGGCGGUAUAUGCGGCAAAAAUGGUGAAAACCCGACAACUUUAUAAGUGUACGCUGCUUAAACCAGCAAAGGCUAGCGAGACAAGUGCGAGUGCCAACGUAUAUUUAUUCUUUCCAUGUCGCCAAAACUGAUAAGAUAUUCGAUCGGUUACUAAAAGAUGGGAGAAUUAAACUCCAGGAGGGAAAAAUAAUACCCUCCGGGUAGGAAUUAAAAAAAAGAAAAUAUUGCAAAUGGCAUCAUUCUUGGAGCCACAGAACUAAUAUGUGCACAGCCUUCAAGAGGCAGAUUCAGAAAGAAAUAAAUGAAGGUCGGCUAGUAUUUGCCGACCAAGAAAAUAAAAGUGAUAUGAAAGUUGACCAAAAUCCUCUUCCUUCUCAGGUCAACAUGGUGGAUAUUAAGGGCAAGAAACUACUAGAAGAGAAGGUCUAGGAAAGCAUUGCCAGUGCGAAGAGAGCACUUCGACCCUGCAUCAGAUGCAAGACUGAGAUGACACAUCGAGAUUGGGAGGCUAUAAUUCAAGAAAAAAAGUUAUAUGGAGAGUGAAAAGAAUCCAUGACUUCCCCCAAAGAAUGGAAAGACUUACCAAAGGCCGAUGGGAAUUCAGACGAAUGUUCAGAAGAAGCCUCGAAUAAAUCUAAAGAAGAGGUGGAAUCCAAGAAAGACAAAAGGGAUCUCUUGAUCCGAAAAGUCUUGGACGAUUAUUACCAUUCAAGAGAGAGAAUAAGCCGAGGGGAUUACCCAAAACAACCCUUCAGCGUCCAGUACAAACACCCGGGAUAUCGGCCCAUAUAGCACCAGCAGUCUAGGUCAAGACCUGAACCAAAAUUUGAAGGAAUAAUCAAGGGGGAUAUAGAAUUUCUCGAUCACAAGUAAAUGAACGAGCUCGGCAUCCAUCCAUGGCGGAGAUCGUAGGAAAGAAGAGAAAUAUUGAGGGAGCACCUCAGGGCGUCAAGGUACCAGCCAAUGUACCGACUAACCAGUGGAUCACGGUAAAGCACCGACUAGAUAGCAUGGGCUGGUGUUAACGAAGACAAAAGCAGCGACAGCAAAGAAUACAAGUCGAGAUGAGAAAUCAUUGGGAAGAGGCAAAAGGGAUAAAGUCGAAUACAUAGAGACGACCUGAGCAGCGGCCACUUUAUCGGCUUAUGAAACAUGACAACAAAGUGGGCGAUCCAAACCUCGUACCAUGGUUAAAAUCUAAGAUUGAGCGAUCGGUUGCAGUAGAGCCGACGAAGAAGGUCGUUCGAAAAAAACUAGAGAAGAUUGCUUCUCUUGACACCAUUAUUAACCGAGAUAGGUGACCUCCUAAGGAAAGGAAAAUUCGGCCGAAGAGUGAUUCUUCAGCCGAAUUGGCGAAAGAAUCUGAGGAACACCUAUCAAGAGAAAGAAAUGAGCAAGCAAACCAAUUGGCUCAAUCGGCUUCAGAAUAUAAAGAGCCGAAAAGAAAUAGUCAGAUCAGAAUGGGAAAAAGAUAGCUAUCGUUGGUUUAUACACGAAAGCCAAUGAUGAUACCUCCCGUUGAAGUACAAGAUGAUUGGAGAAUACCCGUGGUUGAGUUUCUCAAUGAUCCCAAUAGAUGAGUCAGUUAUCAGUUACGAAAAAGACCACUUGGCUAUUGUCUAUUACAUAGCCAACUGUAUAAGAGAACAGCGAAAGAAGUGCUCCAGAAAUGUUUAGGAGCUGAUGAAGCUUUGAUAGUCAUGGGUGAAACUCAUGAAGGAUUAUGUGGGGCAUAUCUGGCCGAAAAAAGAUUGAGAUGGAUAGUUCGGCAGCUGGGAUAUUAUUGGUCAAUCAUGCAUGAAGAUUGCAUAAAGUAUGCCAAGGAAUGUCAAGAGUGCCAGUUUUACAGCUCGGUACAAAAAGUGUGGGCUUUUGAGAUGCAUGCAAUUAUCAAGCUAUGGCCUUUUCGUGGUUGAGCUAUGAAUCUGAUUGGAGAAAUUCAGUCGAAUUCAUUGACUAGACAUAAAUUUCUAAUAGUACCCAUAAAUUACUUUACGAUGUGGGUGGAAGCAAAAUCUAAGAGAAUGGCCAUUCAAAAAGACAUUGUAGAGUAUGUGGAAGACUACAUCAUUCAUCAUUUUAGGAUUCCUAAGACGAUGACAGCCAACCAAGGAACAAUGUUCAUAGGGCAACAAUUCUCGAGGUUCUUGGAGUCAAGAGAGAGCAAGCUGCUUCAUUCAUCACCAUAUUAUGCACAGGCCAAUGAAUAGGCCGAGGCAGUGAACAAAGUUAUUAUAAAUCUUAUGAAACGGCAUAUUGGAAAACAUCCAAGUGGAGCGAGAAGUUCUCCGAGGUAUUAUAGGCAUGCCGGAUGACCGUCAAGACAGCAACAGGAGUCACACCCUUUCGAUUGGUCUACAGUCAUGAGGCUGUAUUACCGGCUAAAAUAAUGAUUCCCUCGUUUAGAGCUGAACGACAAAAAGAGUUGAUAUCAAGAGAAUAUGAGAUCUUCAUGUAUGAAAAUUUUAACAAAAUAGAUGAGGUUCGGCUGUUGGUGCUUGACUAUCUGCAAGCUUAUCAGAGCCGAGUAAGCAGUACAUACAAUAAAAAAAUUAAGGCUAAACUUUUCACAGUUGGAGAUUUAGUCCUAAAUUUGUUUUACCGAUCGACCGAAAAGUCUGAAUAUAUGAAAAAUGGUCUCCAAAUUAGGAAGGCCCAUUCCAAAUAUACAAAGUUGUCAGAGGCAAUGCAUACUUUCUAAAGACAUUAGAUAGAUCAGAAAAUGACAAGCCGAUUGAUGAAAAAUAUUUAAAAAAGUAUUAUCCUUUCAUGUGAAAAGGCGAAUGAAAAUGUCACUAUAAAACAAACAAAAUAAAAGUCAGAAUAUAUUACAACCGAGGUAUAAAUAGAAAGCCGAUUAAGAUAAUAAAUCCUUGAGUUGAUUCUAUUCGGCUUCCAAGUUAGACUGAGCAAGAUCGAUUGUGUGUUUCCUUCAUUUCAUCAUAGGAUGGAGUUUAUAGAGUUGGGAGAGCUAAUCAUGUAUCACCAUUCCUUCAUCUUUCUUGCCCUGGUAUUGAGUUUGCAAGAAAACAUGCUCUUCAGAUGUAUGGGCCAAGGUUUUCACGGCUUCGGCAAGUUCCUCUCUGAGGUAAGCAAUGCGCUGCCGAAGAGCCGAUUCCUGAUCUUUCAAAACAUCAUCCCGCUUGUUGUAGUAGGUUAAUAGAGCUACUACCUCACUAGCCUUUGCCUUGAAGGAGCCGACUUGCGAGAAAUGGGCAUUCAAAGCAACAUGCUCGGUAGAGAGUGCUUGCUGUCAAGCCAAAAAAGAAGAAACAUUAGCACACAAAGUUUCCGCGAAAUAUCAACCUAAAUAAGACAAAUCAGGCUAAUCUAGGAGGUUGAGGAGAAGUGCUCCGAGCCAAUCGAAUUGUAUCAAGCUCCAAGCCAAAGUAGGAAGACCGCAAUUGUACAGUCUCAAACACUCAUCCAGUUUUUGUUGAGUGUCAGCCGAUGAAAUGGUGGGGAGGUCUUCUCCUUCAUUGGACAUAGGGCUCUAAGCAACCAAUUCUUGGAGAGAAAUGGCUAGAACAUCUGCCAAUCCGGGCGUCGAGAUAGCAACUGAAGUGGAAGUCUCAACUGGAGGCUCGUCGGAGAAAACUGGACCAACUCUCUCCCUCAUCCUGGUUUUGUCUUCUACUUGUUUCCUCUUCUCCUCAUCUUUCUUUUUCUCUUCUUCUUUCUUCUUUUUCUCCGCUUAUUUUUACUUCUUUUCUUCUUCUUCUUCUUUUUUCUCCUCUUUUUUUUUUUUUCUUUCUCUUCCACUAUUUUUUUUUUCUUCUUGUUUCUUUCUUUCUUUCUCCCUCUCUUCCUUACUUAUCUCGUCUUUCCGCUUUCUCUCUUCCGCUUGUUUUUUCUCUUGGUACAUCUCCCGACGAAAUUCCCUAUCCCGUUGGAGAAUCACUGACUUAAGUGCCGACAAGAAUCUAGUUCGAGGAACUAUUGCUGGAAUUCCGCCAAAGGCUGGCUCCUUCAGUUGUUCGACUGUCGACUCAUGCGGUAAAGAGUGAAGAGGAGAAGGAAAAUCGAUUAGAAUAGGCUGAGGUGUAUCUCGCUGAUGGAGGAGUCUAUUGUGGGCCUAUUUCGGCAGGUAUCGACUCGACAGAAGCCUUUGCUCGAACUGACUCGAACCCCUCUUCGACAGAAGCAGUGGCGUGAACCGAAGACAUAGGACCAGUGGUCGGUUCUUUGACAAGUGACAUGCUUUCUUCAGCCGACGCAGGUGAGGGAGGAGCGAAUUUUGACUGUAAUUAUUUUUUGCUGCUUUUGGUUCGACGGAGAAAUUGAAGAAACAGAUCCAAUCAAUCGCUUCUCUAACUUGGACAAUAGAGCGGGAACACGUACCGACUAAACAGAAUGAAAAGAAUAAAAACAAGUUGAAUAGAAGUAGAAGUACUAAGAGAGACGAAAUAUACGACUGACGGAUGAGGCAAGAUCUCUAGAUCCUUGUCAGACUCCUCACCUAAAUCCUUUUGUUCUGGAGAGUCAGGUGCGACUUCUUUACUCAUAGAAGCACCAACUAAGGAGCAAACAAAAGAAAUUAAAGAAAGAAAGAAAAAAUAAUCGAAUUGAAUCGAGAGUAGAUAUAAAUACUUUCUUCUGUAUGGAGGAUUUUUGUGAAAGAAAUAAGAUAAGGUCUUAAAAAAGAUAUAAUUGCAGAAAUAUUCCCAAGCACCUCAGAAGUGACAAUCAGUCACCCCUGUGUGAUUUGACCAAAAACCCAUAGGGGUAAAAAAGUGCCGGAGACGAUUCCUAUAGCCAAGAGUCGAUCUGCCUUGACUGCGCUCUUCGUGGGAGGAUGGCUACUGGCGGAGUUAACUGUAAAGAACUUGGAUAAAGCCGGGAUUGCUUGGACAAAUCCAAAUUGACGCACCAUAUAAUGGGGCAAUAAACUUUAGUACUCGGCGUCAACUUGGAACGAGUCUUCAAGCCAACGUGAAAAUCUCGUGGAGCCAAGAAUGAGUACCAAACCUCAAAAUAUUCGCUGGCGAAGUAUGAGGCCUUCUGAUCCUGGACAGCCUCCUACCGAGCGAUGAAUUAGACUGGGCUGGUUAGUCGCUCUCCAAAAAGGGACCAGUUGAUAGAAUGCCGAUGGUCUGUGGCAUAGAAAAGCCGAAAGUAUGUCGGAAAAUCAACAGGUUGGCCCCAAGUAAAGGGCUACGGGCAGCCGAGAGCCAGACUAUAUGUGUCAAAUUAAGGAGCCGAAUCUAGAUCGAGGGGGGUUUGGCACAAAACUGGAAAAUAAAUUUGCAAACAAAGUUGCAAAAACCAGAGAAUGUCGCAACAAGAGUCGAUCACCACACUGUUCUUCGAUGGCAGUGGCUUGAUCGACUCAAAGAUCUCUCGAUAGAGGAAAGAUUGAAAGGACGAAUGGAGUGCCAACUUCUCGCCAUAGGCCAACGCAACGGCAAUGGGGACAAAAUCUCGGUUGAUCUUCUACGAACAAGUGCCAAAAAGAUUGUGGCAGAGUCAGUAAAGGAGAAAAGCAAUACGCUCCUUCUUCGUGACCGGAGCAGGAGCCUGACCGGCAAACCGUCGCAUAAAUUUAGUGUAGACAAGGUCUGCCUUGGGAUCAAGAUGGACCUCAAACUCCGCCACACCAUCGAGGUUAUAGGUCAUAAAUAAGAUGACACCAUAAGGGUAGAGACCAAUGAUCGCCGCUAUAUCGAAAAGGGUCGGGAUGAAAGGCCCUUCCUUGAAGAAGAAAGUAUUAGAAAUUGGAGACCAGAAACAUAGAGCCGCAAAUUGGCGUAAGACACCUCAACUCAGUUCAACCAAGCCAAAAGGCGUCCGAAACGCGAGGCCAGGUACGAAGAUUUUUUCCUAAUGGCUUCAAGGUAGACCAAAAAGGGAGAUGAAUGACAUCGGCCAUUAGGAAAAGCCCUUCGGCCGAGAAAGAAAAGGCAUCAGGUGUAGGGAGGCGCCAUAAAAGAAAGGCCAAGCACAAAUCGAUAUGGGUCCAACUCGACAUACUGUCUGAGAAGAGUAUAGUCGAGAGACAGAGAAGAAGGAAGAGAAAGAAUCGGUGUCAUCGAAGGAGACUUGGAAUCGAAAGGAAGAAACAGAGGUUUGAAGAAGAAAACCCUUAAAAAAAAUGAGGAAAAUGGAAAAAGAGAAGACGAAGGGUUGCAAGAAAAGCGAAGCUGUUAUGAUGACGAAGUGACGGUAGCUAUUAAUGCCCUAGAUGAGACAAAAGGGUACAAGAAAUUAUAGCCGUCAAAGAAUGAAAUCAAGUACAGAGGUACGGCUAGGAAGAAUGGGCGAUGUAGAGCGUUCAAUCUCAACGUUCUAUAGCGGCUUUCAAUCUUGGCCAUUGCAAAAAGUGACGCCAAUCACCCGAAAUAGUUGUUCGAGAGGUUGCCGAGGGGGUAUUGUUGGCGCCAUAAAAACGGUGCCACGUGGUAAGUUAGCCUACACCACGUGGAGGGCUCCCAAAGCGAAAAGUGGAGAAGCAUGUGGUGCGCCAGGUUCUGAGAAGAAUACGCCCAAAACCGAACUUUGGUUAAGCGAGAUGCAGUUGAGACUGGGCAGGAGUGGCCCGAAGAGGGACCUGACCGAGAUACACCUCAUAAUGGGGAAUAACUGAAUAACGACAGGUGGGACUAUAACUAUACAAAAUACACUUUCUAGAAGGGUCUUUUUUUUCCAACGAACAAGAAGACCAUUCUAUUUCCAGUAUUUUUCUGCUUUUAUAGCAGUAGUCUACUUGUAGUAUUCAAUUUCUCUCGCAUUUUUCUUGUGAGACCCCAGAUAGUCAUAUAUAUAAGAUGUAAUAGGGCUGGAACUCUUAACCCGACUUAAGCAUUUUGGGUGGUGUCUAGUCCCAAGAGAUUAAGGGAGUUAAGCGUGCUAGGACGGAACUAAUCCUGGGAUGGGUAACCUCCUGGAAAAUUUGGGCAUCACAUUUUUAUUUUUCUAUGAGUAGUUUUUAAGAUAGAAUUCUUUGUAACAAUAAAACUCAUCAUUCUGUAAACUUCUUUCGCUUUGAAAUACAUAUCGGAAUCACUCAGCUCAUUUCAGCCGAAUAUAUAGUGGAGUGCUUGAAUUUGGAUGAGCGGAUCGCUCAUCAACCAAUCGCUUGAUUUAGUCUUGGGCUCACUCUCGAGGGUCACUUUCGGAAACCGUUCCUUUCUCUACUCGUUUCCCGAAGCGGAUCUCUGACUGAGUCAGUGGUCCAGAAAUCACUACAACAAAAACAGUCUAUAGCGACACUUUUAAAUAUCGGUACAGGUCAAAAAAAGUACUGCUAGUUAAAUUACCGACAGUUUUGAAUAGUGUCGCUAUAUGUGGGUUCGCUAGGUAUAUAGUGACAGUUAAAGAGUAUUGCUAUAGGCUAAAAAGAGUGCUGCUAAUUUACCAACACCUAUUUAAGCAUUUAACAACCGCCGGAACUCUACCUCGUUGGCUGCGGUGGCGGAGGAGGACAAGAGGGAAGAGAUCUUCAUCUAAGAUUUCAGUAGAUUAAGUGAAGGGAGAAUGGGGAUGGUAAUUGAUUUUUUUUUUUCUUUUUUAUUUGUAAUAGGCCGAAUGGGCUAGGUAGGGUGGGUUGAGUAGAGUAAUCUUUUAUUUUUGGUUGGAUUGAGCUUUAUACUUAGUCAUUAGUAUAUUUUUUUUUAAGUUUUGAUAUAAAUGAGACACUUAUAUAAAAAUGUUCUAAACAUGUGUCUCUAUAAUUUUAUUUUGUUGCAGUGAAUUCGACUCCCAACAGCUCAAUUUUUAAUAAUGACUAGUGAAAAGUACCAUUGAACAUGUCCAAAGGCCAUGGCUCUUGGUGAAAUAUGAAUAUUUCUGUUCAGUAACUUUAGUUUGACAAAUUUAAUGUCUGAUAUGGUACAUGCUAUUAUUAAAUUCUACAAUACUUCACUAAUCAAUAUAUUUUAGUUCUGUUUGAAAUUCAGUUGGACAAGUUAUAUUUCUUAGAGGCGUGCUACAAAUACAAUACACCACUUAGAUCAUAGCUAUUAACUUUUUAAAAAAUUAACGGCUGAGAUGUCACUUUGACUUCAUAAGAACCGACUAUUGAAGCCCGGUACGAGUCAUCCAAUAGGAAUAAAAAAUUACUAGUGAUCCGCGCAAUGCAGCGAAUAAAUAUAUUAUAAUUUUUUAAAAUUUAAAUUCGAAAUUUUAGAUCCUUAUAUUUCUAUAAGUUAUUUUGUAAAGAGUAGAAUACAUUUACUUUAAAAGUUUUAGUAAUUUUAAACUAUAUUAAAAAGUAUGAAGAUUCUUUUUUGAACAUUUCAAUUUUUUACACUGAAGCAUCACGAUAGAUAUCAAAACACAUUUAUUUCUGACAACUUUAUAUAGAUGGCUUAUUAUAUAGAUAGUGACGUGUAUGUUUAAUAAGAAACAAUAGAAAAUAUAUUUAGCAAACAAAUUCUAAUAUAUUCAUUAGAUUGCGCUAAGUAUGGCGUUAGGUUGCGUAAUAAUUGAUCAUUGCAAAACUUCUAAACCCUAAUAUAAACAAAUCUACCAAAAUUUUCAAUACAAUCAAAUCAUUAUACAAUGGAGAUAUUAUGAUUUGUAAACAAAAAUAAAUAUAAAAAUUUAUAACAUAGUAACCAAAAUAUUAAAAGCAAAUAUUAAAAAAAUAUAGAAAUCCUAAAAAAAAAUUAUCUUAAAUUUGAAGAGUCGAAUCUCACGUAAUUUAAAAUAUACUGUACGGUAGAAAAAUCUGAUUAAACAAAUAAAACAUCAAAUUCAAAUCAAAGAAAAACAUUUCAAAAUAUAGUUAAUCGUUACAGGCAGAUACGGUCAAUUUUCUUGAGACAAAAUAAACAGUAUUUAGUAUAUCAUUUUUUAUUCAUCCAAAAUGAGUAUGAAUACAACCCUUUAUAUAGACUCUAAAAUAACAUUUAAUAUUCUAGGAUGACUUUUCAUUUUCUUGUAUUAAAAUAUAUGACUUUUUAUAUUUCCAACUUUUUAAAUUCUUAAAUUUAUUAAGUUAUCCAAUAUUUCAACUUCUAAUUAAUUUUAAAAAAUAAUAAAAAAAUUGGUGGGUCCGACACCAUUAAUUUAAGGGGUAGUAGGGCCACAUUCCCAAAUCAACGGGAUGGUGAUCUAUCCAUAGAAAAAAAAAAUGAUGAAUGAAAAAAUUCAAUUAAUUUGAAAAAAUAAAAAAAAUAGAUGACUUUUCAUAUUUCCAACUUUUGAAAUUCUUCAAUAUAUUAAGUUAUCCAACCUUUCAACUUCUAAUUAAUUUUAAAAAAAUAAUAAAAAAAUUGGUGGGACCCACACCAUUAAUUUAAGGGGUAGUGGGGUCUAUCCCCAAAUUAGAGGGAUGAUAAUCUAACCAUAAAACAAAAUGAUAAAAAAAAAAUUCAAUUAAUUUGAAAAAAUAAAAAAAUUAAUGGGACCCACACUCCUAAAUUAAAGAGGUUGGGCCACAUCACUUUUAAGAACAUAAGAAUUCAUAGUUUUAUAUAGAUAUAGAUUUUGGUGCAAUGAAAUUCCUCAAUCAUAUCUUAAGAAUGGUAUUAUGAACUUUUAUAUUUCUAAAUUUAUUCCUAAUUUAUUCCUAACUAGCGUAGGGACCUACGCUAUGCGACGGAUAAAAAUAUUUUAGUAAAAAUCUAAAGAGUACAGAUUUAAUAAACAAAUGUUAAAAAGAAACAGAAGAAAUAAUUAAAAUAUUAUGAAAGAUAAUAAAUAAUGAGAGAAAAACUAAAGAAGCUUAAAUUCACAUUUAACUAAUCAUAUUUAUCUAUUCUAUCAUCUUUCCUAACUCAAAUUAGAUUUCUUUUAAAAGCCAAUCAUUAUGCGGGCGGUUUUAGAAGAUGAGGGGUCUUGGAGGUUGGAAAAUGAGAAGGGAACGGUUUUGAAAGAUGAGGGGUCUCAGGAGGUUGAGAGAUGAGAGGGGAGCAGUUUUAGGAAAAGGAGGUCACGUCACGUCAGCAAGAUAUUGAGAAUUCAUAGAUUAGUAUAGAUACACCACUUAGGGACUGUUUGGUUACAUGCAUUUCCAACCGCUAUGCAUGCAUCUAUUAAUUUUUUGUUUGGUUUGGUGUAGUUAGGUCCAAUUGCUGCCGUUGCAUCUAUACGGAAAGGCCCAACUGCAGCAGUUGGUACUGCAGCCAAUUUUGACUGCAGUACCAACUGCUGCAGCUGGGCCGGAGUCAACUCACCCAUUAAAAAAAAACAAAGUGUGAUUUCCUUUUCAUUCGUUUCUUUUUUAUUUUUUUUUAAAAUACAUAUUCAUGAAAUCGGAUAGGAUUUAGUAAUAUUUGUUAGGGUCAAUAAAUUUUUUUCAUACACUUCUUAUUUUUCAAUCAUCUAGUUUAAUAAUAUUUUUAUUUUUAUUUUUUACCAAAUUUAUAUAUUUAUAUUUAAAAUUUAUUAAAUUCAUACUUAAGUUUAUAAUAUAUAAAUUAUAUAUAGAUUUAAAAGUCUUAAUUAAUAAUUAAAACAUGAUUACGUCAUACUCAGAAGAAGUAAUCUCACAUUUCUAUCAAAAAAUUGACAGAAUUUAUAAAUAUAAAUCUCAACUGCAGACUACCAAACAGAAGAAAUAUAACUACAGUAGUUGCAACUGUAUAAACCAAACAGACUAGGUGUAGUUAUGACUGCAGCAUUUAUAACUGUAUGUAAUUUUAAUUACACUAUUUUUAUAACUACAUCCAACCAACCGGCCCUUUAAUGAUUUUUGGAGAGAGAAAUCAACUCCUUUCUUUUGAGGUUAUGGUGUUACGGUGUCGAUUUUGAGAGAACUCUCUAUCUAAUUACACCAUGUUAUUUAAAAAGAAAAAAAAAACUUUUAAAUAUAGACAUUCGAAUUGUGAAUUUAAUAUUGGAAGAAAUUAAAAUUUUGAAAUUUGAAUCAAAUUCAAAAUAUCCUAACAUAUAUAGUACCAAUUAAAAUAAAACUUUCAAUUCAAAUUACAUUUCCAUUUCAAUUUAAAGAAAGAAGUUGGUUUCGUAAGUUAUAGAGCAUAUUAAAUUCAAAUUUAAAAUUAAUAUUCAAAAACAGAAACUUUAUAUUUAACUAAAUAAUAAAAGUUAGGUUUAUAAGUAAUAGUACAAAUUAAAUUCGAAUUUAAAAUUCAAAUUUAAUUUUCAAAAAUAAAAUUCUUUAUUUCGAAAUAAAUAAUAAAUUUUGAAUCCAAAUUGUUAAUUCAAUAUCGAAACAACAUAAAAUUUCGAAAAUCUUAAUCAAAUUCAAAUUUGUCUUGACAAUAAAUUCAAAUUGAUAAUAAAAACUUUUGAUUCAAUUUUGAUCAAAAACUUACAUUUCAAAUUAAAUUUUAAAUUCAAAUUUAGUUUAUUUAUUGAGGAGUUAGCUACUUAACAAAUUAGCCACUAUCUAAUUACAUAAGUCGGGAAAUCAAGUAAAGAAACAAAAAAUUGUAGGGCACAUAAUCGGCUAGUAAGGAAACAAAUUAGCCAUUUCAAUUCAAAUUUAGCAUUCCAAUUUCAACCUAAAGUGAGAAGUUGGUUUCAUAAAUACUAGCGUAAAUUAAAAUAAAAUUAUAUUUUUCAAUUUAAUUUUCAAACAUAUAAACUUUAUGUUCAAAUAAAUAACUAAAAUUGGGUUUAUAAGUAACAAUAUAAAUCAAAUUCGAACUUAAAAUUUAAAUUGAAUUCAAAAAUAAAAGUUAUAUUUAAAUAAAUAAUAAAUUUUGAAUUCAAAUUUGUUAAAUCAAUAUUGAAGAGUUCAAAAUUUUAAAAUAAUGGCUUAAUUACACUAUACUAGCUUGUACUUCACAAAAUUUUCACUUUCUACUGUGUACUUUUUUUCUUCUUUUUUUUUUUCACCGAAGGCACCACUCAACCAUCUUUUUUUCAAUUCCUAGGAUUAUUGGGGUGUCACAAACUCUCCACGUUAAGGCCCUGGCGUCCUUGUUAGUCCAAUCACACACACAGCCCAAGAUCACCAGGCGAUGUGAGACUCGUCUCGCUAGCCCGUCAUCCAGACCCUAGCUCAGCAGAAACUCGCCACACAUGUCCAGUUGAUGAACCGGCUCUGAUACCAAAUGUAACGACCCGACCCGCUAGCAAUAAUAACUCGUUGGGCCCAACCACCAGCCUAAAAUGCUUAUGCCAGUUAUUAUUAGCAGCGUGGAGGUCUCAUAUAAACUGAUCGGAAUCAAUAUCCUAUCCGAUGUGGGAUUAUUGGGGCGUUACAAACUCUCCCUGUUUAGACCCUGACGUCCUCGUCGGGUCCAAACCAGAUCACAGACAGACAGACCAGAACCAGGACCAUUACCAGGCGAUCUGAGAUUGUAGAGGUGGCUCCUACGGGUUCAAGAGGUGGCUCACACCAAACCCGUUGGUGUAGCACUUUGUCCCGCAUAGCACUUAGUUCUCACACUUCCGGCUAGUAUUUGCUCUGAUACCAAUUGCAACAAUCCGACCUGCUAGCAACAAUAACUCGUUGGACCCAAACCACCGGUCCAAAAUGCUUAAGCCCAGUUAUUAUUACUAGUGUUUAAGUCUCUUAUAAACCCAAUGACAACAAUCUCAUUCCCAUCCGAUGUGGGAUUAUUGGGGUGUUACAGACUCCCCCCAUUAUUUCCAUCCGAUGUGGGAUCCGUUAAGGCCCUGACGUCCUCGUCAGUCCAAUCACACACAUCCGAUGUAUCCGAUGUGGGAUUAUGUAUCCGAUGUGGGAUUAUUGGGGUGUUACAGACUCCCCCCGUUAAGGAUCUGACAUCCUCGUAAGUCCAAUCACACACACAGCCCAAGAUCACCAACCGAUGUGAGACUCGUCUCGCUAGCCCGUCAUCCAGACCCUGUCUCAGCCGAGACUCGCCACACAUGUCCAGCUGGUGAACCGGCUCUGAUACCAAAUGUAACAACCCGACCCGUUAGCAACAAUAACUCGUUGGGCCCAAACCACUGACCCAAAAUGCUUAAGCCCAGUUAUUAUAACUAGCAUGUAGGUCUCAUAUAUUCUAAUCAGAAUUAGUUUCUCACCCGAUGUGGGAUUAUUGGGGGCGUUACAAACUCCCCCUGUUUAGACCUUGACGUCCUCGUCGGGUCCAAACCAGAUAGCGAUGUGAAAUUCUAGAGGUGGCUCCUACGGGUUCAAGAGGUGGCUCCCACCAAAUCUGUUGGUGUAGCAUUUUGUCCUGCAUAGCACUUAGUUCUCACACUUCCGGCUGGUAUUUGCUCUGAUACCAAAUGUAACGACUCAGCCCACUGGCAAUAAUAGCCCAACACUGGCAAUAAUAACUCGUUGGGCUGUUGGCCGCAUAGCACUUAGUUCUCACACUUCCGGCUGGUAUUUGCUCUGAUAUCAAAUGUAACGACCCAGCCCACUGGCAAUAAUAACUCGUUGGGCCUUACCAACAGCCCAAAAUGCUUAAGUCUCAUAUAUUCUAAUCAGAAUUAGUUUUCCACCCGAUGUUGGACUAUUGGGUAGAAUUAGUUUCCCACCCGAUGUGGGAUGUGGGACUAUUGGGGACGUUACAAACUCCCGACGUUAGUCUAAUCACACACAGUUCAAGAUCACCAGGCGAUGUGAGACUCGUCUCGCUAGCCCGUCAUCCAGAUCCUGGCUCAGCCGGGACUCGCCACACAUGUCCAGCUGGUGGACCAGCUCUAAUACCAAAUGUAACGACCCGACCCGCUAGCAAUAAUAACUCGUUGGGCCCAAACCAUUGGCCCAAAAUAUUUAAGCCCAGUUAUUAUAACUAGCGUGUAGAUCUCAUAUAUUCUAAUGAGAAUUAGUUUCCCACCCGAUGUGGGACUAUUGGGGGCAUUACAUAAAGAAUAAUAAAAUACAUAAAAAUUAAAAAAAGGAAAUAAAACAAUAGAAGCCGUAAAUGAGUAUAGCAUAUAGCAUCAAUUUAUAUUUUUUUCUACUAUUUAAUUAGUUCUUUGAAAAAAAAUUGUUAAAUUUUGUCUCAACUAAUAGAUUUGUUAACAAUAGUGUAGAGAUUGGUCAAAUUCUUUUAACCAAUGCCUUUUGAAGGAAUUUGGUUUAAAUUCUUUCCUCUCAAAAUCAUUAAAAAGAUGCUAGAUAUCAUAAAUACUUCAUAAAAUUUCAAUGUAUUCUAACUCAUCCAUCAAACCGUCCCAAAUUGGACUAUUUAUAAUGAUUGAUUGGAUGGAAUUGCUAGUUUAACAAUUAAAUGUAAUUCAAAUAAGUUAAAAAUUUGUUAGAAAAUUCUUUCUUAGAGAGAAUGGUGAUUUUGACUAGGCUUGACAAACGAACGAAUUGAAUAAUCCGUAGGUGGAUUAUUAUAUUCGCAGGUCAUAUAGGUAUAAGUAAAAUUUAUCCAUAAAUUUUUGCAUAGUCAAUAUUUUUUUACCCGUACACACCCAUGAGCGGUAGGACGAGUAUGCAGGUUACCUGCAAAGACUUCUUUUUUCGCUCCUAUACUUUCCAAAUCAAAACAGAUAAAUAUAUUUUUUAAAAGCAUGAAAAACAUAAUUUAUUUAGUAAAGUAUCACAACAUAUAAACAAUAUAAAAUUUUAAAAUGCAUAAGUUAUAUAUAAAAGUAUUUUAUCAUUCCAAAUUUUUGAGAUACAAAAUUAAUUAAGUUUUCGUGAUUAUAUAGUCAAUAUUAUAAAGAUUACACUUUUUAAUUAAAAAAUAUAUAUGCAGGUAUUCGUAGGUAUAAGCGCGUUGCCCAAAAUGCCCACAAUUUAACGGAUACCCACCAAUUUUACUUAUAAUUUUUUGGGUAGGAAAAACUAGUAUCCAUAUCUGCAAAUUUGCUAGUAAUAUGCGGAUACCCGUGAGUACGGAUAGAGAUUGUCAAGUCUAACUUUGACAGAGACUAGAAUACUUUUUAAAAGCAAACCGAUGCUUUUACUUCCGCACCAUUUUCAGUGAUGGAUCAUCAAAACUGAUGAUCGGCGCCAUUACAUGAGCUAGACUAUUUGAACUUCGCAAAAAUUGAAUUUUGUAAUUUUAAGAUAUCAUUUAGGUCAAAUGAUUGAAGCCUAUUUUUCUCUCAAAAAAAAAAAAAAAAAACAGAUAGCUCGCUAUCUUUCUCUUAAAAAAAAAAGAAAGAUGGUAUUUGCCUAUUCACCAUGUGUUGUCGAAUUCAUCUUAUAUUAAUCAUAUAAAAUUGUCAAUAUUUAAACCACUUGAAUACAAAACAAAUAAUUUCGAAAAAUUACAAAAUUUGAUUCCUAAAAGAUUUAAAUAAUUUAGAUCAGGUCUCGAUGGUCUUCGGAUGCCCCAUCGCGGAAAACAAUGACCUCAUUUUUCUAUUCCUAUAAACAGGAUGGUCGAGUAAAAGUUAAAAUAGAUGAAUGGAUGAUGGAUUCGUGAAUACGCUACACUCAAGGAACAAUUUCUCAUUGCCAAAUGAAUUUUUAGUGUUCUUAAUUAUUAUGGCAUGUGAGAUUUGCACACACAGCAAGAAUAUUCACAUUAAUUAAUCUACAUUAUCUUAAUUGGUGCUAAUUAAGGAUAGACUUCUUGAUGAUGAACAAGAGUUUAUUUGAUCACAAAGACUGUCAUGAAUAUUAGUCAUGUAAUAUUUGCCCUUCUCUGCUAACUUUUUUUGUGGGGUAAAUUGCAUGUUUGGUCCUCAAACUAUGAGUCUGGUGAAACUUUGGUCCUCAAUUUUUAAUUUGUUAUAAUUUUUGCUUGAAUUUUAAAAAUUAUUGCAAUUAAGUCCCAAACUUAACUUUGAUGGCCAAGUUUUAAUAGAUUGUUAAUGUAGAAGUGACGUGAAAGUGUUGUGAUUGAGAAUACAUCAAUAGUUAAGAUGCUACAUCCCAUUUACAUUAAUGAUGUAUCAAUAUAUAGUCAACUAAAUUAGGUUGUGGGACUUAAUUGUUGUAAUAAUUUCAAAAGUUUGGGGCACAAUUGCUACAAAUUAAAGUUUGGGACCAAGAUUUCACCCACCUUAUAGUUUGAAAACCAAACGUGCAAUUUGCCCUUUUUCUUAAAAUUAUCAUUUGUGAUGUACCUGAUUUGUAUUUCUCGGACAAAAAAAUUAGUUAUUUCUAUAGCCCUAUUAAGUACGCAUUUAAAGUUGUUUUUUCAUAAAUUUUUAGUAUUUAUUUUUGUCUACAAAAUCAUCACUAAUUUUCAAAGCUUUUACUUCUAAGCUAUUUUUAAGUUGUUUUGCUUAUGCACUAACAUUUUGAUUCUUUUUUUGGCAGAUUAAAUGCGCGACGAGAUCAAUGCACUGAAUUUCUAAGCACUAAAAUCUUUAAGAACUUUCACUACCAAGAAACAAUAAUGGCCGAGGUUGCAAUACUUUUAGCCAUUCAAAAGCUUGGUCUUGCAUUAGGUACAGAACUGCUGAACCAAGCUAGCUCUCUAUUUUCACAACAACUAGCAUCAUUGGCAGAGCUCCCUAAUAGUAUGGAACGCAUGAGCCGUGAACUCCAUGUGAUUCAUGGAUUCCUACUUCACAUCGAUAAGGUAGAUAGAAAAAAUCAAAUCCUAGAAGCAUGGAUAGAGGAGGUACGAAAAGUCGCAUAUACUAUUGAGGAUAUUGCGGAUGAGUAUAUCUAUCUUAUAGUUCAAGAUAAGCAACGACAAGGUGGACUGGUUGGUUAUAUGAAACAAGUGUUGAAGCAACCAAAAUCGUUUAAUAUCUUGCCUCGUAUUGCCUCUCAAAUAAAACAAGUAGAGAACGGCCUUGACCACCUCUCACGCUUAAAAGAUCGAUGGAUUCAAACAACAAGUAUUGGGCAUAGUACUAGUUCAGGUAAUGUGAGCGAAUGGACACAACAUAUGGGAAGCUCUUCUCUUUUCAUGGGUGAGGAACACCUCGUAGGGAUUGAGGAAGACCGAGAUACGUUAACUUAUUGGUUGAAGUCUGAGAAAUUGGAUCUCUGCAUAAUAACAGUGUGGGGUAUGGGCGGGCUCGGAAAAACUACUUUAGUCACCAAUGUUUAUAAAAGAGAGAGUAGAAAUUUUGACUGCUUUGCCUGGAUUUCUAUUUCUCAAACUUUUAAAGCUGAUGUUCUUUUUCGAAAAAUGAUUACUGAACUCUUUGGCGACCAAAAGAUAGUUCCAACUGACAUUGCCACCAUGGAUGAUAGAAAGUUAAGGGAGAAAGUAAAAGAAUUAUUAGGCCAAAAAAAGUAUCUAAUUGUACUAGAUGAUGUAUGGGACCCGCGAGCAUUUUAUGAAUUGCAAGAUUCUCUUGUUGAUGAUCAGAAAGGAAGUAGAAUAUUUAUUACAACCAGAAAUGAAGAAGUAGCAUCACUUGCAAACAAAGACUAUAAGCUUGAACUCAAACCUUUAUCCCCUCGUGAUGCGUGGAAUCUUUUCUGCAAGAGAGCAUUUAGGAACGAAGGAAAUCAAAAAUGUCUUCGGGAGUUAAAAAAAUGUGCAGGCAAAAUCGUGGCCAAGUGCAAAGGGUUGCCACUAGCUAUUGUAUCACUUGGCAAUCUCCUGUGCUUAAGAGAGAAUAGAGAGACUGAAUGGAAGCGAGUUUGUGAUCAGCUUAAUUACGAGCUUGCAAACAACCCAAGUCUCAAUCCCGUGAGAAACAUCUUGAAUUUGAGCUUCGACUGUCUUCCAAGACAUCUAAAGAAUUGCUUCCUCUCUUGCAGCAUGUUCCCAGAGAAUCAUCUUCUUAAAAGAAAAUUGCUUAUCAGGCUAUGGAUAGCAGAGGGUUUUGCAGUAGAAAGAGGAUCAAGCACGGCUGAGGAAGUUGCAGAAGGAUACCUCAUGGAGCUUAUCCGUCAGAGCAUGUUGCAAGUAGAAGAGAAGAACCACUUUGGUAGGGUAAUGUAUUGUCGGAUGCAUAAUCUUGUUCGUGAGCUGGCUGUCUCUUUAUCUGAAAGGGAGAAGUUUCACAGUAUUUAUCAGGAUAACGGGAGGGAAAGGGUGGUCGAUGCUAAUGCCCGUCGCCUGUCUGUUCUCAAAUGCAGCAAUGAUAUUGGAUUCGACAUUGAUCUACCACGGCUACGAACCUUUAUAGCAUUUGACACUACUAUGCCAUCAUCCUCAUUUUUACCUAUGUUUCCAUCCAAAUCAAGGUAUAUUGCAAUUCUGGAACUGCAAGGCUUUCCUAUUGAGAAUAUACCCAAUGCUAUUGGAGACUUAUUCAAUUUGCGAUAUUUGGGUUUAAGAGAUACAAAGGUAAAAUUACUACCAAAAUCCAUUGGCAAGCUUUCCAACUUGUUGAUCUUGGACCUCUGUCGAUCAGCUAUACAAAAGCUGCCUCGUGAGAUCACGAAUCUCAAGAAGUUGCGGCACAUGUUUGUUGAGAGGGUAAAUGACCCGACCGGAAAAGCCUUUCGCUUGCGUAGUGGUGUACGUGCACCAAAGGGUUUGUGGAAUUUAAAAGAAUUGCAAACGUUGCAGGCGGUUGAAGCAAGUAGCGAGUUGGUUGGGCGACUAGGAAAUUUGACCAACCUAAGAAGCUUUAGAAUAUGGAAUGUAAAGGAAACCUACUCUGCACAACUGUGUGCAUCAUUAUCACAGAUGCGUAGUCUUUCCUACUUAAGCAUUAAUGCAAGUGAUGAAAAUGAGUUUCUCAAUUUGAAAGGCCUGAAUCCCCCUCCCACGAAUCUUAAAAAGCUUACUCUAACAGGUAGAUUGGCAGCAGGAACGAUGGAGUGUCCUUUGUUCCAAGAUCUCCGAGAAUUAUGUCUAGUUUGGUGUCAGCUAACUGUGGAUCCACUUCCGUCACUCGCUCACUUAUCAAACCUCACUUACCUACUUCUUCAAGGGGCGUAUAAUGGGCAUCAGUUGUGCUUUCGUGUUCAGUGGUUCCCUAAUUUGAAGCUGCUUCACUUGAUUGACCUGCUGCAACUCGAACGAGUGAUGAUAGAGGAGACAGCCAUGUCAAACUUGGAAACUCUAUAUAUGGAAGACCUCAAAAAACUAAUAGAGGUCCCAGAAGGCAUUGAAUUCCUCACAUCGUUGCGGAAGCUAGUUUUGUAUGAUAUGGAUCCUCGUUUGACCAGUGGUUUAGAAGAAAACGACAAACUUGGACACAUCAGCUCCAUCUAUACUAAGUAGGAAGCACUCGAGGUGCCUUCUUUUCGCCUGGAUUCACUCACAAGUAAGUUUCUGCAUGUUUAAUUCAAUUGUGUGAAUAUCUUGCUCACAAAUUUCACCCCCGUGCGUUCUUUUACAAAGUUCACCAAGUUUUCAUGUUUAAUCCAACACUACUUGCGUACGACACAUAAACUAUGUUAGUAUGCAUAUCUUAUGUCUAAUUUAUUGAUUUUCUCUUCUUUGAUUUGAUUUUUCUUCGUUUUAAUCUCAUUUGGAUCCACAAGCAUAUGAUUAAUAUAUUUUUAUGAACUUAAAUUCCAUAAUAAAAUUCCUAGUUAGGCAAUUGCUAAAACAUUGUUUUUUUCAAUACAGUAUAGUUCUGAUCUCAUAUUUAUUUAGCCAACAUAUAAAUUGCUAGGAACAUAUGGAAGUGCGAGAAAAGAGCGAGAGUAGCGAGAUUAGAAGUGUAGGGAGUGAGGAAGGAGGUCAGGAGAAGUUAAGGAGGAGCCUGUGUCGAGAUAAGGGGAGGAAGAAGCGGAAGUCGAAGAGGCUAGCUUGGGCAGACGAAGUAGGUGGAAAGUUAUUGAAGGUCUUCGACAAUCAUGAUGACGAAGAUGUGGCCUUUCACGCUGCAUACGAGGUAGGUGGAAAGUUAUUGAAGGUCUUCGACGAUCAUGAUGACGAAGAUGUGGCCUUUCAAGCUGCAGACGAGGUAGGUAGAAAGUUAUUGAAGGUCUUCGACGAUCAUGAUGACGAAGAUGUGGCCCUUCACGCUUCCACCAAAGGUGACUCCCGAGGGAAAAAGGUAGGUUUUAAUGAUGACCCCUCCUAGGCGUGCUUAGGGCUUCACCUAAGGGGGCUGGGAGUGGGAGGCCGGCCUUACCUGCUUUCAGCAAAGGAGACCGCCGAGGAAAAAAGCUUGGUUUUAAUGAUGAACACCUUUUGGGUGUGCUUCGGGCUUCGCUAGAGGGUUCGGGGAGCGAGAGGUUGGUUUUACGUGCAUCCAGCAAAGGCAUCCCCCGAGGGGAAAAAGUGGAGGUUAAUGCAGAUCACCCUCCGGGAGUGCUACAGGCUGCGCCUGACGGCUCAAGGAGGGGGAAAAAGACCAGGGGGGAAAGUGGCGACAUUUACUACCCUAAGCUUGCUUCUGGGUCCUAUAAGGAGGCGCUGAUGAGAGCUCCGAGAAAACAGCCUCCUACUAACACUCGCCAAGCUUUUCGUAUAUCUCAUCCUUCUGGCCUCACGGGUUUUCCGAACCGUAGACGAGAGGUGAGGUGCUUCCGGUGUCUCGCGAGAGAUCACAGAGUAGCGGAGUGCCGCGACCCUGUGCGGUGCUCCAGGUGCUGGAAAACGGGACACCGAGCUCGCAGCUGCGGAGGACUAAGGAAGAGAGGUCACUUCGGCAUGAAUAGGGAGGUGCACCGUAGAGCACGAGUACCCCUGCCGAAGGUGUACAUUCCGUACACGGAGGAGUACCUGCGGAGAGUGGAAAUGAGACGGAAUGCCAUCCUUGCGGAUGUGAUCCAGCCGGCUAACCUUGGACCGGAUCCUAUUUCUACCAUCAAGAGUGCCUUGGCGAGUCGGUUCGGGGGGUACAAAGAUGACUUCGCGGUGGCGCGUUGCAGGGAAAGGGAAUACGCAAUAUUCCUACCGGAAUGGGCCCUGGCACCAGCGCUCGUCCGAAGGGAAAUCCUAACCCUCAACAACUUCUGGUUAAGGGUUUACCCCUGGGGUCAGUAUCGCUAUGUUCGUCCACACCCUGCUCGCUUUCGAGCUUGGAUCCGUCUUAUAAAUCUUCCAUUCGAGAUAUGGUCGGUGGCGCGCGUGGCGACGCUAGUCAGUGGUUUUGGACGCUUCAUAAAGGCGGACGGAGUGACCAAGGCGAUGACGGAUUUUCGAGCUUUUCGGUGCCAAAUCAGCCUUGACUCGAUCGGUGCUAUCCCCCAGAACCUAUUGGUCAUUAUCGGCGACGAACUGUUCUCGGUUAUGGUCCAUCUGGAGAGCUAGGAACGGAUAGAGAACGCGGGGAUUCCGGCACCCCCUGCGAACGGGCAGGAGGACGACGGGGCGCUGAUGGGAGACCGGCAAAACAGGCAACCCGAUAUUGGAGGAAACAGAGGAAAUGACCAGACGGACGAAGAGAUGGAAAACGAGGAGGGAGAGCUAGAGGAAGUUGAGCCCGCUCUGUCGACGCAGAGGGGGAGGGGGACCUCAAGGGCUUCUAGGCUGCCCAUGGUUACCGACCUGGCUUCUGCGGCGGCGAGGUUUCGGGCGACGGCGAGGGUCUGCGCGGUGCAGGGACGAGUGGUCUGGGUGGCAACGGGCCGUUCCUGUGCGAGAUUCGAGGCCUCAGGUGAACCCGAAUCGAGGCACGCAAGGAGAGGCGGGCCUUCCAAGACUUGCAGGAUUUUGGACUGUUGGUCCAGUGGGUGUUGGGGAAAGCCUCUCUCUCUCUUUAGCUCUCGUUCUGGGGGCGUAUCUCGGGAGAAAUUCUCUCCUAGCAGGGUGGGUGAGGGGCCCAUUGUAUUUAAUGCUAAUAUGGGAUUUGAUGUGGCCGCAUGUAUUACUGAAACUAAGUGGGAGGGAGGAAGGCAUAGUGCUCGACUAGCGAGACUCUGGAGACUAGCAAUGGGCGUCUGCAGUAUCCCGUUUCGACUUUUGAAUCAGGUGCGGCGCAAGGAGGUACCUUAGUGCUACCUUCCACGGCGGCGGACUUGGUCAUGACGGGGGCAUCAUCGAAUCUCCUCUUGGUCCGUUCCGGCGAAGACAGCCCCCUCCUUAACUUCCGCCGUCGCAGUGAGCGCCUUAAUAGUGUUGACAAGAGCUCGGUCCUGCACAAAGCUAUGUCGUGGAAGGCUAGGCUACUGGAAGGUGAGGGCAGCAGGGUGGUUGACCAUACUGUUCGAAAGGCCAUUCAUAAUAGUCGGUCCUGUGGGGUGAAUCUGGGAGUGGCGAAGGCGGAAAGUUUCGUCGGCUUCGCAGCUUAUUGUGCUUAGGGUGGGACGGUCUGUUGGUUUACUGGUUGACCUUUGGGUCUCUUGGGGUCUUGGGGUUCAGGGUGUCUUAGUGUCUUUUUAGAUGUUUCGUGUUUGUAGUUGGAAUGUUAGAGGGCUUAACGACCCGUCUAAAAGUAACGCCGUUAGGGCGGUGAUCUCUAAGUUAUGUAAUGCGGUAGUGUGUCUUCAGGAGUCUAAAGUGAGUCAUGUUUCGGGAUCCUUUCUGAGAAGCUUUGGUGGUUCGUUUAUCGACAAAUGCGUUUUUGUGGAAUCUAAUGGUGCCUCUGGGGGUUUAAUAUAUUGCUGGAGUUCACGUGUCUUCUCUUGCCAUGAAGUCAUUGUGCGACGAUUUUCCAUUACGACACUGCUGACUCAUGUAGCAUCGCAAGCUAAGUUCUUUGUUACUAAUGUGUAUGGACCCCCCACGUAGGAAGGCAAAGAGGAGUUCUGCUCGGAGGUUGCUCAAUUGAAAGUAUGCUGCACGGGGAAAUGGAUUGUCUGUGGAGACUUUAAUAGUACUAGAGGACAGAACGAGCGGAGGGGGAAAACCUGGAGCCUAAAAGCAACCCACAUAUUCAACGAUCUUAUUAAAGGACUGGCUCUGAUCGAUCUGCCUAUGGUGAACCAAUCCUUCACCUGGUCUAACAUGCAGACGAACCCGACUCUAGCUAGACUCGACCAUUUUCUAGUUUCGACCGAAUGGGAUUUGGAUUAUCUGCUGACCAAGGUUGAAGCCUUACCCAGAGUGACGUCAGAUCAUUACCCUAUUCUGUUGACUACCAAGCGAUCCGAUACGCUGAAGAACAAGAACAAGAUCUUUCGCUUUGAAGAGGCAUGGUUGAACCACGAGGACUUUGUAUCAAAAGUCUUGGACUGGGGGAGGGAGGGGGCUCAGAAGAAAUCGGCUGUACUAGCUUUCGCCGAGAAACUUAGACACUGUAGAACAAGAAUUAAAGAGUGAUGUACGAACGAAUUUUACAGCAUCCGUGGACUUAAAUCUAAAAUUAUGGGAGAGAUCCAGGAAAUCGAUGGCUGUGAAGAACUGCGGGAGCUAUCACAAGACCAGUACUCGAAAAGAGAGGAGCUCAAAGAUAAACUUCGGAAGGUCUUAAACGACGAGGCGGACCUGUGGAGAAUCCGGGCCAAACAGCACUGGCUGCAGGAGGGGGACGGAAACACUAAAUUUUUUCAUUCCAUAGCAAACGAAAGGAAAAGAACAAAUGGUAUUGGUACGAUUAAGGACAACGGAGGUGUGUACCAAUCAGACGACGAAAAGAGGAACUAUUUUUAUCGCAAAUUUAAGGAGCUCUUCACGUCGGAUGCGACGACCCCGACUUCCUUUGGGGAUUGGAGCGGCCUCUUCACCACGAACCGCGUGUCCAAACCCAAUAUAGCCCGUCUGACCGAACCAUUUAGUACCGCAGAAAUUAAGGAAGCAAUAUUCCAACUAGGGAGCGACAAGGCGCCAGGUCCGGAUGCAUUUCCGCUAAGGUUUUAUCAACUCUUUUGGGAUUCUUUAGAAGGGGAUAUAUCGGCGCUCUUCCGCGACAUGCAUGAGGGAAGACUUACCACUGACCCUAUUGACUACUCGUUCAUCUGUCUCAUUCCCAAAAAAGAGGGGGCGGAGCGGGCGAGCGAAUUCCGGCCUAUAAGCUUACUUAACGGUAUCCAGAAAAUCCUGUCGAAGGUCUUGGCUAACCGGCUGGAACCGAUUAUGGAUGACCUUAUUUCCCCUUCCCAGUCGGCAUUCCUGAAGGGGAGGAGCAUAUCUGACGCCUUCGUUGCAGCAUCUGAAUUACUUGGCUGGGGAUGUAAGAAGGCUAUCGAAGUGGUCGGGUUGAAGGUGGACUUCAAAAAAGCUUACGAUCGGAUCAGUUGGCCUUUUCUAUUCCAAAUUCUAGACUGGUUCGGCUUUGACACUAAAUGGAUCGAUUGGAUCAAGCUUUGUGUGUGCUCGGCAAAAGUAGCGGUCUUGGUUAACGGAGCGCCAACUAAGUGGAUUAAGACAAAAAGAGGGGUUAGGCAAGGGGACCCUCUAUCCCCCUUUCUUUUCUUGCUAGUGGCUGAGUGUUUGGCCAGGAUGACGACUGUAACAUUUAAUAACAAUCUACUCAAGGGCUUGGGUCCAUCCGAGGCGAGUAGGAUAUCCAUCAUCCAGUUCGCGGACGACACUUUCUUCUUCUGCGAAGCUAAAAAAAGGUAUAUUAGAAAUUUGAAGUUCUUGUGGCAGCUGUUCAAAUGGGCCACUGGAAUGAAGGUCAAUAAGGAGAAGUCAGAACUGUUCUAUACGUGACGAUUUGAAGGAAAGGCAAGAAGCCUGGCGGACUUACUUGAGUGUAGUGUGGGUACCCUCCCUACCAAGUAUCUUGGUCUUCCACUAUCUAGUAGAGCUCCUUCGAAGGCGGACUGGAUGGGAGUAAUCCACAAAAUCCAAAGUAGAAUCGACGGAUGGCAAGCUAAACUUCUCUCCAGAGGAGGUAGACUGGUGCUGGUGAAUGCGGUCUUAACCAACAUACCUCUAUUUUACUUGUCUACCUUCAAGGAGCCCAAAUGGGUGAUCAAACGCAUUGAGGCACUUCAGAGAGACUUCUUUUGGAAAGGUAGUAGCCACACCCCAGGCAAGGGUAGCCUGAUUGCCUGGAAAAACGUCUGUAUAAGCAAGAAAGAAGGAGGGCUCGGUAUCUUGGACCUAGCCGUUAUGAAUCAAGCGCUACUUGCCAAAUGGUGGUGGAAGUUCCACACAGCACCUCAGCUACAGUGGAGCAAGAUUAUCCGCGAUCUAUAUUACCGCAAAAGAAGACCAUUAAAGGAGGGAAGAUCCUUUAGGCCCCGGUCACACUGGUGGAAAGGUGUCCUAUGUCACUCCGAUAUCUUCAAAUGGGGAGUAUACUAUAAAUUGGGGAAUGGAAGCACUAUUGAUUUUUGGUUGGAUAGAUGGUGUGGGGAGAAGACCCUGCAGCUGGCCUACCCAGAGGUGUAUGAUACGGCAGAAUGCAAGACUGUUAAAGUUAAGGAUUGUUUGGGAAGCGGUGGGUGGAACUGGAAUAUGAUUCUAGGAGGCGAAGGCGUAGGUAAUCAGGUUUUGAGCCCCACCUGGUCAGAAUUUUAGGAUCUUAUCUCUGCUAGCACAGGUAAUCAAAACCCUGACACGAUCAUUUGGCGGUGGGACCCCGGGGGGCGUUUCUCGGUAAAGUCGACAUACUCUACGCUGACGGACGGAGGUACGAGGGAUGGCUGGGCAAACGCACUGUGGAGGCUUCGUGUACCCCUAAAGGUUAAGGUGUUCUGCUGGCUCGCCCUUAAAAAGAGACUACUUACGGCUGAAAACCUUAUACAAAGAGGGUGGAGCGGUGACACGACUUGCGUCCUGUGCGGUUCUGAGGAGGAGAUCGUGGACCACUUGUUCUCAUUUUGUGUCUUUGCUAAAUUCAUUUUCGUGAUGGCACUGGAGGGUGACCAAGUUCUGGGUUCGGGAGAUGGUGUUCUAGGGGUGUGGGAUAGAUAUACGAGUUCGAAGAGCACACAUUCUAAGUUUACCAAGCUUCCGGAACUAGCGGCUUGUUGGUGGAUCAUCUGGGAGAGCAGGAACCACGUGAUCUUCAGGACGACCCAGCCGGAUCCCCUGGGAUCUUUCGGUAAGGUUAAAAGGCUGGUGGGGCAUUGGGAACUAUUGCCGUAGAACCCUUUUUUUUUUUUUUUUUUGAGGUCUAGCUGCCUCACUCCCGUAGCCUAAUUCAUUUGAUCAAUGAAUGAAGCGGGUAGCAAGCUACCUUUUUCUCAAAAAAGUAAAAAAAACAUAUAAAUUGCUACUGCAGAGAAAAUAUUAUAAACCAAAUAUAUUCGUUCAAGUCCUAGAAAGAGGCUUUGCCAAUUUAUUGAAAUUCACAAUUUAUAUUUUUAUUUUACUGUAUGCUUUCUAUUGGCAAUGGUCAUAUAAAUUGGCUAUUCAUUACAUACUAGUGAACGCCUGCGCUUCGCGGUGGAAAAUUUACGUAAUUUUUUAUAUAUUUUAGUCAAUUUUUUUUAAUUUUUAAAUUUUAAAUUUAAUUUUAAAUUUUAAACUGCAAGAAAUUGAAGAAAGAGGACAAUUAAAAAACUUAUUUUAUAUGUAUUAUUUAUAAACUAAUUAAUUAUAUCAGAAUAAAUAAAUUUAAUUAAUUAUUUAAUUUAUAGAGUUUAAAAAAUUAAAAUUUUAAACUUUGAAGUUUAAAUUUGAAAUAAAUAUUAUAUAUCAACAUUUAAAUUUUAAAUUUAAAUAUAAAGUAUAAAGUUUAAAAAGUAAAAAGUUAAAAAACUCUCUCUCUCCCUCUCUCUCUCCCUUUCUCUCUCUUCCCCCUGGCUCCCCCUCUCUCUCUCUCUAGAAGAGAGAGAGAGAGAAAGAGAGAGGACAGAGAAGAGAGAGAGAGAGGGAGGAGAGUUUAUAUGUAUUAUUUAUAAACUAAUUAAUUAUAUUAUAUAAAACAGAAUAAAUAAAUUUAAUUAAUUAUUUAAUUUAUAGAGUUUAAAAAAUUAAAAUUUUAAACUUUGAAGUUUAAAUUUGAAAUAAAUAUUAGAUAUCAACAUUUAAAUUUUAAAUUUAAAUAUAAAGUAUAAAGUUUAAAAAGUAAAAAUUUAAAAAACUCUCUCUCUCCCUCUCUCUCUCUUUCUCUCUCUCCCCCCUGGCUCCCUCUCUCUCUCUUUCUCUCUCUCUCGCUCUCUCUAGAAGAGAGAGAGAGAAAGAGAGAGGGGGAGAGAGAGACAGAGACAGAGAAGAGAGAGAGAGAGAGGGGGAGAGAGAGAGAGAGAGGCAGGGCGGGGCGUAGGUUCCAUCGAGCCCGCCAAACGCGGGGAGAACGCCGUACGAACUCUUCUUUCAUUAUAUUUACUAGUGAAGUCCCGCGCUUCGCGGCGGAAAAUUUAGGUAAUUUUUAAAAUCUUUUAAACAAACUUUUUUUGCUUUUUUAAUUUGUUAAUUUAAUUUAAAAUUUUAAACUUACAAAAAAUAAAUAUAAAAUUAUAUAUAAUAAAGAAAUAUACAUUAUAAAUAAAAUUAUAUAUAUAUAAUAUGUAAGUUAAAAUUAAAAUUUAAAAUUUAAAAUUUUAAAAUAGUAAAAUUCUCUCUCUCUUUCUCCCUCUCUCUUUUUCUUUCUCCCCUUACUCUCCCUCUCUCUCUCCCCGCGCACGCUCUCUCUCUCUCUUCCCCUCUCUCCCUCUCCCCACCUCCCCUGGUGCUCGCCCUCGCGCCCGCGCGCCCGCCCCGCUGCCUGGCCCGCGCCAGCGCGCCAGGCCUGCUGCUGCCCCCCGCGGCUCCGCGUCCCACUGCUGCCCGCCCGCGCCUCCGCCUUCGCCUCCCGCUGCCGCCCGCUGGGGAGAGGGAGAGAGAGAGAGAGAGAGAGAGAGAGAGAUGGCGGGGGGAGUAAAAGAGGGAAGAGAGGGGAGAGGGGGGUGGGGGGGGAAAGAGAGGGAGAGAGCAGUGGGGGAGGAGGGAGUGGUAAAGAGGAAGAGGAGGGAGGAAAGGCGCGCGCGGGGGCCGCGGGCCGGGAACCCCCCGGCGCGGCCCGCACCCGCCGGGUGCGGGUUGAGGGCACGUGGGGGAGAGAGAGGGGCCUCUCUCUCUCUCUGUCUGCUCUCUCUCUCUCUCUCUCCCUCUGUUCUCUCUCUCCCCCCCUCCCCCUNCCUUUCUGUCUGUUCUCUCUCUCCCCCCCCUCUCUGUCUGUUCUCUCUCUCCCCCUCUCUCUGUCUACUCUCUCUUUCUCUCUCUGGCCUCUUUCUCUCUACCCCUCUCUCUCGCGCGUGCUGCGGGCGCGGGUGGCCUGCACGCAGGCCCCCCGUUCUCUUUCUUUCUCUCCCUUUCUCUUUUCCUCGCGAGCGCGGAGAAGCGGCCACGUCGGCCACAGGAGAACUCUCGAUUCAAUUUAUCUAUAGAUAGAUUCGAUUUGUUUUCUUACUAUAUAAUUUAAGUAAUAAAUAUACCAGUGAAACUGUACAAACAUACUACGCAUUUAUCAAUUAUUUUUUUCCAACACCUGUUUCCUUACCAUGAAUUGAGUUUCAAUUUUUUUUUUUUUUUCCCUAUACUAGCGAAAGCUUGAAUGCAACGCAUGCAUUGCGCAAAAAUAAAGGAAAAAAAAAUUAAGGAGAUAGUUAUACUUGUAUAAAUUUUAUCUGGUUAUAAUUAUCUAAUCUGAUAGAAAAAUAAGAAGAAUUAUACUAGAUUUAUUCAAAUUUGUUUUAUCUAUAGAGCAAUACUUCAAUACACCAUAUAAAUCUUUACCAUUUAUUUAGAAAAAUAGCUGAGAUAUAAUAUGACUCUAGGGGUGCGUUUGGUUCGCGCUAUCUUUUAAAGAUUCUUAAUAAUCCAAUGGGAAUAAAAAAAUGUGACGGUGUUUGGCUAAACGUACUAAGUAAUCUAGUUAGUAAUAUUGGAUUCACUUGGGAAUAAGAUUCACCCCAAAGUACUAAUCUCAUUCCCUUGAGGGAGGGUGGGUAUUCUCAUAUUAAUGGAUUGAGGUAAUCAUAAUAUGUCUAAUCUCUUUUUUUCUUCCUACCCGCCAGCUAAUUGAUAUUAUUUUUCUUUACACUCUAACCCUAUAUCUCUCUCUAAACUUAUAUUUCUCUCUAAAAUUCAACUUUUUUUUCUCUCUCUAAACUAAGCUUUCUCUCUCUCUCUCUUUCUAAAAUUUCAACUCUCUCACUCCCUCUAAUUUCGACUAUAUUUUUCUUUUUAUUUUUUUAAUUAUACUCGUUCUCCCUUUUUUCUAAAAAUAUAUUGAAACUUUUGGUAACAUUAUUUAAAAUUAAAUAAAUUAAUUAAUUAAUUAAUUGUAUAUUUUUUGUAAUAUUAAAUAACAUGGCUAAUUAAUAUUACUAUGCGAACCAAACACAGGAAUUCCGCAUUCUUAGUAAUAGGAUGAAUAGGAAUAAGAUUCUCGGAUAUCUUUUAUUCCUAGUAAUCUUUCAUAAUGCGAACCAAACCCACCCUAGAGGUGACCUACUAUUGAGUUAUAGGUGUCAUUCACCAUAUAUCUAUUUAGUGGGUAUUUUGGUUUUUACAGAAUAUUUUGGCCCAUUAGAUCAGUUUUAUCCAACUAAAAGUACUAUAAACUUUUCAAAUACCUACAACAAUAAUUAAAAUUUAAAUUACAUCCAAAUUGUAAAUUUUAUUUGGAAACAACAUAAAAAACUUAAUUAUGAAUCAAAUUCAACUUUUUAAAAUAAACUACAAAUUUAAAAUAGAACUUUCAGUUCAAAUUCAAAAUUUCAAUCUAAAUCAGAAAUUAAAAUUUGGCUUUAAGAUUAAGGACUUGUUUGGUUCAUCCAUUUUAGAUAUGGAAUGGGAAUCGGUUUGAGCAAAUCCGGUUAAUUUUGUUUGGUUCGCAUGAAUCGGUUUGGGAUUCCUAUUCCGGACUGGAAUGGGAAUGGCCCAUUAGCCUUCAACUUGAUUCCGGUCUUUUAGCUCGGAUUGAGAUUUCAUUCCGAAAGCCCACUAAGUUUUCAAAGCCCAUGUGACCAUCUCACCCUCCUUCUCUUCAUCCCUUUCUCAUAAAAAAAAAUAUAUAUAUUCUCUCUCAAAAUCCUAUUCCUAACCCACAUUAAAAGUUUUUAAAAAUAAAUUUGAUAUUUUUUUUGAAAAACUUAUUAGAGAAUAGUAUUAUAUUUUUUAUAAAUUUUAAAUAAUAUAAAUUUAUAUUUGAGAGUAAAAUUAGUAUUAUAGUAUCCUAUAAUUUUUUUAGUUUAUAGGAACCAAACAAUGAAAUGUGAAUAACUCAUUUCAAUUCCCAAUCCACAAAUAAACCAAACGUCUUGGAGAAGUGGGCCAUUCCAAUUACCAUUCUAAUUCAUUCCCAUUCCAUUAUCCAUUCCAAUUCCACCCUUAAACCAAACAAGCCCUAAAAGUACAAUUUAGAUUCAAAUUUUAAAAGUUUAAUUUAAAUUUCAAAAUUAAAAUUUUACAUUACAAUACCAAAUUCAAAAAUUAAAUUAAAAUUUAAAAUUUAUAGGAUACUAACAAAUUUGGUAUAUACUACUAAUUCUUUUCUAAUAUUGUCAUAUUAACUAAUCCAAAUCUGUAACCUGUUCAGCAGGUUAAUUUAUUUAAAAUCCAACAAUCCAUACCCUUUACUAAUUAAGGAUUAGAUUUUAAAUUCAUGGUGUAUUGAUGAAACAUUACUCUUAAUUUAAAAGUUAAAUCAUGUCAGUACGCUAAAAACUUUUGGAGAAUAAAAUCAAAUAAAAAUUUAUAAGGGCAUAUUUCAAAUAUAAACGUAUUUUCAGAAUAGGAUGGGUAUUUCGAAAGAAAAUUUUACGGACCUAAGAUUUUUUAUUGGCUCUCAUGUACACACCUGCACGAGAAAAAAAAAAAGGAAAAAAUAAAAAAAUAAAUAAACUUAAAAAAUAAUUUUAAAGACUGUAUUUUUAGGAGAAAAUUUGCCAGAUUUAAGAUCCGUCAAAUUUUUGUUCGUUAUUUUGUAUAUAGUACAGAUUUAAGAUCUCACAUAGAAGAUGUGAUUUUUCGUCAUUGGUCAUCAAUUCCUUCCAUUGUCCUUUAUACUGCACACACCUCACCUUUUUUUUCUUCGGAAAUAUGUAAAUAAUCUAUUUUAUAGUUGGAACUGUCCCCUUAUUAGUUUCUUUCUUGUUCACCUAUUUAUUUUGUGGAUGUGAAACUUGGUUCUGAUUUUUUUAAUUUGUACUUCUCAAUUUGUUUUUUUUAAAAAAAAUUUUUGAGAUUCAGGUGAUCCUCUCCAUGGAUUCAAGCCAACGUAUGCAGUAUUUCUCAAUGUCGGCCAGCUGUGUCAUCAUUUGCAUAAACACUAUUAUUUAUUUGUCCUCUAGAUUGUUUCUAUAAACUCUGAUGCUGUUAUCGUAUGUAUUUUUUGUUUCAGUUUAUUCUUUCAAUCGCGUACUCUGUGUGUUGUUUUGCACAAUAAUGUAUAACGUAUGAUAUAUAGUAAUAUUCGAUGGGACUUAUUCUGUAAGGAAAAUAUUAUUGAUAAUAAUGUGCCGUUUUGUUGAAACAUUUGCAUCUGCACUAACUUGAUUUUUCGUAUUCUCGAUGGAUUUACUACUAUUAUAUACUUUACGAAGACUAACCAAAACACAAUACAAGGAACUCUUACAAUACAAGACAAAUAGAAGCAACUUCUAUCCAGUUGGGGGCGUUUGAUUGAGAAAAUGGAUAAAAGUGGCAGGCUGUGGAAAGGAUAGUUUCGAUCUACUAUGGGCAUGCUGACUUAAUCUAUCAGUAAUGGGUUGUCUAGCAUAUUUUGAUCUUACAGAUGGUUGAAAGAGUCUAUUUUACCCAAUCACUUUAUAGGGAAAGUUACAUAGGACUAACUUUCUAAUUAUUGCGAUUACUUUCUUAACCUUUUUCUCGGUAUUUUAAUUGGAUCUAUUCUGUUGUAAUCUCCAUUAAUUUGUAUGGAUCUUCCCAUCUCAGUAACAAUGUAAUGCAGAUAAAUCUCGUGGACUGAUUGUUUAAAUACCUGAAGAAGUCAAUCAAAGCGAAUAUUUGAACAACAAUCGACUAAACAAAAGCCUAGCACGUCACCCAAUCCGCACUCUGAAAAACACGCAAUUUAUAGGAACACUUGAAGAGCUUAUAAGAAAGUGGAGUACAACACUCAAAAAAGUUAACAUUUGCUAAUUAAAAUCUAUGAGCUCACUUUUAGUCUCAUAUUUGUUUAUAUGUUUUACUUAAAUAAAUAAGCAUAUUCCGCCUAUGACAUUAUUUAUUUCAUUCCGGAAAAAAGUGCACAAUUGUAGUAGAUAAACUACGUGCUCUUCACAUUGAUCAAUUACUGCAUGCCCUGCCCCUUAAGUAGUGAACAAAAGCAGUGCUCAAAAAGAGAAGUGCUGAACAAAACGUUCACGCAUCCAACAGCGUACCGAGAUAAGAUGCAAUUGAGAAGUGCUGAACAAAAUGUUCAUGCAUCCAACAGCGUACCAAGAUAAGAUGCAAGCGGCGUUUGUUUCACUCUCACACACAAAUUACAACCACAGUUUAAGAUCAGGAUGCCUAAGCAUGACCAUCUUUUCCUCUUUCUGCCUUCCUCCCUUUUUUUCACUUUCCAAUAAACAAACUGCAAAUAUGGAAUAAAUUCUAAAACUCAACGCAUUUUACCUUCUUCACAAAAUACCUUAAAAAGAAUGAAAACGAGAAUAAAAUGGUUCAAUUUUAAGGAGAAGGAAGGGUAGUUGCAAAUUAUAUUAUAUGACCAGAAAUGUAUAUUACAAGGAUCUUUCAACCAUUUUGGACCUGAAAAAGGUAGCACGAAAACAAUUUAAACAAGAAGAAAAAAGUGAUGCUAAGAAAAUAUAGUUAAGCAAACAUUUAUACACAACAGUAAGAUAAUAUUGGCACUUCAAGUUUAAUCGGGCAGUCAUAAGAAGCGCAAAGCUCAUUUUACAGGUUGAACUUCAAUAGCUAUGUAGCUAACUCGCUUUCCGAACAGAACAUCAAAAUGCAAAUAAGCAUUUCCACUAUCUGACUGAAUUGAUUGAAUGCAAAUGCAACUGUCAAAAUUACUUUGGCAUGGCAAGUAAGAUCCAUGACUAGUUCAUCAGUUUCAUCCCAAAACUCAAUUUAAAAAGACAAAUAUAUGGCAUAAUUUGCAUUUAAAAUGUUAGUUAUAUACAGUUUUAUGUAAAUAUAUUGAAUAAUAAAUAUAUCUCUAUAUUCAACUUUUUAUAUUUAUCUCUGCAAAGGUCCUAAUGUUAUUAAAUAUGCCUCUACUAUUAGAAUCCGUUAAAAAAUUAUAGUUAACUAUAGGUAAAAUACUUAACUCUGGUUAGUGAAUGAGGUAAAUUGAUUAUUUUAUCUUUUUAUAUUAUUUGUGAUGACAGAAAGAAAGAUGUCCAUUUGAAAUUUUUGGAAGGAUAAUUUUGUAUAAUUCUAACCGUUGAGACUUUAGGAGGGAUAUAUUUAUGAUGACAAAAAUAUCCUUUCACUUAUCUUCUGUUAAAAAAUAAAUUGUUGCCUAGAUCCAAUAUUGUUUGCACGGAAUCUACUUUUUAAUAGUUAAUAUUGCAAAAUCAAAAUCUAAUUAUAUAUAUGUGAUUUAUACCAUAUAAAAAAACUUAUGUAAAAAAAUUAUAAAAUUUAAAACUCGCAUGAAUGAAUUGAUGUAAAAGUAUUAUAAAGAUAUAAAGUUUAGAUAAGGCCCGUGGGUCGAACGUGCUAGGCACUGUCCUAAAAGUAAAAUUGCUUCUCCACGUGCGAAAUUCUGACGACCACUUCUAGUGAUAUAACGAUCACAAGCUCUCCCGAACAUCUUCAAGGUAACGCAUGUAAAUCAAAAAAUUUUCUGAGAUCCAGCAAAUAGAGUAAAGUUUAAAAAAAUAGUAAAGCUCAAUAGAAUAAAGCGCUUUUAUUGUAAUAAAAGUUCUUAUUUAAUAAGAGGUAUAAAUUUGAUUUUUAGUUCAAAAUCAGAAUAUCUAAUAAUUUGGAGCUACCAGUAUUUGAUGAACAAAAAGCGGUUGAAAAAAAAAAUAAGCUUAAUUACACUAUGGGCGUGUUUGGUUCGAAGUUGGAAUUAGAAUCGAAAUAAGCUGGAAUCGGAAUCGGAAUGGAACUCCCGCGUACCAAACACCCACAAACGGAUACGCUCAUUUCGAUUCCGAUUCUAUGGUGCCAAAAAAGUGAACCAAACAUUCCGAUUCCGAUUCCAUGGUGCAAAAAAAGCGAACCAAACAUGCCCUAUAUUAGUUGGCUCUCCGUUUUUCCACUUUCUAUAUUGUAUGCUUUUAUUUUUUAUUUUUUUUCCAAAGACAACAGUAAACUAUCUUCUUCUUCUUUUCAAUCUUUACACUAUAAUCAAUAAAUCUAUAAUUUUUAGAUGGUAGGCGAUAAGUUGUAAAAAAAAAUGGUUAAAAGUAGGAGAGUAUAUAUUCAAACUGUUUUAUCACGAAACUUUUUUAAAACAUAUAUAAAAUAAGAAAAAAAUAUGAAAAUAAUUUUAUAGAAGCUUUCAAUUAAUCUACCCUAGCAGUAGACUCAUUUUUGUGUGUGUGUGUGUGUUUUUUUUUAAUGUCUAACCAGUGUCUUUUAAUAAAGUUGUUAGAUCACAUCAAAAUUAAUAAAUUUAUUAAUAAUAACUUAAAAAUUAGCAAGAAAAAGAUAGUUCAAUGAAUUUGUGAGAGAAAAUACAGUAUAAGAUAGAAAAAAAUCAAAAAUUUUAUUUAGAUAUUGAUAAAAAAAUUGAUAAUACAAUAGUGUCUUUGAAAAAAAUAAAAAUAAGUAGCAAAUAAAAUAAAGAUAAUAUGCACAGUGUGAUAGUGUACAAUUAAGCCAAAUUAAAUAAUAGAUAAAAUUUUUCUUAAUAGUUAUUUUGAGCAUAUUUUAUCAAAUAACACUUUAUAUAUCUGCAGUAGGACCAAACAAGCUUGAUGCUCAAAAAUAUAACUUUCAAUGUACAACUUCUGCGUUGCAAAAAAGUAAAUUAUUGACAAAGUUUUAUCAAAAGGCUUCUACUGCAAAUGCUAUAUUUAAACAAUAUUUUAUUCGAUAACACUGCAUUCUAUAUCAAGAUCAAACGGGCGAAAGCUGGGGGAAAUUUCGCCCUUUAAUUUUCUAUUAGUUGACCCGAAGCAGUCUCUUCUACUAAGUCUUCGCCUGAUCAAAUGUUGAGAGUAGAAGAUGAUGCACUUGCCAUUUUAAAAGGGAAGGAAUUAAGGCUUCCAACAAUGAGUACUCAUUAUUGUAAUGUUAUUUGGGCAGGGCUGCUAAUUAACCAAUCCUUGUUGGAAUAUUAAAAGCAGUACACAAUGAUUUUAAUUAUGCACCCAGUUGGCAAGUUGCUUUUAAUUAUUCUUACGCGCUGAUUAGUACACAAUGAUUUUAAUUAGUAAGUUGAUUUUAACGCGCUGAUUAGUAAGCUUAAUAUAAAUAUAUUCGCUCAUUUUAUUCAUAGUAUUUUAAAUAAGAAAAACUAUUACACGUACAUAUCCGUAAAUUCGUAGAAAGCUUGUGUAUACCUCUCGGAGUAAGUUGAGAUUGCAAGGCCUAAUUACAUGCGAUGAGGCCAAAAUAUUUGAUUUAUUUUCUUAAACGAUAAUUUAUCAUCCUUUCAUACUAGAUUGCUUAAAACAUAUAUAGUUUCUCCAGUUCCAACAUGCUACCUCCUUCUGAUCUGAUUACAUUAUGCCGCUCUCAAUACUAAUUAAUAAGACCCAGGUAUAUAUAUAUAUCACACUCAUAAAUUUCCGAUGUCUAUAUAUUAUUACGUCAAAAUUAAUUGUAACACCAAAACUAUCAAUAUAGACCGAAUGGAUUAUUAUUUUAUGUAGAGGAAGUAGGUAUUCAAAAUUUACAACUUUUAAAAUAUAAGCUUUGAAAUAUUUUAUAAGAUGCGUUUGUAGCUCACGUACGCUGUGGAAUGUACACCAGGCACACGCAAUUUCUCCUACAUAGGAACCAAUAGAAGUAGGUUAAUGUGAGAGCUUGGUUAUAAAAUCAUUCUCAAAGUUGGAAUUAGAGGAUGCAGGUGCCAUGAAUGCUCUCUAAUUCUUUCCAUGAGAUAGGCAAAAACAUGGCGAUGUGGAGGAGAACAUGCACCACCAACACCACUUGAAAACCCUAAUUCCAUUGGGGACGAAAAUGCACAACCAAAUCCCUGGUCCAUCCAAUUCAUUAGCAGGUACGUACGGUGUGGUUACAAUGAUCACUUAAAUCGUUGCCUACAUGCUAUUAAUUUGAACUUUUUUGGCUAAACAUGCUUGGUUAAUUCUUUCAGCAUCAUCUCCCUAAGCUUUGGCUGGGGGAUCUGUUGAAUAUAUUAACACCAAAAACACCAUUUUUUAAUAGCUUAAGGUUUUUUGGGAGGAAAAAAGAAAAGCUAUUUCACAUAGCUAAUUUUUACGUAGUAUCAUAGCUGGAGAUCCUAGUUUCGAGUCCCCCUGGCUCCUAGUUUUUUUAGUUUAAUAUGUUCUCAUUUAAUUUAAAUUUAUAUUUUAGAUCUAUCAAAACGCUCUCUCUUCAAACGGUGCUGAAUAUAUAAAUGUUAAAAAUAUCAUUAUUUGGGAGCUUAAACGUUUGGAGAAAAGUAGUUAUUUCGUUUUAUUUAACAAAGUCGGCUGAGUAGACUCAUGCAUGCUAGCUUAUGUGACUUUUGAUGCCUGUUUAAUUUCAGCGCAAGCACUACUUACUAAGGGCUAUUGGCCUGUUUGGACUUUGGAUGCAUAUAUUUUUUAUUUAGAAUACUUUUUAUUUACUUAAAAAUUUGUAGUAAUGGAUAGAUAAGGAGUAGAGACAAUUCUUUGAAGAGGAGUGCUAAUUCUAUAGCCCACUGUAGAUUGAACUUGUUGGGUCCAAACCAACGGCUCAAGAUAUUUAAAUUCAAUUAUUAUUACUAAGGUUCUAAAUUAUUAUAUUCUUAUUCACAAACUUAAAUCUUUACAUCUGAUAUGAGAUUAUUGGGACGUUACAGCUUCUCUUCCACAUAUAUCCACUAAGAGUGUUGAUCAAUGGAUGGUGGAUAUAUAAUGUAACACCCCAUUAAUCCCAUAUUAGAUGAAGAAAAGAUUUUUUUUUUUUUUUUUGAGAGAGAAAUGUAGCAUGCUAUCCACUUCGUUUGUUUCUUUUAAAAAUAAACUUAGCUGGAAAUGUGAAUCAACUAGGAUUCGAACAUGGGUCUCGGGUACUAACCACCAAGUCUUUUUGCCACUCGCGUUAGGGACGGUCAGUAUGAAGAAAAGAUUCUGAUUUGAAAUAUAUGAGGUCUUGCAUCCUAAUAAUAAUAAUACUAAGUUUAAGCAUUUUGGGCCAAUAGUUUGAGCUCAGUAAAUUAUUAUUACUAGCGGAUUGGAUCGUUACAUAAAUAUUAGAGCCGAAUAUCAGCCGGAAGUGUAAGAGUUAAGUGUUAUACAUGCUCGGAAGUUAAGUGUUAUACCUGAUUGGGUUUCUGUGAUUGGGUUUGGGGGAGUUUGUAAUUUCUCAAUAGUUACAUAUCAAAUGGGGUGGAGUGAACAACCGUCACCUUCGGAGGCUUCACCAUGGCUGCAUUUCUAAGGUUAGUUUGGACAGGAAGAAGAAGAUGAACGUGACCACAAGUUUGACUUAAUUAGAUUACCCUUCUCAUUAAGCUUAACUAGAUGGCCCCGGCCAGGGCUUCUCAGCGCAAGAAACCAAACCUUAGUGACUCCUAUAGCCUUAAAAUUUCUUACUUGGCCCAUUUGAUAUAAUCCCAAAUUUACAGUAGUUUUGAUGAGAGCUAACCCUAUGUUGUGAUUUGAAUUCUUUGAGGCCUGAAUACGUUAGAGUCUGGUUCUGGUUUGGGCCGUAAUUUGGUCCGUUGGGAAUUUAGCCAGAGGUCCAAUCUAUAAUAUUUGGAAUGCUGAUCCAGGGAGUAAUUUGUAGAACGGGUACGACCUUCCCAUUUUAACUGCGUAUUGAAAGAUUUAAUUAUUGUUAGAUUUGUUAAGAAAUUCCAGUCAUUAUUGUGGGAUUAAUUUGACCCAUAUUAAUUCCAAAUUGGGGAAGAUCUGCAAAAUAAAUAGCGAUUAAAUUGCCAAUUAGGCAUAACUUCUCCGUUUCAACUUCAAUUUCGGUGAUUCAAGUGCUCUUGGAUCUAGGUUAAAACGAGAAACCAAAUCACUGAGUCCAAGAAUAGUUAAAAGAAUAAUAACAAAAUUGAAAUGGGAAGUAAAUGAACCUAUUUUUCUUUGUUCACAAUCAGGAUGGUCGAGUGAAUGUUGUUCCUCUAUUUUGGGCCGGUGGAUUGGACUCAAUAAAUUAUUGGUUUAGAUUACUCACUUUACUAAGGCAUGGGCUUGGGGAUGGGUGAUCUCUUGGAAAAUAGAAUGUAAUAGAGUGGUAUCAGAGAAGGUUGAUGAAGCCCCACAUCGUCGGGCAAUUUUGGCUAUGUGAUGAGGUCUUAUGGUCUCAUAUUGCCUGGCUAUCUUGAGUUGUGUACGAUUGAGCCUGUGACACCCAAAGUGUAGUUGUAAUAUUGGAUAGGAAAUCCAUGUAGUAUGGGUACAAAAAAUUGGGUAUCUCUAAAUUUAAUAACUGGACUAUAGUAUUUGGGUCAAUGGAUUGGAACAAGUAGGUCAUUAGGUUUAGGGUACCCACUUAACCGAGUCGUGGGUUCGAUGAUGGGUGACAUUUUAGGAAGUGGGAUGUGCAACAGGUUAUUAGGUUUAGGGUACUAAAUUAAUCGAGCAGUGGACUCGGGAAUAGGUGACCCCAUGGGAAAUAGGAUUAGUGACAUCCUAGGAAGUGGGAUGUGACAAUAUGGUAUCGGAGCUAGUUAUUAGAUCUAGGGUACCAAGUUAAUCGAGCCAUGAACUCAGGGAUAGGUUACCAUCUAGAAAGCAGGAUGGGUGACCAUGUGCGGAUAAGAAAAUCAUAUAAUAUGCGUAUAUAAAGCUGGGCAUCUCUAGACUUAAUAAUUGGGUUAUAGUAUUUUUGGCCAAUGGAUUGGAACUAAUAGGUUAUUAGGCCCAGAGUACCUAAUUAACUGAGCAUAGGUGCAGGGAUGAAUGAUCUUCUGGAAAAUAGGAUGUGCAACAAGUUAUUAGGCAUUUAGUUAAUUGCGCCGUGGACUCAAGGAUCGGUGACGACCUAGGAAAUAGGAUAGGUGACAUUCUAGAAAGUGGGAUGUGACAGUAUGGUAUCGAAGCAAGUUGUUAUAUCUAGGGUACCAAGUUAAUCGAGCCGUGGGCUUGAGGAUGGUUGACCCUCUAGGAAUACGAUAGGUGACUACCUAGAAUAUGGGAUGUGUCAGUGCGGUAUUAGAGCAAGUCAACGAGCUGGAAGUAUCCACACCACUUGGUAAUCUUGGUCUCUAUAUGUGACUGUGUGAUUGUUCAAGGCUUAAAAGGAAAGGGAGUCUGUGGCACCCUAGUUUAAUUCUCAUAUUAGAUAGAAAACUCAUAUAUAUAUAUAUAUAUAUAUAGAGUGAGGCUACUAUGCUAUCGGAAGUACGGAGCCUUCCGUGCUUCCAGCUCGUUUUCGAUGUUGUGACUUUCGAAUCGUUGAUCGGCUCCAUUAAACUUGAUCUAGAGUAUUUGAAGUACCUAAAAAAUAAAUUUUAUGAUUUUACGAUAUCAUUUGCCUAGUGAACGAAGGGGCUCAAAAUCAACGGCUGAAAAUAAAAAUCUUACAAAAUGUAAUAAUAAUAUGACAUUAAAAUUUUAAAUCAAAAAUAUUGAUCUUGUUUUAUAUAGUAUAAAGAAUUUUCUAUCAAAAUUUCACGUGAUUUGGAUAUUUCCUAUGACCGUCUCAACAUCUUAAAACGGCCUCACUACGGGCCAUUGCUGAAGGCAUUUGAUUGAUGUGUGAGCCAAAUUCGAGUUACUAGCCAAAUGAUAUCGAAAAAUAAUAAAAUUUAUUUUCUAGGUACUCCAAAUACUCUAGAUCAAGUUUAACGGAGCCGAUUGAACAAUUCGAAAUCGCGCAACAUCGAAAACGAGCUGGAAGCACGGAAGGCUCCGGUGCUUCCGAUAGCAUAGUACCCUUCUCUCUCUCUGUCAUCUCUGGCCUCUCCUCUCCCCCCUCUCUCUCUCUCUCCCUCUAUCUCUCUCCUCAUCUCCUCUCUAAUAUAUAUAUAUAUAUAUAUAUAUAGUAUACAGGUCAAGUCAAAUGACAUAUGUGUAUAUGGUGAACAGUGUUAACUCUUUUGGGCCGUAGAUCUAAAUAUAUCCAAGGAUCCAGCAAGGUGGCAACUUUUUUAACUGUCAUUGAGUUGAGAUCAAAUAGUUGUCAUAUCUCUCACCAUCACUUUAAUGCCUGACGCGAUCUCGCACUAGCACUCUCUCUCUCUCUCCCCCGGUCUCCCCUCUCCUCUCUCUUUCCCAAUAUCUUUUGGGUGCAUGCAUUCAUGAUUUUUUUUCUUCUUCUUGGCCUGAACUUUGCAUCUCUAUAGCUCCUUUCACUUACUCGCAACACAUUAGAGGGAUAAAGAAUCUGAUGCCUUAACCAUUUAUCUAUACAACAUGUAUGGUAAAUUAACUAGACACCUUUUUUCUUCUUUCUUUUUUAUUUUGUGGGCACAUGAUAUUACAGGUUUUUUUUUUUUUUGUUAUAUUUUAAAGACAAUUUUUCUUGUUUAUAACUUUUACUAAAAUUUUUCAACUAUUCUCUUAAUUUUAUAUUUCAUUAUCAAUUAAAGUUUCUUUUUACAAGAUUUAACUAAAUUAGAUAACUAAAAGUAACUAAACAAAUAUUUGCCUAUUUUAAAAUAUCCGGUAAUGUUUCUUUUUUAAUUUUGGCAUCCAUUUAUUCUUAAUUAAUUAUUCUGAUUUAGUUAAUUUUCUAGUCAAAUGAGGGAUUUAUAAAAAUUAGUUGUUUUGUUAGUUAUUUGUCAUCAUCAUUUAAAAAUUUCAUAAUUCUAUCAACCUGCAAAAGUGUCUAAAUAAAUUAAAUUUAAUCUAGAGUUACCAUCAAACUUAGAGAAAAUAUCUCAUACAUUUUAACCUUUUUUUCUCCUUUCAUGAGUUCUAUCUUUCAUUGAAUUACUUGUUUAACCACCAUGAAAUUAUUUUUGUAUUGUGUUUUAUUUUAUUUAUUUUUUUUUCUGUUGAGCUUAUGUAAUGUGUGCUCUUGUUGGAUGUUCUUUAUAAAUAAUUCAAAUAAUUUGCAAAAAAGUUUACUUUGGAACUUUUUUGUUUCCAGAACAGUGGCUAAAUGUUGUUAUGGAGAAUUCAUCACCAACUGUUAUUCCACUUGCUUGUACUAUGCAUGAUGCAAAUAACUACAUAUAAGAAGACAACAAAUGCAAAAUGUACCAUCUUGAAACUAAUUCAGAAAAUAUACAAUCAAAUGCCUCUGUUGACAAAAAAAAAAUUCAAUGAACCAUAUGUUGAAUGGGGUUUGUAACUCUUUAUGUGAUGCUGAGAAUUUCUACAAGUCUUUGCAAAACAGCAAGGUUUUGGUAUUCGUAUUCGAACAAGUCAAACAGGCUUUCGAAGUAAUGAAAUUAGAAGUCGUAUAUAUGUAUGUUGUUUCGAAGGCCAUUCAAGAGGAUUCCAAUUGAAUGAGAGCACAAAUAAGAGGAAAAAAUGAGGAGGAGGGUGUUCAACCUAUAAGAACUGGUUGUGGGCGCACUAUUUAAGAUAGCACGAAGUAAAGAAUAGUACACGUUGGGUUGUAAAAUCAUUCAAAAAUGAGCACAAUCAUAGCAUGAUUAGCCCUAAAAGUGUGUCAUAUUCUAAGAUGUCAUAGAAAAAUGACUUCCACAGUUAAAAGCUUGUUGAAAAGUUUGAGGAAGAAGGAAUUCCCACAGGCAAAGUUGCAUCAAUAUUUUGUAAUGUUGAUCAACAUUCUCUAAUAGGGAUUGUUGGAACCAUUUAGAAACUUAAGAGAAGGACUUGGUAAUGGGAGAUGCACAAGCAGUCCUAAGUUAUUUUAAAAAGAAGGCAGGCUGAGAACCGAAUUUCUUUUAUGUGCUAUUCAAUGUGAUUGUGAUGCGCGAUUAGAAAUUAUUUUGGGUGGAUGCCAUCUCUUGGCUUAUGAAUAGUUUUGGUGAUGUUGUUCAUAUUGACAGCAACAUACAAAAACAAAAGUACACAGUGCCAUUUGCCACCUUUUGUUGAUUGAGAUCAUCAUCGUCAAUGCAUUUUAUUGUGUUGUGCUUUGUUACAAGGAUGAAUUGAACAAAGUUUUUUUGGUUAUUUGAAACUUGGGCCUGGAGGCAAUGAUAGGAAAGUACCCAUCAUCUGUUAUUACUGAGUCAAGAUUUAGACUAUGGGAAGCAGCUGUGAGAAAAAUGUUUCCGCGAGGGCAUCGUUCGUUUAUGCCUUUGGCAUAUUAAAAAAAAAUUUUCAGAGUAACUUGUCACAUAGUAAUAUCAUAAAAACUCGACUUCAAGCUGUGAUUUAAAAGAUGGCAUUCGUAUUCACUUCUUACAGAAGCACGGUUUGAAAGGGAUUGGCAUGAACUGAUGAUCCCGAAUGGCUUAGAAGAAAAUUAUUGGCUUUCAAGAGGCCUUAACAAGAUUAGAGGAGUUAGUGGAUACUGUGGUAGAACGAAGGACUUUUUUGCGGGAAAUGAAUACAACCCAGAUAGAAGUGAAGCGUCCAACGCAUGUUUUGAUUUUUUGUUAGAUUCACAACUUCAUUAAAAGAGUUGUACAAAGUAUGAGAAGAGUUUGAUAAUUUUCCCCUUAUGACAAAAGAAAAGAAAGAAGAUUUGAUUCAAGGCCAAAUCACUGCAUUUUAAGAGAGUUGGUUCAAAAAUAGAGCAACAUGCGCAUCAAUUUUACAACAAGAAAUAUUUUUAAAUAUUUUCAAGAUGAGUUUGUUAAUUAAGCUUUCACUUCACAAGGGAAAGGUUGAAGAAUGGGGAGGCUCUGUUUGUCAUACAAAGUGUUGCAGUUGCUUUGAUCUCAAGUAUAAUUUUGUUGUUUGUCUAGAUUAGAUCAAAAGCUGGUAGUUGUGGAUGUUCAUCUCUCUUUGAAUUUAUGGGUAUUUUGUGCGGCAUAUGUUAGCGGUUUUUCAUUUGAGAAUAUUUUGAAUUUCCUAGCCAUUACGUUUUACAACGGUUGGACAAUAGAAAGCAAAUAGAGCUAUAGAUGUUAUGGGACAUGAAGUCGGUGUCCGAAAUUUGAUCUCAUAUGUCAUGUGCAUUACGAAGCAUGAAUAUAUGUCUGUAUAUGAACAAAUUGUCUUGUUAUUUCGCUGAGAAAUCUGAUGAGAAUUUAUAGAAUUUCAUGCGAUUGAGUCACUUUGCACGGAAGGUUUGUAUGAUGGACGAAUCAAUCUUCUGUAUGUAUGAAAAUGAUGACACAAUUCAAAAAGUGAUAGAUCCAAACACUGUGCACCAACAGAGAAUGAAGCAACUAUAAUGAUCCACAUGUAUCGCAAACCAAAGGUCGUAAAAAGUUACGAGAAGACGAAGUCACACAGUGGGAGAUUAAAAAAGUGGUCUUGAAGUCUCGUUGUCGCUUGUAGCACAAAAGAGAUCAUGUAGUUGUGAGGCAGGGAUAUGGUGCAUGUAAGCGUAGUUGUAGGAGAAAGAGAUCAUACAAAUGUGAAUAUCUGCUAGUUGAAAUCAUAAUUUACAUGUGAAUUUUGCUAUAUACUAUAUUUUAGUGUAAGUAUUACUAUCAAUAUAUUUUCUAUUUUUAUUGAAGUUGGAUGUAAUUAGUAUUUUUUGUUAUUAAUAAUAGUUUCCACAUUUUCAAUCUUUUCCAAUAUCUUCGGUACACUUUUGUAUCUUACUUAUAGCAGAGUUAAAUAGGAGUGCAAAGAUGGCUUCUGCAGGUGAUUAAGCGCUAAAGUCGACUAAUACUCAUCUUAAUACUUUCACUUUUAUUAUAGAUUGUAAGUUCUGACUUGUUAUUUUAAUUUUGACUACUUGGCAGGGUUCUUUUUUGGUGUAUCCUGUUUUUAACAUAUAACUUUCAUAAGAAUAUUUAUUCUGAUAUUAUAUUUUUGAGACUUCAACUGAUUAAACCUUUAAAGAUUUGUGAUGACAUUUUCGUUGUGUAUAUGACUCAAUUAUAAUCUAUAGGUUGCAAGAUACAAUUGAAAGGUGAUAUUUUUUUCUAUUUUAAGAUGGUUGAAAUAGUGUAAUGUGAAACUUAUGAAGGUUUUCUUUUUUUUUGGGGGGGGGGGGGAGGUUUGAGCAUGAAAGUUUACAUAAUUUUUUUUAUUCCCAUACUCAGGUAUAAGGUUUGUUACUUCUAUUAUUUUACAUUAAUUUUAUGUCACAAAAAACAUUCGUUUUUUUAAAAGUGUGAAAGCAAUUACAUGCAGCUUUACAGAAAAAUAUUUAUAUAAGGAGUUAUUGCAUAUAUUGGCCCUUGAACUUUAAUUAAUUGUUAAUAAUUUCUUAAAAUUUUAUUUUUUUAAUGUGACAUUGUUGGCUAGUCAAUUAAAUUUUGAUUUUUCUUAUAAAACUUAAAUUUUAGUAGUAUUAAAAUCAAUUGCAACCAUCUAGUUAAUUUUGAAAUUAACUGAAUUUUACUAAAAUUCUAGUGUAUAAAAUUUCAGAUUCUUUAUCCGCUUCUAAUGUUGUUGCGAGUAAGUGAAAGGAGUAUAGAGCUGCAAGUUCAGGCCAAGAAGGAGAAAAAAAAUCAUGAAUGCAUGCGCACCAAAAGAUAUUGGGAAAGAGAGAGAGGAGGAGAGAGAGAUGUAAGUGCGUGUGUGUGCGCUAGUGCAGAGAUCGCGUCAGGAUUAAAGUGAUGGUGAAGAUAUGACACUAUGUUGAUCUCAACUCACAUGACACAGUUCAAAAAGUUGCCUUGCUGGAUCCUUGUUAUAUUUAGAUCUACGGCCACAAAAAUGAGUGUAACACCUGUUCACCAUGAAUUACACAUAUUGUCAUUUGAACAUGGACGUCAUAUAUAAUAAUAUAUAUAUAUAUAUAUAUAUAUGCAAUUCUUUAGCUCCUAUAUAUAUAGAGAGUCCAGUAUGGUGCUUAUAAAAGCCACCAAGCCGUGGCUCGAUCAAGUUUUUUACUGUUAGAUCUACUCUGGGAUCAUUUUCACCCAUUAAGAUUAUACAAUUCAGCCACACCCACUCAACCCUAGGGGGCCCACAUCAUCCUACGCAUAUCUCUUAAUCCAAUGUGGUAAAAUAUAUAUAGCACCAAUAACUUGGUACUUUUAAAAGCAUAGGAGCUCAAUUAUAAUAUAUAUAAUAGUAAAAUAACUAUUGAAAUACUAUCAAUAGCACUAAACUAUUGGUGCUAUUAAUUUUUUAGCCCUAGAUUAAUAAAUGUACGGUUAGGAUGAUAUGGGCCUCUUAGGGUUGAGUGGUGGUUGGUUGAAUAGUAUAAUUUAACAGAUAAAAAUAAUUAAAGAGUUAAAUCUAACGGUAGAAAACUCGAUACGCACCAAGUCCUUGGUGCUAUCGAUAGUAUCCCAGCCGGACUAUAUAUAUAUAUAUAAUAUAUUAUAUUAUAUUAGUAUAUGACUGAGAGAGAGGAGAAGAGAAGAGACGAGAGAGAGACGAAGAGAGCUAGGCUCCUAUACUAUCUAUAGUACCAGGGCUUUGGUACUAUAGUCUUGUUUUCAACCUUAGAAUAUUCAAAUCAAUAAUCCACACCGUUAAAACUGAUUCAGGGUAUUUGAAGUUUUUAGAAAUAAAAUUCUAUAUUUUUUCAAUAUAGUUUACUUAAUGAUCAAACCGUUUCAAAAUAAUCAAAUUUCGAAGGCUACUAUGGUAAAUUUGUAGUUUAACGCUAUCGAAGAAUCUAAAUUUAUUCAAAUUUUGAUAGAAAAUAAUUUAAACUAUUUAGAUCAUGGUCAACAUCCUUGAUCUUGAAUUCAAAAAUCCUAUUCUCAAAUUUUAAAAAUUAUUCAAUUUCCACCAUUCAUUUUGACAUGAUUUACUUACUAAGGAAACAUUAUCGAAAAAACUAAAAUUUUAUUCGUAUGAAUUUUAUAUACGUUAGAUCAUAUUUAACGGUAUGGACCAUUGAUUUGAACACCAUAAGAUUGAAAAUGAGACUAUAGUAUCGGAGCUCCGGUACUAUAGAUAGUAUAGUAGCCUCAUUAUAUAUAUAUAUAUAUAUAUAUUGUUACGACAAAUACACAAACGGAAACGAAAUGACGAGCAGAAAAUAAACAAACCACAAGUAGAGACAAAAGAAGACACACAGAUUUACGUGAAAAACCCUUUGCAGGGAAAAACCAUGGGCGAGGGANAUAUAUGGUUAGGAUGAUGUGGGCCCCAUAGGGUUGAGUGGGUGGUUGGUUGAAUAAUAUAAUCCAACGGGUGUAAAUGAUCAACAGUGCUGAUCUAACGAUUAAAAAUCUACAAGCACAAAGUGAUUGGUGCUUUCACAAACAUCAUAGCUGAACUAUAUAUAUAUAUAUAUAUAUAUAUAUAUUGUUACAACAAACACACAAACGGAAACGAAAUGACGAACAGAAAAUAAACAAACCACAAGUAGAGACAAAAGAAGACACAGAUUUACGUGAAAAACCCUUUGCAGGGAAAAACCAUGGGCGAGGGAGGAAAGAACUUCACUAUCGAACAAAAAAAAAGAAUACAAUGUUUAGAAGAUUACAAUCGACCAUGAUCUCACGCCUCUAGGGCAAAAACAAAAAGGAAACACAUAACGAGCUCGGGCCGAUAGGCCUGAGCCUUCCGCUACCCACCACAGACAUUCAUUUUUUUCUUCACAAUUUUAUUUUUCCAAUUUUGGUCACACCGCGAAACUGUCGGCGAGUCGAAAAUCCGAACUUGAGUCGAUUAUCAAUUUCGAGUCACAUCUAACAAAUCUCCACCUUGACGAGAAUUUUUUUUUAAAUGAAGCAGCAACCAUAACUCUCCACCUUCUCCACAAGCCCCUAAGGGCGAUCCAAUCAACAAUUAAUACUAAUCAAGUCCAAGCAAUACUUGAACUUGAGAGGAAUAAGAGGCUUCGUCAACAUGUCAGCAGGAUUCUCAAGAGUGCUGAUCUUUUUCACUCCAAUGUCUCCUUGAGCAAGAACUUCGCGAAUAAAUGAUAUUUGAUGUCAAUAUGCUUUGUUCUUUUAUGAAACAUUUGAUCCUUUGUGAAAUAAAUUACACUCUAACUAUCGCAAAAUACAGUGAGUUUCUGACUGCCUCCGCUUAGUUCACCAAGUAGGCCUCUUAACCAAAUACCUUCCUUUACAGCCUCCGUGAUCGCCAUGUACUCGGCCUCCGUCGUAGAUAAUGCAACAGUAGGCUGUAAAUAAGCUCUCCAACUAAUAGCACAUUCUCCAAAUAAAAAAAUAUAACCAGUAAGAGAUCUUCUUUUAUCAAGAUCUCCAGCAUAAUCAGAAUCCACAUAAUCUGUCAAACCCGCUUCAAAUCUUCCAAAUUCUAAAAAAAUAUUAGUAGUGCCUCAAAAAUACCUCAAAAUUCAUUUCACAGCUUGCCAGUGUUGUUUUUCCGGAUUUGCCAUGUACCUACUCACCACGCUUACAUCAUGCGCAAUAUCUGGUCUCGUGCAGACCAUAGCAUACAUAAUGCUACCGACUGCGCUGGCGUUGGGGACUUGUACCAUGUAUGCCUUCUCAGCAUCAGUUUUCGGAACCAAAUCAGUUGAAAGUUUAAAAUGUGUAGCGAAAGGCGUACUUACGGGCUUAACAUCUUUCAUACAAAAGUGUUCCAACACGCGCUGGAUGUAUCCCUUUUGAGUCAGCUGUAACUUCUUUAGUUUUCUGUUUCGCUGUAUCUCCAUACCAAGUAUCUUCUUCGCUGCACCUAAAUCUUUAACAUCAAAUUCAGAUUUCAACUGAUUUUUGAGGUCAUCAACAUCAGCCAUAUUCUUAGCAGCAAUCAACAUGUCAUCCACAUAAAGUAGCAAAUAGAUGAAAGAGCCAUCAAUUAAUUUCUUUAUGUAAACACAACUAUCAUAAUUGCUUCUAUUAAAAUCAUUGCUAAUCAUAAAUGAAUCAAACCUCUUGUACCAUUGCCUUGGAGAUUGCUUUAACCCAUACAGAUAUUUCUUCGAUCUGCAAAUGUGGUCUUCUUUUUCUUCAACCACGAAUCCCUCAGGCUACUGCAUUUAAAUCUCCUCCUCUAGCUCACCAUGUAAGAAAGCCGUCUUCACAUCCAGUUGCUCAAGUUCUAAAUCAUUCAUGGCAACUAAUCCAAGUAGAACUCUGAUGGAUGUAUGCUUCACUACUGGUGAAAAAAAUAUCAUUGAAGUCGACACCCGGAAUUUGACUGUAUCCUUUCGCAACCAAACGGGCCUGAUAUCUUAUACUCUCAACUCCUGGUAUGCCUUCCUUCUUCUUGAACACCUAUUUGCAACGAACAGAUUUCUUUCCCUUUGGAAGCUUCACUAGAUCCCAAGUUUGAUUCUUGUGAAGCGAUUCCAUCUCUUCUUCCAUAGCGAGCAACCACUUCGUAGAUUCAUUGCAUGAAACUGCCUCUAUAUAUGUGCACGGCUCCUCAGAUGCAUCUGUCUUUUCAGCAGUCAUAAAUGUAUAAGCCACCAAAUUUGUUUCUUCAUAUCUCUGCGGUGGUCCAAUCUUCUUUCUCGGUCGAUCUCUGGCUAUCGUAUAUGUGUCUGUCUGUGGUGGCGCCUAUGGUUCUGUAGGAGCAGAAUCGUCUGAAGUGGUAUCUGGUGCUGGAGUGAUCUAAUUUUUAGAGUGAGUUUGAAACUCCACUUCGACAGUUUUCUUCGAUCCAUCUGCACCUCCACCUAGACAUAUAUAUAUAUAUAUAUAUAUAUAUAUAUAUAUAGAGAGAGAGAGAGAGAGAGAGAGAGAGAGAGAGAGAGAGAUGAGAGAGCAGUCGAGUUAGAAUACUAUCGAUAGCCAGCAGGCUCCGUUGCCACCCAUUUGUUUUCGAUGAUGGAGCCUCCAAAUCGACGAUCGGUAUGGUUGAACAUGAUCUAUACCACUUGAAGUAUUUAGAAAUCAAAUUUCAUAGAUUUUCGAUAUUGUUCUCUUAUCCAUCGAGUAGACACAAAAAUGAACGACUGGAAAUGAAUAUUCUUUAAAAAAUGAUGAUAGGAGUCUUAUAAUUAAGAUCAAGAGUAUAGAUCUUGUUUUAAAUAGUUUAAAGAAUUUUCUAACAAAAAUUCAAUUGAUUUGAAUAUCUCUACGCCGUUAAACGAGAAAACGUCUCAUAUCGACCAAUAAAAUUACAAAAUUUAAAACACUUUGAUCAUUAGGCAAAUGAUGUCGAAAAGAUUUGAAAUUUGAUUUAUAAACACUUCAAGUGGUAUAGAUCAUGUUCAAUGGUGCCGAUCGUCGAUUUGGAGGCUCUAUCAUAAAAAAUAAAUAGGUGGCAACGGAGCCCGUUUGCUAUCGAUAGUAUUCUAACUCAACUCUCUCUCUAUAUAUAUAACUAUGUUGGAAUACUAUCAAUAGCACCAAGCUAUUGGUACUAUUAGGUUUUCGGCCCUUGGAUGAAAAAAAUAUACAAUUAGGAUGAUGUCGGCCCCCUAGGGUUGAGUGAGUUAUUUGUUUAAUAGUAUAAUCUAAUGGGUGAAAAUAGUCAAAGGGUUAAAUCUAACGGUGGAAAACUCGAUAGCACUAAGUGCUUGAUGCUAUCGAUAAUAUCCCUGCCUGUUUAACCCUUAGAUGAGAAAUUGUAGGGUUAUGAUGAUAUUAGUCCUUAGGGUUGAGUGGUCCCCACUGGUUAUAAUAUUUAAUCCAAUGGUAAGAAAUGUUCCAAGGAAUUAAUCCAAAGACUAAAAACUUGAUAGCAAAAAAGGGCAAAUACUAUUAAUAGUAUUCUAGCUCAACUCUCUCUCUCUCUCUCUCUCUCUCUCUUUCUCUCUCUCUUUCUCUGUAACGAUCCGACCCGCUAACAAUAAUAACUCGUUGGGUCCAAAUCAAUGGCCCAAAAUAUUUAAGCCCAGUUAUUAUGUCUAACCCAAUUAAGCUUAUAUAUUCCCACAUCUAGUCAUAACUAUCCAAUGAGGGACUAUUGGGGUGUCACAGCCUCCUCUCGUUUAGACCCUGACGUCUUCAUCAGCCCUAAACACACACAUAGCCUAAGAUCACCAGGCGAUGUGAGACUUGUCUCGCUAGCCUUUGUCAUUCCAACCCUGACUUAGCCUGUCAAUCACCGACCCUGACUUAGUCUGUCAUUCCAAACCUGGGUCAGCCAAGGCUUAUCUCAUACUUCCGACUGGUGAACUGGCUCUGAUACCAAGUGUAACGACCCGACUCCCUAGCAAUAAUAACUCGUUGGGCCCAAACCACCGGCCUAAAAUGCUUAAACCCAGUUACUAUGUCUAGUCCAAUCAAGGUUAUAUACUCCCACAUCUAGUUAUUGGGGUGUUACACAUGCACCGCAAGGACCUGAAUGGCCAGGGACCAAGUGUAUAACAGUCAAACUACAAUAACCUCAUUAUGAAUAGUCGAGGUACCGCAGGUCAAAGAACCAGUCACACUACUACAAUAUUGAGUAAGUCACUGAUGAGUGAGUAGAUAUCUAAGUGACUUCUCACAUUAGUCACGCUCGGUACCCUUAUUCUCUAAUAACCACUGCACAUUCACUCCAGUGUCUCCACACUGUUGACUUGAGACUCGUCUACCCAAAACGGGAAGCGACCUGUGCACCAAUCUCACCGGAUCAAUCACCGUCCCCGUGAUGACCCAUCGACCGGGAGCAUUUAGGAAUUAACCACCAAUGACACAUGUCUCAAAUUCUCAACUCUUGAGAAUACGUGUGAUCAUCUUAUUAAUUUCUUGGAUGAUUUAUGAACACAUAUACAACAUGAAUGGAAAUAAGAAUCCAAAUUUAUUUAUAAUAUUUUAAAUCAAAUAUAAAUUUAUGUUCUAAAAAGAAUACAUGUGUCGGCCUGGUUGACUUCUAGGGCAUACAUCUAACAAUCUCCCACUUACACUAAAGCCAAUCAACUAUAUAUCUAAACCCCAUCUUCUCAAGGUGGACUACAAUUUUCUGCUCGCUAAGUAGUUUAGUCAAUAGGUCUGCCACGUUAUUCGUAGAGUCUACUCUCUGCACCUCGAUAUACUUCUUAUCGAGAUAGUCGCGUAUAAUAUGAAACCACCGCUCUAUAUGCUUGAACUUCUGAUGAGACCUGGGCUCCUUAGCUAGGGCUAUGGCGCCAUUGUUGUAGCAAUUAAGUCGUAUGGCAUCCAAUGGCAUCACACUUAGUUCUGUGACAAAUUUCUUAAACUAGAAGGUUUUCUUUUCAGCUUCAGAUACGGCGAUAUACUCUGUUUCCAUAGUAGAGUCAGCAAUAAUUGAUUGUUUGGAACUCUUUCGAUACACCGAGCCACCAUUGCAAAAGAAUACACAUCCUGACGUAGACUUUCUAUCGUCAGCAUUAGAUAUAAAAUCUGAAUCAGUAUAUUCUUAUAUUUUCAACUCUCUUCCUUCAAAUACCAAAAAGAUAUACUUAGUCCUUCUCAAGAACUUGAGUAUAUUCUUCAUAGUCGUCCAGUGCUCCUUGCUUGGAUUAAAUUGAUAUCUGCUUGUGACACUCACAGCAAGCGUGAUAUCAGGUCGUGUACACAGCAUGACUUACAUAAGACACCCUAUAGCUGAGGCAUAAGGGAUCUUACUUAUACAUUAAAUCUCUUCAAAUGUAUUGGGGCACAUUUUCUUGGAGAAAUAAAUCCCAUAUUUGAGAGGUAAAAGUCCUCUUUUUGAGUUUUUCAUGCCGAAUCUUUUCAGCACCUCCUCUAUAUACAUUUUCUGUGAGAGGCCUAACAUUCUCUUAGAUCUAUCUAUAAAGACCCUUAUCUCCAAAAUAUAGGAUGCUUCCUCUAGAUCUCUUAUAGAAAAUUCUUUAGACAACCACAUCGUAACUGAAAUUAGUAUUGAAAUAUUAUUCCCAAUUAGGAGAAUGUCGUUCACAUACAAUAUGAGAAAUGUGACAGCACUCCCACUGACCUUCUUAUAAACAUAUGAUUUCUCCUCGUUCUUAACGAAAUCGAACGAUUUAAUCACGUUGUUGAAACGAGUAUUCCAACUCUUAGAUGCUUGCUUAAAUCCAUAAAUAAACCGUUACAGCUUGCAUACUUUGUGACUUUCGUCACCAGAAGUGAAACCUAGAGGCUGUUCCAUAUAGAUAUCUUUCUCAAGAUAUCCAUUUAGGAAAAUAGUUUUCAUAUCUAUUUGUCAUAUCUCAUAAUCAUGGUAUGCUGUAAGGGUAAGCAAUAUUCAAAUAGAUUUAAGCAUGGCCACAGGUAAAAAGGUCUCCUGAUAGUCAAUGUCUUCGCGUUGACUAUAGCCUUUCGCCACCAACCUUACUUUUUAGGUCUCCACCUUUCUAUUUGAACCUAUCUUUUUUUUAUAGAUCCAUUUACACCCAAUAGGUAUUAUACCUUCUGGUGGAUCUACCAAAAUUCAGACCUGGUUGGAGUACAUUGAGUCAAUUUCUAAUUUCAUGACUCCCGGCGAUUUCUCGAAAUCGAUAUUAGACAUCGCCUCGUUGUAGGUUUUGGGAUCAUCUCCAUAUUCCUAUCUCCUUCUUUACAUCCUCUGUAAGAAUAAUUAAGUAUUUUUUGGGAGGAUAAGAGAUUCUACUCGACCUAUGAGGUGGAGGAGGUACUAUAUGUACUGGCUCAGCUUGAAUAAGUUAUGAAGGUUUGAUGGCUCAUUACUCUUCAGAGACUAUCUCUUCGAGCUCAAUUUUUCUUCUACUAGCUGUUUCUUGAAUAAACUGUUUUUCCAAAAAGAUAACAUGUCAGCUCACAAAUAUAUUGUGAUUAUCUGGGAUAUAAAAAUAGCAACCUAAAGAUUCUUUAGAAUAUCCAAUAAAACGAGCUCUCUCAGACCUAACCUCUAACUUGCCCACGUGUAGUCGCUUAAUAUGGGCCGGACACUUCCAAAUCUUGAUAUGAUCAAGACUUGGUUUAUUACCAUGCCACAUCUCAUAGGCGUGAUAUGAACGAAUUUAGAAAAAAACCCUAUUAAACAAGUAAGCUGCGGUAAGCAAAGUAUGUCCCCAAUCAUAGAUCGAAUCAUAUGUAAUAACAUUCGGUUUCUCCGUUCCAACACCCCGUUGAGUUGAGCUGUUUCUGGAGGAGUCCAUUGUGAGACUAUACUGUUUUCUUUGAGAUAGUUUAGGAACUCUCCACUAAAGUAUUCUCCUCCUUGAUCUGAUCGAAAAAUCUUGAUGCAUUUUUCGAUUUGUUUUUCUACUUUAUAUUUGAAUUCUGUGAACUUUUCAAAAUGCUCAGAUUUGUCUCUCAUAAGAUACACAUACCCAUAUUGUGAAUAAUUAUCGAUAAAGAUUAUGAAGUAGAGAAAAUCACCUCUAACAUGCACAUCAAAUAGGCUAUACACAUUAGUGUAUAUCAGAGCAAGUAUCUCAGUGACCCUUUCCCCUUAUCCUAUAAAGGGUAAUUUAGUUAUUUUUUCUUAAAAAAAUGAUUCACAAACUAGAUAAAAAUCUGAAGUCAAUGAGCUAAGAAACCUAUCUUUAUCCAAUUUGUUAAUCAUUUCUUCUCCAAUAUGGUCAAGCCUAAGGUGUCACAUAUAUUUCAAGUUCAUCUCAUCUCCAGAUCUCUUAGACCCAACGACACUCAUUACUUGCUCAAAAAUAUUUACUGAUACAUCCAUAUAUAAAUAAUAAAGACUGUCAAUUAUAAAAUCACAGCUAAUAAUUUUAUUUGUAAAGUAAAUUAUGCAGUAGUUUUUGUCAAAAUUAAAAAUAUAAUUAUCCUAUGCUAAAGAAGAAAUAUAAAUCAAAUUUUUGUUACCAGUAGGUAUAUAAUAAUAGUCUUUAAGUAAUAAAAACUAACCUUCCGAUUUCCUCUACUUCCAGUUGGGUUAUAAAGUUUGGUUCUAGUUUUCAUUUGUAUACUUCAAUAUAGGGUCUAAGAAAAAGUAGAGGAUUUAGGAAAGGUGAAAUGACCCUACGGGUAGGUAACAAGGCAAGAGUUGCUGCUAGUACCUAUCCUUUGCGACUACCGUAAGGUUAGUUAAUUUAUUAAUUAAUUAGAAACAUUGUAUUAGAUGGUGAAGAAUCAUGUUAAUUAGUUAUUUAGUUAUUUCGAAAUAAAUUAAAUGCGUUAGCUAAUUACUUAAUUAUACAUUUAGUUAAUAAAUUAUGUUGAUCAGUUAAAAAUAUUAAUUAGUUAAUUAUUAUAAAUAUUAGUUAAUAUUUGAAUAAACAUAUUGAUUAAUUUAUCAUUUGAUUAGUGAUAUAUUAUAAAUAAUCAAUUAUUUCUUCAAGUAUGUAAUUAAAUAUACAUUAAUCUAAUAAUUCAAAUGGUUAGUAAAUAAUUAAAUAGGUUAAUUAGUUAUUAGUUAGCACUAUUUUAUAAUUAUUAGAAACUAAUUAAUAAAAAAAAAUUAUUUUAAGAAUUUGAUUUGUUAAGAAUAUAAUAUACUAAUUAUCAUAGCUUAAUAAAUAAAUUAUUAUUAUUUAAAUGGGAGAAUAAAGAACAAAAGUUGUUAUUAAUUCCAUGGGGAGGGAAAUAUAGUAGUUCUCCUCUCUUAACGGGUUAUUUUAGAAUAACCCGUUAAGAGAGGAAUAGUUAUUUUUCACAUCGUUUGGUAGAAUAAGGGGGAUAAACUUUUUUAUUCCAUAUUUAUCCCCAAAUCAAACGGUACCUAAAAAGUUUUAGUAGAGAAUAGGAAUGAACUAAACGUCUUUUUGUCCUAUAACUCCAGUAUAAUUAAAUUGAGUAAACUUUAAAUAUCAUUCAUAUAGUUUCGUACUUUCUCACGUCGUAUAACUCCAGUAUAAUUAAAUUGUGUAAACUUUAAAUAUCAUUCCUGUAGUUUCGUACUUUCUCACUUAGUACCCUGUGAUUUAAAAUGUAUCAAUUUAGUACUCUAUAGUUUCAUGUUUUUCUUUUUAUCAACUCCUUCGUUAACAUUUCAUUAAAUUAUAUACAAAAAACUUCAAAUACCCUACCUAGGUUUAUCAAAUAUUCACUUUACUACCUUUUAGUUUUAACUUUGUCACUAAUUUAAUAAAAAAAAUUAGUGGAGUAGAUAAUAAAAAGAGAAAAGUGAAACCACAGGAUACUAAAUUGAUACAUUUUGAACCAUAACAUACUAAAAUAAAAGAGUGCGAAAUCAUAUGAAUGGUAUUUAAAGUUUUCGCAAUUAAAUUUGUACAUGAAGUCUUAAAGGACUAAUGUAUAAAGUUUUAAAAAUCCAAGGAGGCAGUGACCCCACUCGGUCUACCAAUAGCCCCGUCACUGGCUAUCCCUAGAAUUAAAAUGUAACUAGUUUAGGGCCUGCGCUUCGCAGCGGAUCAAUAUCAGCAACCUAAAUUCUAUGUUUGAUUUUUUAUUUAAAAUUCAAAUUUAAAUUUUGAUUUUAUAGUUGAAUUUUAAACUAUCAUUCAUAUUUAAAAUUAAAAAUUGAUAAAUUUCAAAUGAACAUCUUUCAGACUUAGAUUUUAAAUAUUUUUUUUUUAACUUUUAAAUAUUAAAUAUCAAAUUUAAAAUUUUAGGUUUCAAAUAUUAGAUUUUAUAUUUUAUAUUUUAAAAUUCAAAAUUUGAAUAUAAAAUGUAAAAUUUAAAAUCUUGGAACUGAAAUCUAAAGUUUAAAAAUGUAAAAUUGUAAAAUUAAGUUUUAGUAAUUAAGAUAAAAUAUAAAAUUUUUUAAUUUUAAGUUUUAAAUUUUAAAUUUUAAAUUGCAAUAUUUUAAAUAUUAAAUUAUAAAUUGAAUUUAAAAAUUUUAAAUAUUAAAUUUUGAAAUUUUAAAAUUUAGUUUUAGUAAUUAAGAUAAAUAAUUAAAAAUUUUAAAUUUUAAGUUUUAACUUUUAAAUUUCAAACUUCAAUAUUUUAAAUAUUAAAUUAUGAUUGAAUUAAAAAAAUUCAAAUAUAAAUUUCAAAUAUUGAAAUUUCAAUUUCAAAUUUAUAUUAAAUUUUAAGCUCAAUUCAACAAUUUAUAUUUUAAAUUUAAUUUAAUUUUAAAUAUAAAAAAUUUAAAAUUUAAAAAUUUAUUUUUAAUUUAGUUGAAAUGUAAAAUUUUUAAACAAUAAGAGAGAGAGAGAGGAGAGAGAGAGAGAGGGGGGCGGCUCGAGCCGCCACUAGCGCCGGCGCCCUGCCCGCGGGGGAGAGGGAGAGGGAGAGAGAGAUGGAGAGAGAGAAAACGAGAAAGAGAAGGGGGGGUGCCCGGUCGAGCUGCCAACCUGCGCCGCGCCAGCCCCGUGCGCCCGCACCCGCCUCGCGCACCCGUGCGUCCGCCCGUGAGGGGAGAGGGAGAGGGGAAGAGAAAAAAGGGGGGGAGAGGGAGAGACAGAAAGGGGUAGAGAGAGAGUCGCGCCGCGACCCACGCCGCCCGCUCCCGGUUGAGCCGCACGCUCGCGCCGCGCUCGCCCACUCUGCAAUGUGUGCGCGGCUCGCGCCCGGUGCCUAUUCACGCCCCUUGCACUCCCGGUGCCUGCUCGCGCACCCGCGCCCGCCCGUGCUCCCACUGCACGCGACCCGCGGCCGGCACCCGCUCGUGCUACCACAUGCCCACGACCCGCGCCCGGCGCCCGCUCGUACCCCUCGCGCGCUCGCCCCCGCCCAUGCUGCCUCGUGCCUGCGACCUGCGCUCCUCGCGCGCUCGCGAAGGGAUCGAAGGAGGGGGGCACUGAGAAGCCGACACGUGGCCACAGUAAAGAUCAACUUUUAAUAUAUCUACUAUAGAUAACCUGAAUGUAACAUUAUGGUUGGUGGAUUUAGCCCAACAAGCUACUGCGUCUAGAGUACCAAGUUAAUCGACCAUGGGCUGGUAUUCCUAAAAAGUAAUAACUUCACUAUGACAUUUUGGGCCAAUAAAUUUGGCCUAAUAAGUUAUUGAGUCUAAACUAGUCGAUUAACCAACCCAUGGGUUGUUAUGUUUAAGAGCAUGUUUAUUUGGGUGGAAGUUGGGUAGAAGUAGAAGUGGAGAGGAGAGAAGCCGUUUUUAUCAUAAACGACCACUUUCAUUGUUUUGUUCACCGUAAAAUAGUUACGGUUUAAACUCGAAUUAACCUGAAACGAUGUAGAGAGGUAAAGAAAAAAUAAUAAAAUAAAAUACUAGGUAAAGAUAGUGAUAUUUAAAUAUAUUUAAUUAUGGUAAUAAUGUGAGACCCCAGAUAGUCCUGUAUAUAAGAUAUAAUAGGACUAAGCUCUUAACUCGGCUAAAGUAUUUUGGGCAGUGGCUAGGCUCAAGAAGUUAAGAGAGUUAAUUAUACUAGGACGGGAGCAGUCCUAGGAUCAGUGACCUCUUAGAAAGUUGCUGGCGUCAUAGUUGGUAUCAGAGCCGAAUACUAGCCGGAAGUGUGAGAGCUAAGUGUUAUGCGGGACAAAAUGCUACACCAAUGAAUUUGGUGGGAGCCACCUCUUGAACGUGUAUGAGCCACCUCUAGAAUCUCACAUCGAUUGAUAAUUCUUGUCCUGAUCUGUCUGUUUGUAAUCUAGUUUGGACUCAACGAGGACGUCAGGGUCUAAACAGGGAGAGUUUGUAACGCCCCAAUAAUCUCACAUUAGAUGAAAAACUGAUUUUAAUUAGAAUAUAUGAAGCCUAACCCUAAUAAUAAUGAUUGAGCUUAAGCAUUUUAGACCGAUGUUUGGGCCCAACGAGUUAUUAUUACUAGUGGGCCGGGUCGUCACAAUUGGUAUCAGAGCCAAUUACCAGCCGGAAGUGUUAGAUGAGUCUUGGUUGAACCAGAGUCAGAAUGACAAGGCUAUCGAGACGAGUCUCACAUCGCCUGAUACUUGUGAUGAGUCUGAGCCUGACAAGGAUGUCAGCACUUAAAGGGGGAAAAUUGUGAGACCCCAAGUCCUAUAUAUAAGAUAUAAUAGGACUAAGCUCUUAACUAGGCUUAAGUACUUUGGGCAGUGGCUAGGCUCAAGAGGUUAAGAGAGUUAAGCGUGCUAGGACGAAAGUAAUCCUAGAAUGGGUAACCCCCUGGAAAGUUAGGUCGUCACAGUAUGCAAAACGAGGACUUCCUAGGGGUCACCCAUCCUGGUACUACUCUCGCCUAAGCACGCUUAACUGCAGAGUUCUGAUGGGAUGCGGUGCUUUAGUGCACUAGGCGAUGUCAUAUUCUAGAGGUGGCUCCUACAGGUUCAAGAGGUGGCUCCCACCAAUUCCGUUGGUAUAGCACUUUGUUCCAUAUAGCACUUAACUCUCACACUUCUGAUUGGUAUUUGGCUCUGAUACCAAUUAUAAUGCCCCAAUUUGAAUGUAUUUUACUCAUCCAUCAAAGCGUCCCAAAUUGGACUAUUUUUAAUGAUUGAUCGGAUGGAAUUGCUAAUUUAACAAUUAAAUGUAAUUCAAAUAAGUUAAAAUUUUGUUAGAAAAUACUUUCUUACAUAGAAUGGUGAUUUUGACUAGACUUGACAAAUAGACAAAUUGAAUAAUCAGUAGGUGGAUAAUUAUAUUCGCGGGUCAUAUAGGUAUGAAUAAAAUUUACCAGUAAAUUUUUGGAUUGUCAAUAUUUUUUUACCCGUACAUGCCCACGUGCAGAAGGACGAGAAUGCAGGUUACCUGCAAGACUUCUUUUUUCGCUCCUAUACUUUCCAAAUCAAAACAGAUAUGUAUAUUUUUUAAAAGCAUGCAUAACAUUAUUUAUUGAUUGAAAUAUCACAUCAUACAAUAAACAAUAUAAACUUUUAAAAUGCAUAAGUUAUAUAUAAAAGUAUUUUAUCAUUCCAAAAUUUUGAGAUACAAAAUUAAUUAAGUUUUCGUGAUUAUAUAGUCAAUAUUAUAAAGAUUAUACUUUUUAAUUAAAAAAAAUAUAUGCAGGUAUUCGUAGGUAUAAACGUGUUGCCCAAAAUGCCCACAAUUUAACGGAUACCCACCAAUUUUACUUAUAGUUUUUUGGAUAGGAAAAACUAGCACUCAUAUAUGCAAAUUUGCUAGUAAUAUGCAGGUACCCGUGAGUACGGAUAGAGAUUGUGAAGUCUAACUUUGACAGAGACUAGAAUACUUCCUAAAAGCAAACCAAUACUUUCACUUCCGCACCAUUGUUAGUGUUGUACUGAUGAUCGGCGCCAUUACAUGAGCUAGACUAUUUGAACUUCGCAAAAAUUGAAUUUUAUGAUUUUAAGAUAUCAUUUAGCUAAAAUGAUCGAAGCAGAUAGCCUGCUAUUUUUCUCUCAAAAAAAAAACGGAUAGCUCGCUAUCUUUCUCUUAAAAAAUAAAAAAAAGAUGGUAUUUGCCUAUUGACCAUGUGUUGUGGAAUUCAUCUUCUAUUAAUCAUAAAAAAUUGUCAAUAUUUGAACCACUUGAAUACAAAACAAAAAAUAUCAAAAAAUUACAAAAUUUGAUUCCUAAAAAAUUUAAAUAGUUUAGAUUAUGUUUAGAGGUGUCGAUCAUCUUCGGAUGCCCCAUUGCGGAAAACAAUGACCUCAUUUUUCUUUUCCUAUAAACAGGAUGGUCGAGUAAAAGUUAAAAUAGAUGAAUGGAUGAUGGAUUCGUGAAUACGCUACACUCAAGGAACAAUUUCUCGUUGCCACAUGAAUUUUUAGUGUUUUAUUAUGGCAUGUAAGAUUUGCACACACAGCAAGAAUAUUCAAAUUAAUUAAUCUAUAAUAUCUCAAUUGGUGCUAAGGAUAGACUUCUUGAUGACGAACAAUAAGUUUAGUUGAUCACAAAGGCUAUCAUGAACAUAAGUCAUGUAAUAUUUACCCUUCUCUGCUAACCUUUUUUUUGAGUAAAUUGCAAUUUUGGUCCUCAAACUAUGAGUAAUUUGAAACUUUGGUCGUCAAGAUUUAAUUUAUUAUAAUUUUUGGCUCGAACUUUCAAAAUUGUUACAAUUAAGUCCCACAACUUAAUUUAGUUGGCUAAAUAUUGAUAAAUUGUUAAUAUAGAAGUAAAGUGAAGGCAUUGUGAUGGAUAAUAAAUCAAUAGUUAAAAUGCUACAUCCCGUUUACAUCAAUGAUGCAUCAAUAUAUAGUCAACUAAAUUAGGUUGUGGGACUUAAUUGAUGUAAUAAUUUUAAAAGUUUGGGCCAAAUUGCUACAAAUUAAAGUUUGGGACCAAGAUUUCACCCACCUUAUAGUUUGAAAACCAAACGUGCAAUUUGCCCUUUUCUUAAAAUUAUCAUUUGUGAUGCACCUGAUUUGUAUUUCUCGGACAAAAAAAUUAGUUAAUUCCAUAGCCAUAUUAAGUACGCAUUUAAAGUUGUUUUUUCAUAAAUUUUUAGUAUUUAUUUUUUGUCUACAAAGUCAUCACUAAUUUUCAAAGCUUUUACUUCUAAGCUAUUUUAAAGUUGUUUUGCUUAUGCACUAACAUUUGAUUCUUCUUUUGGCAGAUUAAAUGCGCGACGAGAUCAAUGCACUGAAUUUCUAAGCACUAAAAUCUUUAAGAACUUUCACUGCCAAGAAACAAUAAUGGCCGAGGUUGCAAUACUGUUAGCCAUUCAAAAGCUUGGUCUUGCAUUAGGCACAGAACUGCUGAACCAAGCUAGCUCUCUAUUUUCACAACAACUAGCAUCAUUGGCAGAGCUCCCUAAUAGUAUGGAACGCAUACGGCGCGAACUCCACGUAAUGCAAGGCUUAUGUCGCAUCGAUAGAAGAGAGAGCAAAAAUCAAGCCCUGGAAGCUUGGAUAGCGGAAGCGCAAAAAGCCGCACAUACUAUUGAGGAUAUUGUCGAUGAGUAUAUCUUCCGUAUGGAUCAAGAUCGGCAACGACAAGGUGGAGUGGUUGGUUACAUGAAACAAGUGUUGAAGCAACCAAAAUCGUUUGGUAGCUUCUGUCUUAUUGCCUUUCAAAUAAAACAAGUAGAGAACGACCUUGACCACCUCUCAUGCUUAAAAGAUAGAUGGAUUCAGACAACAGGCUUUGGGGAUUGUACUAGCUCAGAUAAUGUGAGCGAAUGGACACAACAUCUUACGGGAAACUCUCCUCUUUUCAUGGGUGAGGAACAGCUCGUAGGGAUUGACGAAGACCGACAUAUGUUAACUAAUUGGUUGAGGACUGAGAAAUUAGAUCUCUGCAUAAUAACAGUGUGGGGUAUGGGCGGGCUCGGAAAAACUACUUUAGUCACCAAUGUUUAUAAAAGAGAGAGUAGAAACUUCGAAUGCCAUGCUCGGAUUUCUAUAUCUCAAACUUUUAAAAUUGAAGAUCUUCUUCGAAAAAUGAUUACUGAACUUUACGGCGACAAAAAGAAAGUUCCAACUGACAUUGACACCAUGGAUGUUAUAAAGCUAAAAGAGACACUAAGGGAAUCCUUGGAGCAAAAGAAGUAUCUAAUUGUACUUGAUGACGUAUGGGAACCGCGAGCAUUUUAUGAAUUGCAAGAUUCUCUUGUCGAUAAUCAGAAAGGAAGUAGAAUAUUUAUUACAACCAGAAAUGCAGAAGUAGCAUCACUUGCGAACAAAAACUAUAAGCUUAAACUCGAACCUUUAUCUGAUCCUGAUGCGUGGAAGCUUUUCUGCAAGAGAGCAUUUCGGAAUUAUGAAAAUCAAGAAUGCCCUCCGGAGUUAGAAAAAAGUGCAAGAGAUAUCGUGGACAAGUGCGAAGGGCUGCCACUAGCUAUUGUAUCACUAGGCAGUCUCCUGUCCUUAAGAGAAAAUAGUGAGACUGAAUGGAAGCGAGUUUAUGAUCAGCUUAAUUGGGAGCUUGCAAACGACCAAAGUCUCGGUCCCGUGAGAAACAUCUUGAAUUUGAGCUUCAACUAUCUUCCUAAAUAUCUAAAGAAUUGCUUCUUAUCUUGCAGCAUGUUCCCAGAGGAUCAUCUUCUUCAAAGAAAAAGGCUUAUCAGGCUAUGGAUAGCAGAGGGUUUUGCGGUAGAAAGAGGAUCAAGCACGGCUGAGGAAGUUGCAGAAGGAUAUAUCGUGGAGCUUAUCCGUCGGAGCAUGCUGCAAGUAGAAGAGUGGAACCACUUUGGUAGGGUAAAGUAUUGUCGGAUGCACGAUCUCGUGCGUGAGUUGGCUGUCUCUUUAUCUGAAAGGGAGAAGUUCCACAGUAUUUAUCAGGAUAACAGGAUGGAAAGGAUGGUCGAUGCUAAUGCUCGUCGCCUUUCUGUUCUCAAAUGCAGCAAUGAUAUUGGAGUCAACAUUGAUCUACCACGGCUACGAACCUUUGUAGCGUUCGACACUACUAUGCCGUUGUCCUCAUUUUUACCUAUGUUUCCAUCCAAAUCAAGGUAUAUUGCAAUUCUUGAACUGCAAGGCUUGACUAUUGAGAAAAUACCCGAUGCUAUUGGAGACUUAUUCAAUUUGCGAUAUUUGGGUUUAAGAGAUACAGAGGUGAAAUUACUACCGAAAUCCAUUGGGAAGCUUUCCAACUUGUUGAUCUUGGACCUCUAUCAAUCAGCCAUACAAAAGCUGCCUCGUGAGAUCACGAAUCUCAAGAAGUUGCGACACAUGUUUGUUGAGAGGGUAACUGAUCCAAACGGAAAAGCCUUUCGCCUUUGUAGUGGUGUAUGUGCACCCAAGGGUUUGUGGAAUUUAAAAGAAUUGCAAACGUUGCAGGCGGUUGAAGCAAGUAGUGAGUUGGUUGGGCGACUAGAAAAUUUGACCAACCUAAGAAGCUUUAGAAUAUGGAAUGUAAAGGAAACCUACUCUAAACAACUGUGUGCAUCAUUAUCACAGAUGCGUAGUCUUUCCUACUUAAGCAUUAAUGCAAGUGAUGAAAAUGCAUUUCUCAAUUUGGAAGGCCUGAAUCCCCCUCUCCCGAAUCUUAAAAAGCUUACUCUAACAGGUAGGUUGGCAGCAGAAACGUUGACGUUUCCUUUGUUCCGAGAUCUCCGAGAAUUAAGACUAGCUUGGUGUCAGCUAACUGCAGAUCCACUUCAAUCGCUCGCUCAAUUAUCAAACCUCACUUGCCUAAGUCUUCGAAGGGCAUAUAAUGGAGAACAGUUGUGCUUUUGUGAUCAGUGGUUCCCUAAUUUGAAGCGGCUUGACUUGGAUGACUUGCCGCAACUCAAACAAGUGAAGAUAGAGGGGACAGCCAUGUCAAAGUUGGAAACUCUUUAUAUGGAAGACCUCAAAAACCUAACAGAGGUGCCAGAACGCAUUGAAUCCCUCACGUCAUUGCGGACGCUAUUUUUGCAUGAUAUGGAUCGUCAGUUGACCAGUUGUUUAGCUGAAAAUGGCCAACUAAGAAAAAUCUGCACCAUCUAUAUACACUUUUCAAAUAGCACUUGAAGUGCCUUCUUUUCUUCUGAAUUCGCUCGCAAGUAAGUUUCUACAUGUCAUACGUACCCAUGCAUUCUUUUACAAUGUUCACUAAGUUUUCGUGUUUAACCCAAGACUACUUGCGUAUGACACAUAAACUAUGUUAGUAUCUUAUGUCUAAUUUAUUGAUUUUCUCUCCUUUGAUUUGAUUUUUCUUCAUUUUUAUCUCAUUUGGAGCCACAAGUAUAUGAUUAAUAUAUUUUUAUGAACUUAAAUUCCAUAAUAAAAUUCCUAGUUAGGCAAUUGCUAGAACAUUGUUUCUUUCAAUACAGUAUAGUUCUGAUCUCAUAUUUAUUUAGUCAACAUAUAAAUUGCUACUGUAGAGAAAAUAUAAACCAAAUAUAUUCGUUGAAGUCCUAGAAAGAGGCUUUGCCAAUUUAUUGAAAUUCACAAUUUAUAUUUUUUUUGUACUGUAUGCUUUCUACUGGCAAUGGUCAUAUAAAUUUGCUAUUCAUUACAUAUUCGAUUUGUUUUCUUACUAUAUAAUUUAAGUAAUAAAUUUACCAGUGAAGCUGUACAGAUAUACUAAGCAUUUGUCAAUUUUUUUUUCCAUCACCGGUUUCCUUACCAUGAAUCGAAUUUCAAUUUUUUUUUCUAUACUAGCGAAAGCUUGAAUGCAACGCACGCUUUGCAUACUUGUAUAAAUUUUAAAAAUGUAAUAAAUUUUAUCUGGUUAUAAUUAUCUAAUCUGAUAGAAAAAUAAGAAGAAUUAUACUAGAUUUACUCAAAUUUUGUUUAUCUAUUUAAAAUUUAAUUACUUUAAAAGCAAUACUUCAAUACACCAUAUAAGUCUUAACCAUUUAUUUUUCUAAAUAAGUGGUUGAGAUAUAAUAUGACUCUAGAUAUGACCUACUAUUGAGUCAUAGGUACCAUGUCACCAGGUACCUAUCUAAAUGGUAUUUUGGUCUCUAUAGAAUAUUUUGGCCCAUAAGAUUGUUUUUAUCCAAUUAAGGGUAUUAUAUAUUUCUCAAAUACCUAUAACAAUAAUUGAAAUUUAAAUUGCAUCCAAACUGUAAAAUUUUAUUUGGAAACAACAAAAAAAACUUAAUUAUGAAUUAAAUUCAUUUUUUUAAAAUAAACUACAAAUUUAAAAUAGAACUUUCAGGUCAAAUUCAAAAUUUCAAUCUAAAUCAGAAAAUAAAAUUUGGCUUUAAGAUUAAAAGUACAAUUUAGAUUCAAAUUUUAAAAGUUUAAUUUAAAUUUCAAAGUUAAAAUUUUACAUUACAAUACCAAAUUCGAAAAUUAAAUUAAAAUUUAAAAUUUAUAGAAUGCUAACAAAUUUGGUAUAUACUACUAAUUCUUUUCUAAUAUUGUCAUAUUAACUAAUCCAAAUCGGUAACCUGUUCGGCAGCGUAAUUUAUUGAAAAUCCAACUAUCUAUACCUUUUACUAAUUAAGGAUUAGAUUUUAAAUUUAUGGUGUAUUGAAACAUUCCUCUUAAUUUAAAAGUUAAAUCAUGUCAGUACUUUAAAAACUUUUGGAGAAUAAAAUCAAAUAAAAAUUUAUAAGUGCAUAUUUCAAAUAUAAAUGUAUUUUCAGAAUAGGAUGGGUAUUUGGAAAGAAAAUUUGACGGACCUAAGAUUUGUAUUGGCUCUCGUAUACACACUUGCACGAGAAAAAGAAAGUAAAAAAUAAAAAAUAAAUAAACUUAAAAAAUAAUUUUAAAGACUAUUUUUAGGAGAAAAUUUGCCAGAUUUAAGAUCCGUCAAAUUUUCGUUCGUUGUUUUGUAUAUAGUACAUAUUUAAGAUCUGACAUAGAAGAAGUGAUUUUUCUUCAUUGGUCAUCAAUUCCUUCCAUUGUCCUUUAUACUGCACACACCUUGCCUUUUUUUUUCUCCGGAAAUAUGUAAAUAAUCUAUUUUAUAGUUGGAAAUGUCCCCUUAGUUUCUUUCUUGUUCACCUAUUUAUUUUGUGGAUCUGAAACUUGGUGCUGAUUUUUUAAUUUGUACUUCUCAAUUUGUUUAUUCUUCAAAUUUUUUGAGAUUCAGGUGAUCCUCUCCAUGGUUUCAAGCCACCGUAUGCAGUACUUCUCAGUGUCUGGCAGCUAUGUCAUCAUUUGCAUAACAUUGCACUAUUAUUUGUUUGUCCUCUAGUUUGUUCUUAUAUACUCUGAUGGUGUUGUCGUAUGUAUUUUCUGUUUCAGUUUAGUUCUUUCAAUCGCGUACUCUGUGUGUUGUUUUGCAAUGUAAUGUAUAACGUAUGAUAUAUAGUAAUAUCCGAUGGGAUUUAUUCUGUAAGAAAAUAUUAUUGAUAAUAAUGUGCCAUUUUGUCGAAACAUUUGCACCUGCACUAACUUGGUUUUUCUAUACUCUCUAUCAAUUGCCAUUCGUGCAGUUGGCUAACAGUUACACAAAAGCCAUAAAGAAUAAUGUCUGGAUUUCGAAUAUCUCACUUCCACUUAAUUCGCAGAAAGCUCAGGACGAAGCACAGUUUCUCAUAAGUUUACUUACAAAUGUACAGCCACACAAUCAUUAAUUAAUGUGUCUCGUUGGAGAUGAACGAGAAAUUGCUUAUAUACACCAAUAGUUGUCUAUAACAUUUAAAGAGCAUUAAUGUUGUCAAUUCUGACAUCUAGAGACUAAAGCCCCUCCAUCUGGAGAUCAUUUUGCUAGUAACUUAGGAAGCUCCUUGUUCGUCUGUACUCUGACAUUCUACUAACUUUCCCUCUUUUAGCUUUUGUUGUUGUUGUGUUUCUUCUAUAUUUUUGUCCCAAUGUAUUUCUUUAUAGGGAAAGUUAUAUAGGACUAACUUUCUAAUUAUUGUGAUUACUUUCUUAACCUUUUUACCAGUAUUUUAAUUGGAUCUAUUCUGUUGUAAUCUCCAUUAAUUUGUAUGGAUCUUCCCAUCUCAGUAACAAUGAAAUGCAAAUAAAUCUCGUGGACUGAUCGUUAAAUACCUGAAGAAGUCAGUCAAAGCGAAUAUUUAGACGACGAUCAACUGAACAAAAGCUUAUCACGUCACCCAAUCUGCACUCUGAAAAACACGCAAUUUAUAGCAACACUUAGAAGAGCUUAUAAGAAAGUGGAGCACAACACUCGAAAAGUUAACAUUUGCUAUUAAAAUCUAUAAGCUCACUUUUAGUCUCAUAUUUACUUAUAUGUUUUACUUAAAUAAAUAAGCAUAUUCCGCCUAUGACAUUAUUUAUUUUAUUCCGAAAAAAGUGCACCAUUGUAGUAGAUAACUACGUGCUCUUCACAUUGAUCAAUUACUACAUGCCCUGCCCCUUUUGAGUAGUAAACAAAAACAGUGCUCAUAAAGAGAAGUGCUGAAUAAAAUAUUCAUGCAUCCAAAAGGGUACCAAGACAAGAUGCAAGUGGCGUUUGUUUCACUGUCACACACAAAUUAGGAAGGAGAACCCAUAGUUUAAGAUCAGAAUGCCUAAGCAUGACAAUCUUUUCCUCUUUCUGCCUUCCUCCCUUUUUUUCACUUUCCAAUAAACAAACUGCAAAUUUUCACUUUCCAAUAAACAAACUGCAAAUAAGGAAUAAAUUCUAGAACUCAAUGCAUUUUACCUUCUUUACAAAAUACCUUAAAAAGAAUGAAAACGAGAAUAAAAUGGUUCAAUUUUAAGGAGAAGGAAGGGUAGUUGUAAAUUAUAUUAUAUCACCAGAAAUGUAUAUUACAAGGAUCUUUCAACCAUUUUGGACCUGAAAAAGGUAGCAUGAAAACAAUUUAAACAAGAAGAAAAGUGAUGCUAAGAAAAUAUAGUUAAGCAAACAUUUAUACACAAUAGUAAGAUAAUAUUGGCACUUCAAGUUUAAUCGGGCAGUCAUAAGAAGUGCAAAGCUCAUUUUACAGGUUGAACUUCAAUAGCUAUGUAGCUAACUUGCUUUCCGAGCAGAACAUCAAAAUGCAAAUAAGCAUUUCUACUAUCUGACUGAAUUGAUUGAAUGCAAAUGCAACUGUCAAAAUUGCUUUGGCAUGGCAAGUAAGAUCCAUGACUAGUUCACCAGUUUUAUCCCAAAACUCAAUUUAAAAUUACCUUAAUCUUAGUAGUUGUUGCCAUAUGGUGUGUCCACAUUGGCGGGUUAUGAUUUGAUCCGAUCCACAUAAGUUGUGGAUCAUGAUUUAUCCAAAUAAGUUUAGGAUAAUUAUAAAUUUUAUGUUUCUUAUCAGUUAAGAAACAUAUCUUAUAAUGAAUAUUUAUUAUAUGUUAAUAAAUAUCCCAAUCCUAAUCCUAAUGAGAUUCAAGAUAUUUAGGGGUUCUGUUAUUCAUAUAUAUACGCCCCGUUUUCUCCUGUAGAAGAGACGAUCAAAUGCGAUCUAAUUCGAGAAUCCACAAAAUCUUCCUUCUUCUCUCUCUUCUUCCUCUCUGGGAUUUUCACCUACGUUUCCGGGGUUUUAGAGCGUGGACAUAGGAGAGGACUCUGGUAGCCCUCUCCGAUUGGCAUCCGUGACAUAAGACAAUCCGUUCCGUGACGUAAGGCGUACGCGUGGAAGAAGACGAGAAACGUGGGAGAUCCAGAAGCAUCGAGACAAGAACGAUCCAAGAAGGCUUGUAAAACAAGCAACCCGAUUCGAUUCCGGUUUCCGGAUACGUUGGCUAUCCGGUUUGUAAGUUUCCGCUGCCUAUUAUUUCCAACAAUUGGUAUCAGAGCUUGAAUGCUUGUUUUCGCCUUAUGAUCAUGCUUGUUUUUUUAAUCGCAUUCGUUGAUCAAUUCCUUUUAUGUAGAUUAGUUCUACGUUUUUUUUGUUUUCUAUGUGAAAUCGAUUAAAAGGAAAGAUUAAAAGAUAAAACUAAAUUAGUUUUAGUUUUCGCUCAAAAUUGAUCAUAAAAUAUGCGAUUUUUUUUGUAAAGUUAGUAAUUUUUUUUUAUUCUUUGCUUCGUGCAUUGAAUUUUUUUAAAAAAUCGCUCUUUGCGACCAUUAGGAGGGCUCAAUGCGACCCGCUGCGGAGGGUGGCGCACACUGCGCGGGCCCGGCCCGCUGCAGGCCGCGGGUCGCACACGAGCGCAUCGCGCUGCGUGCGCGGUCUGAACCCGCGAGCAGACCGCGCGGGCCCGGCCCGCUGCAGGCACAGGCGCGCACCCCCGCGCACCGCGCGGGCCCGGCCUGCCGCGGGAGCGGGGCGCACCCGAGCCCACUGCGCAGGCCCGGCCUACUGUGGGCGCGGCGGACACCCGCCCGCGCAGGCUCGGCCCGCUGAGGAAGCGGGCGCGUCCCCGCGCGCAUCGCAGGGGCCCUGCCGGCUGCGGGCCCGGCGCGCACCUGCGCGCACAGCGCGGGCUCGGCCCUCUGCGGACGCGGGCGCGCCCCGCGUGUGUCGCGCCGGCCCGGCCCGCUGCGAGAGCGAGGCACACCCGCCCGCACCUCACGGCCCGGCCCGCUGCGGAGGGGGGCGCACCCGCCCGCUUUGUGCGGCCCGGCCCGCUGCGGGAGCUGGGCUCACCCUCCUGCACAGUGCGGGCCUGGCCCGCUGCGGGUGGGUACCCGCCGGCAGUGCAGGGGCCCUGCGGGCCCGGCCCCAGCCCGCCGUGUGCUGUGGGCGAUUUUGCAGGCCCAGCCCGGCCUGCUGCGCUCAGCAAAGAGACCCUGCGUGCCCGGCCCGGCUCGCAGCGCAGAGAAUUUUUCUUUAAAAAUUAAUAAUAAUAAUAAAAAUCCUAUGUGGAUAUUUUUUAUUUCCUAUAUAUUUUUUUUGGAAUAUAUUUAUUUAUUUUUUAUGCAUUUUUUUUGAAUAUGCAUGUGUUGUUUAUCCUAUGUGGGUGUUUUUUUGCUUAUGUAGCAUGAUAUUUUAUUGGCAUAUAAGUACUUAUGUUAUUCGGUGAUUUUUCAACAAAAUUUAAUUUUGAAAAAACGGGUUCGACGUGUGCAACAUUCCUGUAAAAUAUUAUUUUUCUAAUGUACAUCUUGUAGUGAUGUAGUAGGUUUUAAUUAUGCAAAGGUGAUGUAAUAAUUAAGGCCUUGUAAAGGAAUCUGUUUUGCGCAGCGUCGACGUUUUUCAAAUUAAAUUUUGGCAUAAGUACUUAUUUUUUAUCUGUGUGAUGAUAUUACAAGAUAAGUUCUCCUUAUAUAAAUAUUUUUCGAUAGAAAAGGAUAUGUUCUUUCAAAAUGGAUGAGUUCCAACUUUUGGAUAAGUUCCAAAAAUUAAUAGAAAAUUAAUAAGAUUGUAAUAUUUUGAACAGACACUGGGUGAUGAUUACGAGCAUAGCGAAGUUUUCGAUCCCGUUGUGUCGAAGAUAAUAUUCCAAUCUUGUUAAUUUUUUCGGAAUAUGUGCCUAAUGUCCAAACUUUUUUUUUUUUUGAAUGUAGUGAAAUGACUUUCAAAAACAUCAUAGUUGAUCUCACCAGGGGUGAUAAGCUAGAUGAAAAGAACUAUGUUAUUUUUGAUAUAGAAAAAUGCAAUACCUGCUUAAUGAACAAGGGUUUUUCGUAACUCUCUCUGUCAAAAGAGCAUGCCUGCCGAAGGCACAACUGCUGAGUAUGAAAAAAGGUUUAUAACAAAUAGUUCAAGAAGGAUCGAAACUACUUGGUACACUAUGUUGUGUGCCAUACAAGACGACCUCAUUGAACAGUUUGAGACCUAAGAGACUGCCAAGAACAUGUGGGGCAAUCUGAAGAUUGCUUUUGGGCAAAUUUCAGUCACGAGGCUACGUGCCUUAAAUUUGAUUUUUCAGCAAUACAGUGAGGACUCAAAAUAUUUAAUGGUUGAGCACCUCCGUGUGAUGGGUACCAUAAUUUGGGACCUUAAAAUUGCUAGAAACGAGCUCAAUAAUGAGCAAUAAUAAGUUCUAGCAGUGAUUCGUUCACUGCCUGAUCCUGAAUGGUCCCAGAUGAAGCUUCUGAUGGCACACGGCGAGAACAUUAAAACGUUUAAUGACAUCUCGUGCCAUCUCAAGCUCGAGGCAGAGCGCUUGGAAGCGAAUCGUUCUAUCGCUCUUGUUGCACGCUUCGAGAAACGCAGUGGGAUCGCACCCAAGCGUAAGAAGCGUUACAAUAAUCGAGCGCAGAAGAGUCGAAAUCAAGUUCCCUGUGGUAGAGUUUGAAAGCUUUGUUGAGCCAUUUUUGACAGAGAUCGCCUAGAUAUUUUCUUUCAUAGUACUUUAUUUGGAUAUGGUACAUUAGUUGAUGGUUUCUUUAAAUUAGAUUUGAAGGAUGAUUCGUUUGCAUUUGCUUUUUCUUCUUCUACUCUCUGUGAUGAAUCCGUUAAAUGGUAUGCCAGAUUGGAUCAUAUAGGUCAAGAAAGAAUGAAUAGAUUGGCUCGAGAAGGCCUUUUGGGGUCUCUCGCCAAAGUUGACCUAUUUGUGUGCGAGCCUUGUCUGGCUGGGAAGGCAUGUAGAAAGCCUUUUGGUAAGGCUACUCGUGCCUCUCAUCCUUUAGAGCUAAUCCACUCAGACAUUUGUGGGCCAAUGAAUGUGAGGGCCCGGCAUGGUGCUUGCUAUUUUCUCACAUUCAUUUAUGAUAAUUCCCGUUAUGGAUAUGUGUAUUUGCUUUCUCGCCGAUCUGAAGCUUUAGAUUGCUUCAAGCGCUUCGUUGCGGAGGCUGAGAAUCAAAUAGAAAGAAGUGUAAAGGUGCUUCACACUGAUCGAGGUCGUGAGUACUUGUCUGAUCAGUUCAAGACUUAUUGUGAGCAAAAGGGCAUUAGUAGAUAGCUCACUAUUCCUGGUACUCCGCAACAAAAUGGUGUUGCAGAGCGAAGGAACCAUACUCUAUUAGACAUGGUUAGGUCGAUGAUGGCGCAAGCGCAACUUCCCAUAAAUUUUUUGGGAGAUGCUCUUUUGACUGCAGCCUACAUCCUUAAUCGAGUCCCUAGCAAAUCAGUGCCUACCACCCCAUAUUAGUUGUGGAGCGGUAGAAAGCCAAAUUUACACUACUUACGCCCUUGGGGUGCGACUGGAUAUGUUCACAGCCUCUCACAUAAAUUUGGGAAACUCGGGCCUAGAGCGAGCAAGCAUGUGUUCAUCAGAUACCCUGAAAAUUCGAAGGGCUAUGUGAUGUAUGGUGAACACCCAGAUGGUGGUAUGACCGAGAUUAAGUCUCGUGAUGUGGAAUUCCUAGAAGGGGAUUUUUCAAGCAUUGGUGAAAUGUGAAGAGACGUCGGAUUGUAUAAGUUACAGGAUAACGCUACCCCAUCUGCGGUUGAGGGUGAUCGAUCACUUCCCGAAGUCGCUGAAGGAAAUGGUAGCGAUCCUCCGGCUAGUGGGAGUGCUUCUUUGAGUGAGAGCAUAUCUGAAAGUUUUGAGGAGCCCAAGGAUCUAUCUAGAUUGUAUCUAUCACCUAGAGGGGGGUGAAUAGGUGAAACGCCAAAAACCACAAAUCUCGAUGCAAUAAAAAUAAAUGCCGAAAAAAUAAAAGCACACCGAAAUUACGUGGGAAAAACUCCAACUUGUGAGAAAAACCCACGGACCAACACGCCAAAAAAAAAUAUCACUAGAGUAAAAGAUUACCAGGUGAUUACCGACUCCACGGACUUCUACCUCUCUUACCUCCUAUGAAUCUUCGCCACCCUCCGUUGUCCACACCCUCACGUCCGAAUCCACGAACGCUCCACUUCGAAUCCACGAAGCUCAAUCACGCCCGAAUCCACGACGCCACUCGAAUCCACGAGCCAACGAUCCGAAUCCACGAACCGCCUUUCCACGCCGAAUCCACGACCGCGUUCAUGAAGAGCAUAUGAUUAUGGUGAUCCUUCGCUUAUGGAGUGUCGUAGAAAACCAAGGAAGAAAACCCAGCGAAGCGGAGAUCAAAUCGACAUAUAGAGAAGCGAAACGAUAUCUCGAUUUGAUCUAAAGAGGCUAAUUUGUAGAAAAUAGGUUUAGAAUGAAAUCCGUGCCUCAGGGUUCUCAGACAUUAUUCUUAUAUGCUUGAUAUUUAGAAGCCCAAUAACUUAUUUAUAGACUUUAUAAUCAAAACAGAGUAGGAUAGAAAGUUUCUUUCCAAAAUCAGCACCUUGUACCGGAACAAGGAAAGCUGUCCAGGGUACACCAUGACGGAAGAUUUCUGCGAAGCUCCUUGUACCCUGGAAGCUUCAGCUUGUUCCGGAAUAGGCUUUGUACCGUACAGCAUGAAGCUGUACCGGAAAACCAUCAAACUUCCUGCGCAAACAGAUGGCUGUACCCUGACAGAAAACCUUGUACCGUACAACAAUACAAUUUCGCUGAAAGCACUUAUUUUGAUUUUACAAACUCUUAGAAACUUUCUAAUCAAUACAACUUGAAAAUAUGAUUCUAAAUCUAUAAUAAUAUGAUCACCAUAAACAAGAUUUAAAGCUAUCCUACGCAUCGUGAUUCAAGUUUGCGUGUUUUGCGUCCUUUUCGAUUCUUCGAAGUCUUGGAUUCUUCGAUCUCAAUACCUCCGCUCCAACUCUUCAAGACUACGACUCGACCCACGAAACUUGCAAACACAUAGGACCUAACAAUCUCCCCUUUGGCAAUUUCGUGACAAAACACACAUAAACUCACAAAUUACAAUUUAAAAAAACGAAGUCAAUGUCAUCACCAAAACAUCAACCCCUCGCGUGUAAUCAAAUACAAUUUGAAACUCAAAAUUACAUCAAAACUCAUAAAACAGACUCUAUGACCUUAGGACGCAACUAGAGUCUUGAAGUCUUAAUUUCCUGCAAAACCAUUCAAAAUGAUUAACCUUAAACUUAUUACCUUCUCCCCCUUUUCUUCACGUCUCGAACACAUCUCCCCCUUUGUCUUGAACUCAUCAACCUCUGCUUAGUUCAUUGCCUGUUCAUCCAUGCUCUCUCCCUUCAUCUAUGCUCUCCCCUUUUUUCAAAAAUUGCCAAAAAAAGCAAAUAAGAAAGAGAAAACAUACCUAGAAAAACAUAGAGUAGUCUUACCAUAGUAUUACAGGCCUAAAACGAAAGUAAAAACAUACUACAGAAAGAUAAGCAGCAAAUUCUAAAACAUCGUCCUAGAAAGUAAGCAUAAUAAAGUAACAAGACGAAGCCUGAGGAAGAUAUCACUCACCGUGUCCUCAUCACAAUCAUCACCGCACCAGCUCCAAACCUCCAGCCUCAGAGCAUCACCAGAUGUGGAAUGAGAGAUGUCGUGAAAUGACCGCUGAUACGAAGCAAAGAUGAGUAGGUUCCACAAUAUCAUCAUGUCUACACCCAUCUUAUCCAUCAGUCUUUGCAUACUUAACUCAAACUUUUUUGAAGCCAGACUCAACUUUCCUUCCAAUGUUGUUCACCUCUUCUUAAGUUUCGCAAAUCAUUCUUAACUGAUUCCAAUGUCUCGCUUCCCCCAACUAGAUGAAGUAUCAUAACUUCCUCGAGAUGUGGCGGAGAGCAGAACUAGAAGCUGCUCUCGGUGGAGUGCGCUGGCUAGAUGCUUCAGGAGGUCUUUUGGCCUGAAUGAAAUGACUUGAAGUCUAACAGACUUAGCCCAAGUCACUGAGUCAUAGCCCAAGGCCCAUCAUACUUGUCACAAACUAUCCCUCCAUAUACUUGAAGAAUCCUCGUAAUCAGAACAGGAAUGGAAGUAGAUCCCGGCGAGUGUGCACCCUGAUAUCGUGAAUCAUCCUUUGCCAGAUCAGAAAUGGAAUGUUGAUAUUCAACCCUCGAGCCGCCGGGAUGACCAAUAGAUAUAGCAACACUAGUCUCCCAGCGGAUCCUUUUUGUGCCGAUAGUUGGUUGAACAUGUAGCUCAAACAAGGAUAGCAGGUGAUACUCAGGUAAUAAGUCCUUGAUUCAAUGUAAACAUAAGUCAUGUACACAUCGACUUUGCAUAAUGAGCUCCAAAACAAUAUUCAUGUGAUUGAUGCUUGAAAUCCCUCCUGAAGUAUAGAGAAGGCCAGAAGUGUCCACACAUGCAUCCCCAAGAUCUCUCCAUAUCAUAGGGGUAACUGAAAAUCUCCUCUGACGCACAACAGUCUCGAAGAUAAAAGUGCCUUUUCAUCAUUUUCAGCAGCACCUUUUCGCAUCAUAUAGAAACUGCCUAAUGAUUCUACACAAGAAGGAGCCUUCGCAGGGAUCGUCCAACAGGCUCAAAUACGCCGCUGAGUAGUCGUCCAAAAUCAGAACCUCCCAAUCAGAUCAUGGAAGUUCACGAAGCGUAGCUAUGCACGACUUAUGCAAACAACACUUCGCGUGCUUGAGGGAACCUCUGCAUCUCUCUCUUGNNNNNNNNNNNNNNNNNNNNNNNNNNNNNNNNNNNNNNNNNNNNNNNNNNNNNNNNNNNNNNNNNNNNNNNNNNNNNNNNNNNNNNNNNNNNNNNNNNNNUAUAUAUAUAUAUAUAUAUAUAUAUAUAUAUAUAUAUGAAUUCCACGUGCCCAUGCAUGCAUUUCAUGCUUAUCUAUUUAGAGGGUUGUACAUGCCUCCUUAAUUAAAAUUUCCUCCAUCUCUUUGUCUCUGGAACCAUACGCAAGGAGGAGGAAAACCCGGUCGGAGCUCGUGUGUCGCCGACGUCGCGCUGCGGUACCGUAUGAGCGUGUGUUCGUCGUCGUAACAUCGCGAGAAGGCCAGGCGAGGGUGCGUUUACGCCAUUUUAGACGUCGCGCCGGAUUGGGUUUUGCGUUUGAGGUGGGUUUAUCAUCGGAAUCCUACUCCUAUAGUAUUGUUGGUUGACAUGUAUCAUUAAUAUUACAAGUUGUUAUUGUUUAACUCAAAUUCAUGAGUAGGUAUGUUUUAGACAUAUAAACUGAAUUGGAAGCAUGUUAUUAAUUGUUAUUAAUCAUACAUGUGGGACUUGGAUAAAACAUAGGAGAAAACCAGCGUUCGGGACCUGGCAUAUGUUAAACUACCUAAUUUAGCCCUAGGGGCCAUUGUAUUUUUAUACAGUUGCAGUAUCCUCUUAGUGAGUGUGUCAGGUAGUUCAGAUUUCAGUUACGCUCGUGUUCGGAUGCCGAGCCGAUUUUUACAGUAGUGUUUAGACUGUUCCGGACUAGUGGGUGCGGUCGCGGUUGACGGUGGACCCGGAUUUGGUCAUUUUGAGAUCCGAUUGUGCCGAGGGCACGUGACUAGUGGUUAGUAGUACUGUUAGACCCGUUUUCUUGACUUUAGCCUGUGAGAGCCUGAUUGAGCUCGACAGAGAUACGCUUGCAUAAUCGGUUGGAUCGCGCCUACGAGUGCCGCACCGAAGUCUGGCUUGGUGCUUUCGCGUUGAUGUCGCUGAUUAGUUUUGCUAUCCACGGAUUGUUUAGCGUGGAGGUAGCGCGGCUUAGACAGGCGGGACGGGUGCGUACACAAUCCCUAUUGAGAUUGGGUCAGAAUUGAUAAUAGACACAGUUGAAUAGUGUAGUGGCAUGUAACUGUAGAUUUCUUGGCAUGUAACUAGAGAUUUCUUUUCAGCUUUUGUAACGACCCAGCCCACUAGCAACAAUAACUCAUUGGGCCCAACCACCAGCCCAAAAUGCUUAAGCCCAGUUAUUAUUACUAGUGUCUAAGUCUCAUAUAAAUCCAAUGACAACCCAUUCCCAUCCGAUGUGGGACUAUUGGGGUGUCACAGACUCCCCCCGUUAAGGCCCUGACGUCCUCGUCAGUCCUAACACACACAGCCCAAGAUCACCAGGCUAUGUGAGACUCGUCUCGCUAGCCCGUCAUCCAGACCCUGGCUCAGCCGAGACUCGCCACACAUGUCCAGCUGGUGAACCGGCUCUGAUACCAAAUGUAACGACCCAGCCCACUAGCAACAAUAACUCGUUGGGCCCAACCACCGGCCCAAAAUGCUUAAGCCCAGUUAUUAUUACUAGUGUCUAAGUCUCUUAUAAACCCAAUGACAACCCCAUUCCCAUCCGAUGUGGGACUAUUGGGGUGUCACAGACUCCCCCCGUUAAGGCCCUGACGUCCUCGUCAGUCCUUACACACACAGCCCAAGAUCACCAGGCUAUGUGAGACUCGUCUCGCUAGCCCGUCAUCCAGACCCUGGCUCAGCCGAGACUCGCCACACAUGUCCAGCUGGUGAACCGGCUCUGAUACCAAAUGUAACGACCCAGCCCACUAGCAACAAUAACUCGUUGGGCCCAACCACCAGCCCAAAAUGCUUAAGCCCAGUUAUUAUUACUAGUGUCUAAGUCUCAUAUAAAUCCAAUGACAACCCAUUCCCAUCCGAUGUGGGACUAUUGGGGUGUCACAGCUUUACCUACUAAUUUCGUUUCCUACUGUAGUCUUAGUAAGGAGCCGAUGAUUUGAGGGCGGUACCCACUGAGGACUACUUAUUUUUACAGUAGUUCUCACGCCCAGUUGUUACUUUGUGUUUUGCAGAGCCAGCUGUUCCGGCUACUGCGUCUUCCGAGGCUGAUCAAGGCAAGGGCGUCGCGAGUUAGAGCCCUACCCGAUUAGUUGUUAAGAUAGAGGAUCCACCACUGCAGGUAGUUCCGGUUUAUUUUGUUGAGUUCAUGUACAUGCAGUUGUUAUAACUCUCUAGAGCGAGUACCUUUGUAUAGCGUUUUAUUGUAUGUAUGUGAGAUUUGUUUUAUUCUACCUGUUUGGUUUCUUUGCAGCUCUAUACUACUGGUUGUAGUAUUGUAUAUUUUCAGUUAUCGAUACGCUUCGUAUACAGGAAAAAUUCUUGGUAUAUGGCGGAUUUGUCGACGUGCCCGGGAAUUGUGUAAUCCGGGCCGUGACAGAUUAAGUUGGUAUCAGAGCUUAGCAUUAGGUCGUUGGGACCUAGAAAAUCUAAGUUUGGCAAACCUUAGGAAGGCAAGCCGCGAGAGGCAUAAUUUAUUGCAAAAGUCAAUGAUUAAUUGUUUUAACUCAUCCUGAGGGGAGUGAGUGACUGGAGGAGUGCCUGUAUUGGCCUGCAAAAUUAUGUUGACUGCAGACGACAUAAUUUUGCGGAAAGAUAGGUGCCGCCUUCCGGACUUUCGUUGAUUAGGUUGAGAGUAUUUGUGUUAUCUGAACCUGUUCUAUUUUUGCAGCUAUGUAUCAUCGCCGAGGCCGACCAUCGACACGGGACCGGGCACAGUUGACACAGGAUCGUGUGGGACCCUCCGAGAUGCCUAAGCAGGCAGAGCCGAGUGCCCGGCAGGAGCAGAGUACACGACCAGAGGCGAGCGCAUUCCUCGACUUGAGUACUCAGUUGGCCACUCUGACAGAGGUGACGAGGCGGCAAGGGGAGUUGUUGGAGAGGUUGUGUGAGAGGGUCACCCCGACACAGAGUACCGUACCAGAGCAGAUUGUUCCACCUCCGACUGCUCUAACAGCAGCACCAGCUACAGUAGUACCACCACCAGUGACCGUUCCUUUAGAGCCAGUUGCGCCCGUUGGCGAGGCAUCGCAGAUGACUGAGGCUGAGCAGAAGUGGAUGGCUGAGAGACUCGCUCGCUUUCAUCGUUUCGAUCCGCCGACUUUUGAUGGCUGAUGUACAGAGGCUUGGGUCGUUGAGGACUGGGUCAGCUCGAUGGAGAAGUUAUUUGAGGAUCUUUUCAUUCCUGAGCGGGAGCAGGUACAUCUGGGAGUGCAUUGCUUGACAGGGGAUGCCCUUGCUUGGUGGCGGAGAGUGAGGAGAGAUUACGGACUGGUGACUUUGCAGAUCAGAUGGGACGAGUUCUGUGGAAUGCUGUAUGGGAUGUACUUUCCCAAUAGUGUGAAAUAAAAACUCGAGGAAGACCUGAAGAGGAUCCAGCAAGGAGACCGGGCAGUCCAGGAGUACAUUCGGGAGUUCACGCGACUCCUGAACUAUGUGCCGUUUGUGGCUAGAGACGAGGCACACAGGGUGUACCUUUCCGAGCAGGGUUUGAGGCCCGAGAUUUUUCGGUUGGUUCAGGCGCAGAGGUUGAGGACCUUGGACGCGUCGAUAGAGCAGGCACUUUGGGUUAAGCGAGGUGAUACAUCUAUUCGGGAGAGGACUCAGGCAGCGGGGCAGAGUCAGGAUAGGAAGCGCCCAGCUCCAGACGAUGGUGGACAGUCGAGCAGCCGGCGUCCGCCGAGACCUCCACGAUCGCGUUCUCAGGGUCAUGGGUUCUCGGGACGUCAGCGUUCUGGGGGAUCUCGACAGCAGAGACAGUCACAGGGGUUACCACCGUGCGUGAUAUGUGGGGGACCACACUGGGCCCGGCAGUGCGAGCAGCGUGAGGGUCGGUGUUUUGGAUGUGGACAGCCAGGGCACAUGAGGUCAGCUUGUCCCCGAGCAGUAUCACCAGCACCAUUGACUGCUUCAGCCUCAUCAGCACCUUAGUAGUCUUUUGGAGCAGCACCGAGUUUCCGCCAGGAGGAUAGAUCGUUUAUACCGCGUCAGGGUGAGCGGCGACAGCAGGAUCCGAGUCGCAGGGUCUAUGCAGCCCAGGUGGAGGACUCUACAGCGGCUGAUCGAGUGGUGGCAGGUAUCACUUUGAUUUCUGGCAUUAGAGUUCGUACUCUUUUUGAUACCGGAGCAUCUCAUUCUUUUGUUAGCCGAGCAUUCGCAUUGUUGUAUGGUCUAGAGUUAGGAGCAUUGUCACAGGCACAAGAGGUGCAGAUCCCCGACCAUGUCUUACAAGUUACAGAGUGUUUUUGGUCAUGUCUGGUGCAGUUGGAUUCUUGGAUCAUGCCCGCAGACCUGUUGGUGUUAGGGCAGCUGCAGGACUUUGACGUAGUGCUCGGUAUGGAUUGGCUGGCGCGGUACUAUGCUACUAUUGACUGUGGAACGAGGACUGUGACGUUCCGUGAGCCAGGCCAGGAGGAGUUUACUUUUAGGGGCUGCAGGAGCAUGUUGUUUGCUACUUGGAUAUCUUCGGCGAGGGCUCGACAGAUGCUGAGUAGUGGAUGUAUUGCUUUUCUAGCGACGGUUGUGGAGGUGCCUACGGCAGUGCCGGGACUCGAGGAUAUCCCUGUAGUCCGCGAGUUUUCGGAUGUGUUUCCCCCUGAGUUGACUACGAUGCCGCCAGAGAGGGAGAUUGAGUUUGUGAUUGAUGUAGUUCCUGAAACUACACCAAUCUCAAAGGUACCUUAUCGGAUGGCACCGGCUGAGCUGAGAGAGCUAAAGGUGCAGCUUCAGGAUCUGAUGGAUAAGGGGUAUGUGAGACCCAGUGUGUCACCUUGGGGAGCGCCGAUAUUAUUUAUAAAGAAGAAUGAUGGUUCGCUCAGAUUAUGUGUGGACUACCGGGAGCUGAAUAAAGUAACCAUCAAGAAUAAGUAUCCACUGCCGCGCAUUGAUGAUUUGUUUGAUCAGUUGCAGGGAUCCUUCGUCUUCUCGAAGAUUGAUCUCCAGUCAGGUUUCCACCAGUUGAGGGUGAGGGCCGAGGAUGUUCCUAAGACGGCUUUUCGGACUCGGUACGGGCAUUAUGAAUUCACAGUGAUACCUUUUGGAUUGACAAAUGUCCCUGCCGCAUUCGUGGAUUUGAUGAACAGAGUGUUCAAGCUGUUCUUGGACAGGUUUGUGGUAGUUUUCAUUGAUGAUAUCUUGAUAUACUCCCGGAGCGACGCUGAGUAUGAUGAACACUUGAGGAUUGUGCUAUAGCUUCUGGGAGAGAAGAAACUGUAUGCCAAGUUAAAGAAGUGCGAGUUCUGGUUACGGGAGGUCGCUUUCUUGGGCCACGUGAUAUCAGCAGAGGGAGUAGCAGUUGACCCGAAGAAGAUUGAUGCGAUUCGGGAUUGGCCUAGACCGACGGCGAUGACAGAGGUGAGGAGUUUCCUUGGACUAGCAGGAUAUUACCGUCGGUUUGUGGAAGGCUUUGCGAAGCUGUCCACACCCCUUACCAGGUUGACUCGGAAGCGGAUUCGGUUUAUUUGGAGUGAGGAUUGCCAGAAGAGCUUUAACGAGUUGAGACAGAGACUGAUGACAGCUCCUAUCCUUGCCCUUCCUGUGAUGGGGGAAGGAUUUGUGAUCUAUAGUGAUACAUCGCACAACGGACUGGGUUGUGUACUGAUGCAGCAUGGUAGGGUGAUUGCUUAUUCUUCACGGCAGUUAAAGGAAUAUGAGAAGAAUUACCCUACGCAUGACUUGGAGCUUGCCGCGGUAGUCUUUACUUUGAAGCUGUGGCGGCAUUAUUUACGGCGAGCACUGCGAGGUUUUCAUCGAUCAUAAAAGUCUCAAGUAUCUGUUCACUCAAAAAAAAUUGAAUCUGAGGCAGCGCCGGUGGCUAGAGCUACUGAAGGACUAUGACAUUAGUAUCCAGUAUCAUCCCGGCAGGGCGAAUGUAGUGGCAGAUGCGUUGAGCAGGAGGGCAGCGCAGAGCUUGAGCUUGUUGAUCACUCAGCAGAGACCGCUACUUCAGGAGCUACAGCGGCUGAGACUUGAGGUGGUGUCCCCUGGGUCUACUGCAAGACUGAUGUCUCUAGUCUUCCAGCCCACUCUGUUGGAUAGGAUCCGGGAGAAACAGAGUGGAGAUCCGCAUUUGUUGAGGAUUCGAGAGCAGCUAGUUAGGGGACAAGCCGAGGGUUUUGCUUUGGACAGUUCGGGAGUACUGCGAUACAGGGAUCGACUGUGUGUGCCUGUGGAUUCAGUGAUCCGAGAGGACAUCUUGAGGGAGACUCAUUGUACACCUUAUACGGUUCAUCCAGGUGGAACCAAGAUGUAUAAGGACUUAAAGGCACAGUUUUGGUGGAAUGGAAUGAAGAGGGACAUUGGCAGGUAUGUCACUCAUUGUUUGACUUGCCAACAGGUAAAGGCCGAGCAUCAGAUACCUGCUGGCAAGCUUCAGAGUCUGUCAGUGCUAGAGUGGAAGUGGGAACAAAUCACGAUGGAUUUUGUUGUGGGGUUGCCUAGAGCACAGGGUGGCUUCGAUGCGAUUUGGAUGAUAGUGGACAGACUGAUCAAGUCUGCUCACUUCCUACCAGUUCAGACCACCUGGUCCAAAGAGAGACUCGCGCAGCUUUACUUGGAUGAGAUCGUCAGGCUACAUGGUGUGCCAGUAUCGAUUGUACAGAUCGAGACCCGAGAUUUGUGUCGCAUUUCUGGAGGAGUUUACAGACAGCUUUGGGGACUCAAUUACAUUUCAGCACAGCAUUCCACCCACAAACGGAUGGUCAGUCGGAGCGGACCAUUCAGACUCUAGAGGACAUGCUGAGGACGUGUGUCCUGGACUUCGGAGGAGGGUGGUAUCGACACUUGAGACUGGCAGAGUUUGCGUAUAACAACAGCUAUCAAACGAGCAUUCAGAUGGUUCUGUUUGAGGCGUUGUAUGGACGCAGGUGUCGAUCCCCGUUGUUUUGGAGUGACGUGGGUGAGAGGAGGACACUUGGGCCUGAGAUUUCGCUAGAGGCUGAGGAAAAGGUGAGAGUUGUUCGACGACACUUUUUGACAGCCCAGAGCCGCCAGAGGAGCUACGCUGAUACCAGAAGACGAGACUUGGAGUUCCAGGUUGGAGAUCAUAUUUUUCUUAAAGUCUCACCGUAACAUACCACAUCCCUCGUAAAUCGUGCCGAGUUCCGUCAAAACGAGCGGAACGCGAAAUUAAACGAGUUAGAAUGGACCCUAAGUGCAUUAGAGUUCAUAAACGGAGCUAAAAGGGACCCGGAGAGCAAAUCUGAAAAUCUGGCUAAGUUUCAGAUUUUGAGCUCUCGGGGACCGGUUCCUGAAGGAGAGACCGGUCCCCGUGCGCGUAGCCUGCCAGGAAGUCCUGAGGCAUCCGGUCCCUGGUGGUGAGACCGGUCCUCAGGAGAUCGGUCCCUGACGGGCAGACCGGUCCCUCGCUGCGCAACAGCUGAAAAACUCGAAAAUUUGGCUAAGUCCUGGAAAACCCCCGUUCGGGAACCGGUCCCUGGUCGGGGAGACCGGUCCCCGAAGGCGAAAAAUGCCCAGUCUGGGCAAAUCAGGGGAAACAAGUGGAGGGGCUUAAGUGCAAUUGUUACAACACUAUAUAUGGCCCAUUCUCUCUCUCCCACGGCCAUUUUCACCCUUCUCACCCAUUUCCUCUCUUUCUCUCUCUAGAACUCUUGCUCUAGGGCUUGGAGAAGAAGAAGAAGAAGUGAAGGGAAGGAGGAUUUGGAGGCUUUUGUGGGUUCUACAAGCUCUCCUACAAGAAGGACUUGGAGGAGUUUGGGCUAAGGUGAGUUUUUGGUAGAAAUGAGUCUAGGGCUUGGUUUUAAUCCCUAUGUUUUGGAGCUUUGGGUUGUUUUUGGCCAUGGGAGCCUUCUAUAUGCUUUGAACUCCAUAGAACCCAUGAGAGCUUAAGUGCUCUCAUGGUGGUUGGGUAGGGUUUGCCAUAGAAGCCCUAGGGUUGGUUCCAAAGGUCUAGAAACCUUGCUAGGAUACUUCUUAGAUGAUUCUAAGCUAUUGUUUGCUUAAGAUUGGGAUCAAUUUAUGGGGAAACCCUAAAUGGCAAUAUUAGGGCUUGAAAAUUGGGGCUUUUGCCCUAGGAUCUUUCGGGGCCAAAUUGACCCCGUGAAAACCUAAUUGGGGGUGCCCUAAACACGUUGGACACCUCCGUUUAAUGUUGCGAAAAUGAUAGAGUAUAGUUCAUGUACAAAAAGGCCUAAUAUGGCACUAUUUUGAUUAUAGGACGCGGAAUCGGCUUUCGUAAAGUGCGGGAGCCUUCAUAUUCUACACCCACACGACCAAUAGAGGUUGGGGGUGCAUGCCGGAAUCGUUGGAUUCCCUUCUAUGUCUAUUUUCUCUAUUCUUGAGCAUAUACACAUAUACCCAUUCAUGCAUAGUAGGGUAGAUACAUAUGGAACUUGAUUUGAUUUCAUUUAUAUAUUUCUAACGUAGUUGAACAUAGAGGAUGAUAGGACCAAAAUGGACAUGUGUGAUUGGACCCUCAAGUUGUGUGAAUGUGAGAUUGGACUUGGACAAUAGAAAACAAGGGUGACAUUGACAUAGAAACAAGAUUUGCAUUGAGAGAUGAACCGUUAAACAUUGUUUAACCAAUUAUGACAUCGUCAAAGGUAAAGCCUUGAGAGUGGCAAGAAUGAAUAGGUAGAGACCUAUCGUGACAUUGGCAUUGUGACUAGUGGCUAUGGAUCCUCAAGUUGAGGAUUAGAUCGAUACUCACAUUUCGCCUUGGCUUGAGGGAGGUCGCUCCCCCUCGAGCGGUGCGCUCCGGAGUUGGUCACCACUAGGCGUGGUAAAGUCCCACCAGUUGACGGUCCCUAGGGAGGUUCGAGUCCCCCGUUAUUAAGGGAUUUUGGGUUGUGAGUUAUUGGGGUUAACAGAGUUAACCGGCAAGAUUGGGUAAGAGCCAAAGCUUGAUUAUGAUUGGAGCAUGCAUGCAUUUCCACUAUCGCAUUGAAUUAUAUAUCCACUGACUUCUUUCUUGCAGGCAUAGUAUUAGAUGCAUUAGUACUGGUUACUUUCUUUUUCUUGAAAUACUUAUGCCUGGAUAGACCUAGUGGGUAAGUCGGCGAGGUCGGAUGCCGAGCCCACUGGGAACUUUGUUUAGUUCUCACACCACUAACCCUACAGGUCCUAGCACGAGCGGGGCGGCGGAGGACCGAAGCAAGGGUUUGGCGCCGUAGGUAGCGGCCACCGGGACUUUAUGCAUUUCGUAGUCAUUCCCUUUUGAUAUACAUGUGUAAACUUUAUUCUGUUGUUUAGUGAUGUAAAGUGUAAACAAUCAUGUAUUUGGUGGAUGACAAAAUGUAAAAGAUAUAAUGGAUGAAUGGAAUGUAAUAGCUUUGUUUACUUGUAUUUGAUUUAAAUGAAAUCAAAUAUCAUGUAUGCUGCGUAUUUAGCUUAGAGCUUUCGCUUUCGUUGUUGCUUGCCCUCGUGCAAGCCUUGUAUUAUAUAUGCAAUUCUCUUGUUGAUUGCCUAUUUGUACAUGUUGAUAGAGCCUUAGGCGGACAGGGGCGGCUCUGUCCGUUCGGCGUCUGUUGACGCGACCCGAAUCCGACCAAAUUGGCGGUGAUUGGGGCGUGACACUCGCCGUCCAGAGGGAUUCGCCAAUUUGGAAUGCGUGGAAAGUUCAGUCCACGUUUCGUUGGCCCUUUUGAGAUAUUGGAGCGAGUUGGACCAGUUGCUUACCGGAUUGCUCUACCACCCCGACUAGCUGGGAUUCAUGAUGUGUUCCACAUCUCGGUGUUGAGCAAAUAUAUUUUUGAUCCUUCUCACGUGAUCGACUUCACUCCACUAGAGAUUAACGAGGAUCUAAGAUACGAGGAGCGACCGGGGCGGAUUCUUGCUCGCGAGACGAAAGAAUUGCGCAACCGGGUCAUCCCGUAUGUAAAAGUGCAGUGGAGCAAUCACGAGGAACGGGAGGCGACUUGGGAGCCAGAGACGGUGAUGAGGGAGUCUUACCCUGACCUGUUCGUUGCCCCGUCUUGAGGUAUAUUUUAAGUUUCGAGGACGAAACUUUUUGUAGUGGUGGAGAAUGUAGUAUCCUUAUAUAUAUAUAUAUAUAUAUAUAUGAAUGCCACAUGCCCAUGCAUGCAUUUCAUGGUUAUCUAUUUAGAGUGUUGUACAUGCCUCCUUAAUUAAAAUUUCCUCCAUCUCUGUCUCUGGAACCAUACGCAAGGAGGAGGAAAACCCGGUUGGAGCUCGUGUGUCGCCGACGUUGCGCCGCGGUACCGUAUGAGCGUGAGUUCGUCGUCGUAACAUCGUGAGAAGGCCGGGCGAGGGUGCGUUUACGUCGUUUUCGACGUCGCGCCGGAUUGGGUUUUGCGUUUUUGGUGGGUUUUAUCAUCGGAAUCCUACUCCUAUAGUAUUGUUGGUCGACAUGUAUCAUUAAUAUUACAAGUUGUUAUUGUUUAGCUCAAAUUCAUGAGUAGGUAUGUUUUAGACAUAUAAACUGAAUUGGGAGCAUGUUAUUAGUUGUUAUUAAUCAUACAUGUGGGACUUGGAUAAAACAUAGGAGAAAACUAGCGUUCAGGACCUGGCAUAUGUUAAACUACCUGAUUUAGCCCUAGGGGCCGUUGUAUUUUUAUACAGUUGCAGUAUCCUCUUAGUGAGUGUGUCAGGUAGUUCAGAUUUCAGUUAUGCUCGUGCUGGGAUGCCGAGCCGAUUUUUACAGUAGUGUUUAGACUGUUCCGGACUAGUGGGUGCCGUCGCGAUUGACGAUGGACCCGGAUUUGGUCAUUUUGAGAUCCGAUUGUGCCGAGGGCACGUGACUAGUAGUUAGUAGUACUGUUGAUCCGUUUUCUUGACUUUAGCCUGUGAGAGCCAGAUUGAGCUCGACAGAGAUACGCUUGCAUACUCGGUUGGGUCGCGCCCAAGAGUGCCGCUCCGGAGUCUGGCUUGGUGCUUUCGCGUUGAUGUCGCUGAUUAGUUUUGUUAUCCACGGAUUGUUUAGCGUGGAGGUAGCGCGGCUUAGACAGGCGGGACGGGUGCGUACACAGUCCCUAUUGAGAUUGGGUCAGAAUUGAUAAUAGACACAGUUGAAUAGUGUAGUGGCAUGUAACUGUAGAUUUCUUUUCAGCUUUACCUACUAAUUUCGUUUCCUACUAUAGUCUUAGUGGGGGAGCCGAUGAUUUGAGGGCGGUACCCACUGAGGACUACUUGUUUUUACAGUAGUUCUCACGCCCAGUUGUUACUUUAUGUUUUGCAGAGCCAGCUGUUCCGGCUGCUGCGUCUUCCGAGGCUGAUCGAGGCAAGGGCGUCGCGAGUUAGAGCCCUACCCGAUGAGUUGUUGAGAUAGAAAAAUUUAAAAAAAAUGGUGCACCGGGUGCACCCAAAAAAACCUUCUGCCCCUAAGGAGAGCAACAGGAGUGAUGGGCCCGCAUGGCUUGGGUGCCACACGGCACCCAUCUGGAAAUGGCUCUCUACACGUGGCGCCAAUCUGGGAAUCCCCAAAUUAUUUUUGUUUGGACACAAUCUUUAUAAAAUUUUUGCCUGCCAAAAAAUAUCGAGCAAGCGACGACAAUCACUAUUUAAAAAUACUGUGAGCAAGGACGAUCAAAUGACAUCCAUAGUUAGUUAAUUCGCGAAUUAUUCCCGAAUUUUUGAAAUGCCGAAUUAAACACCCGUUUUCGAAUUUUUGCCAAAAAUUCGGAAUAAUUUGCGGUUUUUUGAGCAAAAAUAAUUAUUCGCGAAUAAAACGGGAUUCGCGAAUAAUUCGGCCCAAAAAAACGGCCCUCUUGCUUGCUACUGUGANUCCCUUUAUUUUACUAGUCUUAUCAUAAUUCUAUUUUUUAAAAUAUUAAAAAUUUUAAAAAAACUUUUUAAUCUUUAGACGAAGAGAGUGUAAAAUAUACUUUUCCACCUAAGGUGUACACAUAGCAUUUUUUUUAGUUUAAUAUAUUUAUUUAUUAAUGGUCUAGCCAACAAUUUCUAGAUUAGGAAGGGGCCCACCACAGGCCAAUCCACAUUUUUGGGCUGUUUGGUUGGUGUUUUGGAUAGCCCUUCUGGAAAUUGAGAGUUAGAUUGUCGGAAUCUCCAACAGUUGUUUAAAAAGGUAAGUUAGAGUCGAAUCAAAUUUCUAACAUUAUUAAUAUUUAUUUAUUUAAUUUGAAUUCAUAUUAUGAAACUAAUAAAAAGUUUCUAGUCCAGAUAUAAAGGAGAGUAAUAAAUACAAAUAUAUUUAAAAUAUUAUUUUCUAUCAGUUUAAAUUUUUGAAAAAUAAUAGUUACUAGUAUAGAAUCCGCGCUUCGCUGCGGUUAACGAUUAAUUUUAUAUUAUAGUUAAGUAAAAUUAUAAUGAAACAGUUAAGUAGAAAAAUAAAACAAAAAAAUUUAUAAUUAAAAGAGAGUAAACAAAAAGAGGUUUAAAAAGAAGAAUACAUGCCCAGAAGAAAUUGUAGUGGAGCAUGUGAUCAUUUCUAUUUAUUAUAAAAAAAAAUAUUUUGAGCUUUUCUGUUGAAAAAAAAUAUAAUAUCAGAAAUAAAAAAAAUAAAAACAGAUAAGAAGUUGUGAAGUUAUACUUCAUACCUCUCUCUUUUUUUUUCUUUUUUUUUUUUGAGGGUAAAUGAGAUCUUUGGAAUGAUCGAUGGCGCCAACCUUGCCGGCGGCGGCGAAGAUGCCGUGGCAGGUGGAGCGCAGCCUGGCGGGGAAGAUCUCGGCGGGCACAAUGAAGGUGGUGCUGUUGGGGCCGAAGUUGGCGGAUCGAAGAAGGUGAAACCGUACAUGACGAUGAAGCCGGCAUGGUGGCCAGCCGUGGUCCAGUGGUGGUAGGGUUGAGUGAAUGUCCCCCGCCAUCGCCACCGCCACCGCCACCGCCACCGCCGCCCCAACCUCCAUCCCUUCAUUAGCCCUCUCUCCGCCUGCCGCUGCUCGCUCUCCACUCGCGCGCUGGCCAUCCUCUCGGCGGCGGACAUCUCCGCCCUCGACGCCCCCGCGGCCUCCGUGGCCGCUGCUGCCGCCGCUGCACUCUCCCUUUCCAAUCCCUAGCGAUGGCGCCAAUGCAAGCCAUUGCCGCCGUUGACGCUGCCCAAGCCAGCCCUGUGAAAAGAGAGAGAGAAUGAAUGAUAGGGAGAGAGAGAAGGGGGCUAAGAUAGAGAGGAGAAGGGAAGAGAGAGAGAGAGUAGGGGAGAGGAGGAGAGAGAGAGAAAGAGGGAGCUAGCUGGAUGAGGGAAAAGAUAGAGAGAGAGAGAGAGAGAGAGAGGAUGAUCUCUUGAUCAAACCCAGCUGUAACCAAAUAGGGUUCAACCCUGUUUAAUCAAAAAAAAAUCAUAUAUAUAUAUAAUUUUGGAAGCAUUGUUCCAAUUGAACCAUAUGAUGCCACGUGGCGCACUUACAAAAGAAGUUUCAAUGUGCCACGUGGCAUAUAUAUAUAUAUAUAUAUUAUAACCAACUAUUUUAAUUAAAUUAUUAUACAAAUAUUUAAGUAAUUAGAGGAAAUCAUAACCAACUAUUUUAAUUAAAUUAUUAUACUAAUAUUUAAGUAAUUAGAGGAAAUCAUAACCAACUAUUUUAAUUAAAUUAUUAUACAAAUAUUUAAGUAAUUAGAGAAAAUCAUAACCAUACAUACCAAAUUAAUAUAUAACUAAUUUAAUUAAAUUAUUAUACAAAUAUUUAAAUAAUUAGAAGAAAUCAUAACCAUACAGACCAAAUUAUUUAAAUAUUGUAAAAUUUGGUCUUCUUUUUUAUAUAUAUAUUUUUAUAUAUAAUAGCUUUACUUAUUUUUAAAUAUUAAAAUAAUAAAAGUAAUAAUUUUUUUUUCCUUAACUGCACAAUAGUUAUUUUUUUUCUUAACUGCACAACAGUUAUUUUUUUUCAUUAACUGAACAACAGUUAAUUUUUUUUUCCCCUUCUUUCUUUGAUUGAGGCAUAUUCAACUUUUUAUAGUUCUUUCUCUCUAUUUCUCUUUGGGGUUUAGGUUUCUAACGAUCUCUCGCGCGUUUUACUUUUAACCAUUGCAGGAUGAUGCGAGCGGGGCGCGUCAUAGGAAAGAGACGAAGGCGGCGUGAAAAUCGCAGGUGUUUGUUUUAAUUUUAUUUAAGUUUUUGGAUUACAUAUAUAUAUAUAUAUAUAUAUAUUUUAAUUAAAUUAUUAUACAAAUAUUUAAGUAAUUAGAGGAAAUCAUAACCAACUAUUUUAUUUAAAUUGUUAUAAAAAUAUUUAAGUAAUUAGAGGGAAUCAUAACCAACUAUUUUAAUUAAAUUAUUAUGCAAAUAAUUAAGUAAUUAGAGAAAAUCAUAACCAUACAUACCAAAUUAUUUUAAUAUUGUAAAAUUUGGUCUUCUUUUUUAUAUAUAUUUUUUUAUAUAUAAUAGCUUUACUUAUUUUUAAAUAUUAAAAUAAUAAAAGUAAUAAUUAUUUUUUUUUCCUUAACUGCACAAUAGUUAUUUUUUUUUCUUAUUUUUGUUCCCUUCUUUCUUUGAUUGAGGGCUAUUCAACUUUUAUAGUUAAGUUACAAAUUUUUUUAUCUUAAAAUUAUAAUUUAUUGAUUUAUUACAAGAAAAUGCAAUUAUUUUCUCAAUGUUAUUAUUCAUAUAUAUGAUAGGUGGAGGCGGACUUAUUUUCCAUUUUUAUGCACAAUCUUUCUACAAAAUGUAAGUUUAUUUUUCAUCAUCUUUAUGCACAAUCUCUCUACAAAAUGUAAGUUUAUUUUCCAUCUUUAUGCACAAUCUUUCUACAAAAUGUAAGUUUAUUUCAAAAUUCAAAAAUAAUUACGUUUAAUGAUUUGGUCUGUUUGUAAUGUAUAUAUUACCUUCUUCUUUUUUCAGGAUACAUACCAGUAGCUUUGGACUUCGUCAUAGUAUUGAAAAUUUCGGAGCGCAUAAAUAUUUACCCCUAUAGCAAGAAAUGCUCAAUAAUUACUUUUGGGAGGUAUGUUUGAUAUUUAUAUUUAAAUUUUUGAUUAAUUUGUUGAAAAUAAUCGAUAUACAUACAUGACUAAUUAUUCACAAUAAUAAUAAUUUUUUAGUUUAAAAGAAUCAUAAUAUAUAUCAUGCUUCACAAGUUCUAAAAAAUUACUUUUCAAAUUUAGUCACUUUAAAUCCUUCAAAAAAUAACUUUACAGAAUUAGUCAUUAAGAAUUUGAAAUAAAAUUAAUUUUCUUCGCCAUUUCAAUAUUGUGUAUUAAAAAAUAUAUAAAUAAUAAUUAUGUUAAAUUUUUAAUGGAUUUGAACAUUUUUACUUUUUCAUUUUAAAAUCUUUUUAUUUUAAAUUAUUUACUUACAAUCUAUUAGUUUAUCAUGAUAGUAUUUAUUUUAAUUUCAUUCAAUAAAUUUUCUAAUAAAAGCUUAAUAUGUAAAAAUUAAUAUAUAUUAUAUAAAAAUUGUAAUAAAAAUAUAUUAGAAAAACUUAAUAUGUAAAAAUUAAUAUAUAUUAUAUAAAAAAUGUAAUUAAAAGAUAAAUUUAAAAUCCGUGCAUUGCACGGGUUAGUUGCUAGUUUAAUUUAAUAGCCGAAUUUUUGAUUCCGAAUUUUUAAUGGGUGAACGUAUAAUAUUCGUAUAAAUCACGUAUCCGAAUAAUUGGCGAAUCCGUUUUUUAGCCCUUUUUUUCAACGAAUUUAAAAAUUAGAAGACGAAUUUUAUCCGAAUUAUAUCCGUACCGAAUUUUUGCCGAAUCCGAAUUAACUAUGAUGACAUCUCCUCCUCUUUUCGUACCAAUAACAAACAAUGACGGUUCAAAGAGGAAGCUACAACAUGGAUUCCAGCUUCACACUCUUCCAGAGGCCACAAAAAAGAAAGGCAUAAUGUCUAACUAAAAAAGCAUGAAAAAAAACUUUGAGAAAAAAAUUUUCAUGGCAAAAUGUUUUUCAAUUUUUUGUCCGUUUAGUUUUAAGAAAAUCUAGAUUUUUUGAAAAGUUUCUUUUCAAAUUUUAUGAAAAACUAACACAUUCGUUUUCCUAAAAAAUUCAAAAAAAUAUUAAUUUGCGAUGAGAUUUGGAAAAUAAAUUUAAAAACACUAUCUUUUUUAAACUAAAUAAAUUAAAAACUGAAAAAAGAAUUUUCAUAAAAAAAUUUUCUCGGAAAAUUUUUUUCAUGCUUUUCUAACAAACCAAACACCCCUUAGCUGCUUAGCAUUGGAUAAAGUUGACGUUUCUUCCGCAUUUCCUUUUCAGCAAAUGCUUUAUUAUUAGUUACCACCUCUACUAUCUAUCUCCAUAUUUUCAAUAAAAAUUGUAUUCGAAACCAUACCUGUUUAAUGGUUAUUUGGUUCCUCGGAAAAGCGUGAAAAAAAAUUUCCAAAAAAAUUUCAUAUAUAUAUAUUUUUUAAUUUCCAUUUGUUUGGUUUCGAGAAAAACUAGAUUUUUUGAAAAUUUUUUUUUUCAAAUUGUAUGGAAAAAAAUAGCAUCUUUAUUUUUCUAAAAAAAUUAAAAAUAUAAAAAUAUUAAUUUGCAAUGAAAUUUGAAAAAUAAACUUUUAAAAAACUAUUUGUUUUAAACAAAUCGAAUGAAAAUUUGAAAAAAAAAAAAUUCCACAAAAAAAAUUUCCUCAAUUUUUUUUUCUUUUUUUUUUUUCGUGCUUCUCCCACCAACCAAACACCCCUUACCAUCAGAUGAACUUGUACCUUUCAACAGACGCUUUAGUUUUAAUUAGCGCCUACCACUCUCUAUCUCUUCGUAUUCAGUAGAACUAGCGAAGGACCGUGCGUUGCGGCAAAAUAAUUUUAUAAAAAUAAAUAAAUAAAUAAAUAAAGUAAAAAAAAUAAAAUAAGAGUCAAAGAUUAUAUUUAUUUAUUAUAUUGAUAAUAAAAAAAAAAUAAUCCAUACGAUAAAAUUUUACAUUUGAUUCCGGUAAAAAUAAAAAAAAAUAUUAAGAAAAAAAAUAAAAAAGUAAGAGAGAGAGAGAGAGUGAGAGAGUGAGAGUGUUGAGAGAAAAAAAAUGGGAAAACCUCAAAAACCCCCCUGUGGUUUCGUAGUUUCUCACUUUGCCCCCAUAUAGUUUAAAAUGUAUCAAUUUGCCCUCAUGUGGUUUUAUUUUUCUCUUUUCUUAUCAAUUUCAUUAUUUUUUUUCCUUAAAUCAGUAAUAAAGUUAAAAUUAAAGGGUACUAAAAUAAAUAUUUGAUAAAUCUAGAUGGGUAUAUGAAGUUUUUUGUAUAUAAUUUAACGAAAUAUUAACGAAAAAGCUAUCGAAAAAAUAAAAACGAAAACACAGGAGGGCAAAUUGAUACACUUUAAAUCACAGAGGGGCAAAGUGAGAAACUACGAAACCACACGUGGGUUUUUAAAAUAUUUUUCCAUAAAAAAAAAAAAAAAAUUAAGAGAGAGGGAAAAAAAAAAAAAAAUUGGGCACCUGCCCCACAAAACGCGGACUCUUUAGGCCCUCGUAAAAAUAAAAUAAAAAAAAAAAGAGAGUAGGAGAGAGAGAGAGAGAGUGAGCGACGGUCCGAAAUGAAAAAAAAAAAAAAAAAAAAGCGAGACCCACCGGCCCCUCAAAAGGCGGGGAGAAUCUCUUUAGGCUUUCCUUUCACCAGUGGGCUCCUCAAAACGCCUUCGUCUCUUUAGGCUCUCCUUUCAUUAGUGUUAUAGAUAGAUUCUAACCCUUCCGUGUUUCUUUAUCAUUAGUUGGAUCCUCUCUAUCUGUCUCCCUAUUGCUUUUUUUGUCAUCAUUUCUCUCUUCUCUAUUUUUUCUCUAAGGUUGCCAAACAAUGCAUGGUGGAUAUCUACAUGAUCACUAGCGAGCUUGAGAAGACACUGGAGGAAGAAGGAAAAGACAGCUGCUGCCGUUAGCUGCCACCGCGACGCUACGGCUGUUGCCAUCGGAGGAAGGAGAAGGAAACCAUGGCUAUCGCUACGGGUCUGUUUGGUUUCGAUAUAACUAAAAAAUCAGGUACUUGUUAAUCAAAUUUUUGCUAAUAUUGUAUUACAGCAACUUAAUAGCAGAUUACUGCCCAUAUAAGAUCAUCAUAUUUGGUCAGUAGAUUCCAAUAAUGCCAACACACCCUAAUAGUGUGUUUGGUUCCACGUAAAACUAUGAAAAAAAUUUUUUAUGGAAAAAAAUUUUUCGAAGGAAGAAAAAAUUUUACGUUCUUUAGCGUUUGGUUUGUAGAAAAAAAAAUUAGUUUUUCAUUAUGAUUAUUUGGUUGAUAGAAAAAAAAAAAAGUUGUAAAGAUAAAUUAAUAUAUUUUUUUCCUUAUUUUAUAUAUUAUAUAUUAUUAAUAAAUAAUAAUUAUCAUAUUAUAUUUAUUACUAUUCUAGUUUAUAUUUAUAAAUAAAAUAUAUUUAAAACAUAUUAUACAAUAAAUAUGUAAUAUCAUAUAUAAUAAUAUAUAUUUAAUACUAUAAAAUAAAUUACUAUAUAUUUAUAAAUAAUAUUUAUAUAUAAANGAAGAGGGUACAGUGGACUCUCUCUCUCCACGGGUCCACGGGCUGAAGAUGUUCUCGUGGACCGCGUGCGCAAAAGGCCCUAUGAGUCGCUCUUUUUUGAGCCCAGUUUUCGUUUUCCGGUCGCGGGCCUGAAAACGAAAAUGGGUUUUUUUUAGAGAAUCUAUAAAAUAAAUUUUCCAAAAGAAACUUUGACUUGCAACCAAACACCAGAAAAAAAAAAUUUUCGGUAGAAAAAAAAAUUUUCGGAGUGAUUUUACAGGGAACCAACCACCCCCAAAUAGUAAAAUUUAUAUUAUUUUAAAAAUAUUCUUACACUAUAUAUAUUCAUUUAAAUAUCAAACUUCAAUUUUAAAUUCAAGAUCUGAAUUUUGAGCUCGAAUUUUAAAUUAAAAAUUUGACUAUGAAUUCUAAUUCAGAUUUGAAUUCAAAUUUUAACUUCAAAUUCAAAUUAAAAAUUAAAAAUUUAAAUUUAAAAACUUAAAUAUUUCAAUUAAAUGAGAAAUUAAAAUUUAAUUUAUUUUAAAUUAAAAUUUGAGUCAAUUGGUGGUUGGGUAAGGGCGACUCUGAAAUUUUUCAUAAAUUACAGAAUUAGCAACAAUGAGUAAAGUAGGACAUUUAUCCCCUGGUAAUAUUUUUUGAGUAAUCAUUUGCUAAAAGAUUCAUAUAUAAUUUUUUCAUAAUCCUGGUAGGAUAGUACAAACCAAACACACAACAGAGUUUAGUUUGGAGUAGAGGAAGAAGAAAAUAAAAUGGGUUUGGACUUUGUCCACAAAUUUGACUUAGGACCCGUUUGGCCUGGAUUUUUGUGACACACUAAUAGUCCCACAUCAGAUGAAAAUAAGGUUGUGAUUGGAUAUAUAAGAGAUCAUGGACACUAGUAAUAAUAAUUUAAUUUAAGUAUUUUGUGCAUGUGGUUUGAACCUAGCAAGUUAUUUUUGCUAGCAAAUCGGAUUGUUAUAUUUGGUAUUAGAGACAAUCACCGGACAAGAGUAUAAGACAAGUUUCGGCUGAGUCAGGAUCGGAAUAAUAGGCCAAGCUCUGGGAAUAAUAGACUAAAUCAGAAUCAGAAUGACAAUGCAAACAAGACAAGUCUUGCAUCACUAGUCUCACAUUGGAUAGGGAAGGGUUGUGAUUGAGUAUAUAAGAGACUAUGGACUCUAUAAAUAAAAAUUAGGUUUAAGUAUUUUGGGCUAACGGAUUGGGUCAUUAUAAUUCUAGAAAGUAAUUUCUAAAGAAUGAUUUUUGUUAAAAGUUGUAGAGUAUUUAGGUGAGCGUUUAGAUGAAAACUUAUUUUUCUGAAUUAAUUUUGUAAAGUUGUUUGACAAAAAAAAAAAUUUAUUAUUUGCAAAUAAUAAUAUUUUACUGAAUUUUAUUUUAAAAUAAUUGAAAGUUUGAAUUUAAAUUUACUAUUUUAAAUUUUAAAUUUUAAAUUUGCAUAAAAUUUAAAAUUUUAAAAAUUUUAAUUUAAAAUUUAAAAUUUAAAAUUCAUAAUUUCCGCAUGGCCGUUUUACACCCCUAUUUGGACCAGUGAAUUUAUAGUUUCAGAACAUUGAUUCAAAGACUAAUUUAUAGAACGAGUAUGACUUUCUCGUUUUAACUACGUGUGGAACAAUUUAAUUAUUGUUAGAUUUGUUAUUGAAUUUCUGCCAUUAUUAUGGGAUCAAUUCCACCCACAAACAUUGUAAACUUGGACUGAUCAGCCAAAAAAAAAAAAAAAGAAAAAAAGAAAAGAAAAGAAAAGAAAAGAAAAGAAAAGAAACUGCACAUUAGGCAGAACUUGCGUGUUUCAAGUUUCAACUCCAAUUUCAAUAAUUCAAGUGGUGUUAGAUUCGGAUUAAGAGGAUUAUUGAGUCUAGUAAGAGUUAAAAAGAAAAUAAAAAGAUUAAAAUUUGUAAAUAGUAUACUUUUGCAAAUAAUAAUACAACUAUAUAUAAUUUCGGUUUAGAGCGUGAUGAUCAAUCCAAACUAAUCAAAUAUUUCUCGAAUACAACCAAAUGCAUGGUGGCUACUCUAUGUUGAGAUUUGCAACUGUGUCGCUUAUAUUUGAUUUAGAUAUGCUAUGCUAUUGACAUUGGCAUAUUUCUUUCAUGCCAAGGCAAAUUGCUUAUUUGAAUUUUUUACCUUGACUUCAUCCUGAGCAUAUCUUGUCAUUGCUCAAAUCUAUUGAAUAACUUUCUUAAGACAAAAUACAAAUCUGAAUUUUCUUGCACAUAGCGUACAAAUAAAAAAACGUAAUCGUUGUCCCAAAUGGGGACCCUACUAGUGAUCAUGGGUCAAUACAAAAUAGUAGAUGCUUCUCAAUCUUCUUUGCUCCUGUUGGCGCCAUAAAAACGGCGCCACGUGGUAAGAUAGCUUGCACCACAUGGAGGGCUCCCAAAGCCGAAAGUGGAGUGGCAUGUGGUGCGCAAGGAUCUGAGAAGAACACGCCCAAAAUCGAAAAUUGAUUAGGCGAGAUGCGGUUGAGACUGGCCAGGAGUGGCCCGAAGAAAUAGGGAUAUGGCCAUGAUACACCCCGUAAUGGGGAAUAAUUGAAUAAGAGCAAACGGGACUAUAAAUAUACAAUACACUUGCUAGAAAAAAAAAAAUUCCUGCGAACAAGAAGACCAUUCUAUUUUCAGUAUUUACUUGCUUUUCUAGGAGUAGUCUACUUGUAGUAUUCAAUUUCUCUCGUAUUUUCCCACUUUUCUAGGAGUAGUUUUUAAGAUAGAAUUCCUUAUAACAAUGAAACCCAUCAUUCUGUAAACUUUUUCUGCUCUUGAAAUACAUAUCGGAAUCACCCAGCUCAUUUUAGCUGAAUAUAUAGUGGAGUGCUUGAACUCAGCUGAGCGGAUCCCUCAUCAGCCUAUCGCUUGAUUUAGUCAUGUGCGCACUCUCGAUGGUCACUUUCGGAAGUUGUUCCUUUCUCUGCUCCUUUCCCACAGUGAAUCUCUGACCGAAUCAACGGUCCAGGAAUUCGGCUCCUAACAAUUUUUUGGCACGCCGGUGGGACACUGAGGUAAUUCCCAAUUUACUUUUUAUGUUAUGGCCGAUGACGACGCUAUGAACCUCCGGAGCAAAGUUUUUCCCAGACCUUCAAGGAAUGACCAAGCCUAUAACUCCGAAAAUGCAAACGAGCAUUAGGCGAUGUUACCG
rnacentral:lncRNA from 1 species